CAGCUUGUUAGCAUUUAGCUUAACUAUGAUAGAGACUGUAGUGUCGGGCUGGGAGGAAUUCGAACACGUUUUGACUGAUGAAUCAGGUGCAAAGGCAGCCUUUUCUGAAAAACUUUCAUGUUCUGCUGCAGCCAAAGUAAUGUUAAUUUGAUCCCUCGUGAUAUCUUUGUUGUUAUGGUUCUCUUUCUGUUUCUCAGUGACUAAUGACUUGUCCUCAGUAGUUUCCCCUGGUGGGUCCUGAUGUGCAUUACUGUUAUCCACCAAAACCUUAAUCUGAGCAGUACCAUCCGAAUUCUUUUCAUCUUUAGACUUGGUAAUCUCGACGAUAAUCUGCACUUGUGAGGUAGUGUAAAUAUUGUCUUCACAUAGACCAGAUUGGCUAACUUCUUGCUGCUCGGAUUGCAACAUCUAUAAAGCCCUAAUCUUUAUGUAAUAUUCUUCAAAGUAUGCCUUCUUCUGAGCAACUAUUCCGGGACCUUUUAACUUCUCCAGUUCCUCCUGACAUCUGUUGUGGGAGAACACCAAUCGUUUUUCCCAUGCAAGCGACUCCGCAGCAAAUCUUCCAAAAGAUAUUGAACCAUGAUCUAUAAGUUCCGAGAUAGAUACAUCCUAUUAAAAAAAAUAUAAUUUGAAACAAUAAAAUAAUAUUAUAAGAGAAUGUUAACCAUGCAGAAAUCAUUAGAGAAUGGGGGUACACAUUCCAAAUCUUCAAAAUUUUAAUUACACAUUAAAUCUUAAAAGGUUGAGACCUUCCGAUUCAUAGGUUAUUCACAAGUGUUUAUUUUCAUAGGUUAUUCACAAGUGUUUAUUUUAUCACUCCUUUUGUUAAAAAUAUAUAAGAAAAAAUGCAAAUUAACCACCUAAGCUUUAGGGGAUUUUGCAAGUCACUACCUGCGGUUUAAAAACCACCAAAUUACCAUAUGUGAUUUACACUGCCCACAAGUAGUGAUUAAGCUUUCUAGAAAUAUAUUCCAUAUCCAAAGGUAUAAACUACCAUUCUUAGCUCAUGUAUAACUUACAAAAGAAUUUUUUUUUGACUUUUCCCUUCUAAUUUAUGACUAACUAACCCAUAAUUAAAUAAAAUUAAACAAUAACUAAAUCAAACUAAUAAAAAUAUUAAAUUAAGUUAAACAAAAAUUAAAAGAAACUCAAUUAAAAAAAAAUAUAUAAUCACAAUAAAAAUUUAAUAAUCAUUAAUAUCACUCAUCUACAUCAUCAAAAAUUUUAAUGUUAAAAAAUUAUUAAAGGUGAGAAAUAUUAAAAUAUAUAUUAGUGUUUAAAAAUAUUAUUAAUGUUAUAAUUAUUGAUUUUACAAUCUUAUUGUUUAAAUCAAUAUUUAUCAAAAAUAAAUGUAUUAUUAAAGAAUAAAUCAACAUACUCUUGUAAGAUCCAUCUUUCAUCCAAAUAAAUCAUGUAACGACAUUGGUGACAGAAUCACUUUAACUGGACGACAAUGAAAAGACAUUCUGUUGUAAGAUCCAUCUUUCAUCCAAAUAAAUCAUGUAACGACAUUGGUGACAGAAUCACUUUAACUGGACGACAAUGAAAAGACAUUCUGUUGUAAGAUCCAUACAACAGAAUAAAUCAACAUACUCUUGUAAGAUCCAUCUUUCAUCCAAAUAAAUCAUGUAACGACAUUGGUGACAGAAUCACUUUAACUGGACGACAAUGAAAAGACAUUCUACGAAAUCCAGUUUACUUUACGUGCAAUUUCUUUUAUUUUUCCAUUUCUUGAUAAGUGCUUUACAUGAAUAUUAUUAUGUUUGAUAAGUUAGUUUACAUGCAAAUUAUUACUGUCUUUUUUAAAGCCAUCCUAGACAGUUCACCAACUAAGUUCUCACUAUUAAUGCAGUCAUCUUGGUCAAUUUCCUGAACCCCAAGCUAAUUUCUUGGCCAAUCUAAUCUCAAUCCAAAAUCAUGAUAAUGCGUGGUAAAAAAAAUAUGGAUUAGUAUGGAAUCAUGUAAACAUAUUUUGUAAUAGUUUAAGCAAACACAUGGCGGUGAGAGACAGAUGGACAGAACAGAAAACAGAAAGGGAACACAGUACCUGAUUCGAAUGCUGGGUGUUUGAACUAAAGCUGGAUGGGUAAGACAAGUGGUUGCAAUACGCACGGUGAUCAGUAUCUGCUGCCAUUAUAUGAUUUCUCUCCCUCCCUUUUAAACAGAUAGAUUAAAGUUAGUGGCAGUAAUUCAAUUCCGUCAGGUAACUCUGCAAUAAGAAACAUCACCAUGUGUGUCAGAUGAAGAAUUACCCAAAUAAGGGUAAUUAUCAAUGUGUUAUGUGCAUGUGCAAAUCUAAAAAUGAAUAGGCGUACUAAGGGGUGGUUUUAGUCAUUCCUUGUAAAUGAAAAAGCUUUUCUUUUCCAACAUUUAGGGUUCCAACUACCAACUAAUCAGCUUGGUAGAUGUACAUUCUAUGUGGAUAUCAACGUCAGAAAUUGGUGCAAAAGAAGAGUUUGUUCGUGCUGGAGCAUGGACUUUCUGUUGCAAAAAUGCCCCAGUAAAUACCAAUAAUAUAAAAGUAAUUUCACCUUGGGAUGGACAUAUUUCUAUGACAUAUUUAUAUCUCUUAUUUCAUAAGAUAUUAUCUCUUCAAAAUUGUCUUAUGAUGUAAGGUGUCUAAAAUUGUAUUUUCCCCUUUUUCUGGAGAGGCUGGGGAGGAAGGAUGGCCUUGAGUUGGAUAGGUCCUUCACUUCGCCCUAUUGCUACUCCUAAAAUCAUAGGUCAGGACAGCAUACUCGUAAUCUAAAGGCAAACUUUUAUUUUUUCGAGAUGCGAAGCAACUUCGAGAAAAUAAGAUACAUUUCAGUGCCGAAUUUUUUGUAGGCAUGAGAGCCAUCUAAGGAAAUUCAGACGUCGUAAAUAAUUUACAAGCUGGUGGUGUGACGCCCUCAAAUUCGGGUAUCUUCCAACCCAACAUAUGGUGCUCCACUGUACUAACAUCCAUACAAUCAUUCCAUUGAAAUACAACAAAAUGAAUGUAAUUACUAUCUUCUUAUUACAACCAAAGUAUAAUUCUUCCCAGGUUCAUAAACCGGUUACAUCAUUCAUUGUUUAUAAUGUAUAAUACAUACAAACUUACUAAACUAUUACACAAUGCCUAAGCAUCCAUCUUAGCUUUGCCUUUAUCUCUCUUGUUAUUCACAAUACGUUCAUCCUUAACUGCAGUUAUAUAAUUCACGCAAGAAGUGAGCAUGACAGCUCAACAAGUUUAAUCAAGGAUAACAGUAAUACCACAUUCGUGAAUUAUAUAACAAUUCCGACAUAACUGAACAAUAGUUAUGAAGUAUUAUGAAUCAAUAAUACUUUAACAGUUCAUAACAUCAAUUCCAAAAUAUAGAAUAGAUUAGGAAUUCUGAACCGGUCGAUAGACCAUGAACAAUAACUUUCAGUUUUCAUACUUGAAAAGGAGUCCACAACACUAAGGCCGUUCAUCCGCAUAACUUACGAGCACUUCUAGGUGAUCAGCCUAUAGUACUUUAUGUUAAUCAACACUCAUUCAUUAAACGUAUUUACGUUUAAUAUUUUUGGCAAACUCGCGUGCCCAUCGAAUAAUCGAUGAAAAAUAUUUUUAUUUGUUCAUAGACAAACCUUACCUUCACGUCCGUACCAAUUUCUUGGCAUAGGAUAGCGUUAACAUUUCUAUAUAGAAAGAUAUGAAUAUCAAUCAAUCUAUAUAUUACGAAUAGUUUAGCCGAGUUAAAAUCUGGCAUCGACCCUUUCUUUAAAACAAGUCUUGCAAUUCAGUUCAACGAAUCACAUAAAACUUGGCUAACUUGAAAGUUAGACAAGCGUUAAGAAAACUUGCCUUUUAACGUCUUCAAAUAACUUAAUCGACUGACCACAACCUUUACAGAAUCUAUAUGAUAUAUUCACAUAGCACAUUGUAAUUAGCUAACAAAUAAAUGUUUCUACCAACUUCUUUCUCUUCUAUGUCUUAGUUAACUUAAUAACUUUAUUAAAGUCAACAUGACUUAUUACCCUUCGUCCCGGUUUAUUACUCAACUGACGUUAUUAACCGGACUCGAACAUCGUUGAUAAAGUACCAACUUUGUUCAUCGUUAUUAACUUGUUAACAUGCAUUCAAUUCCUAAGUUUUUAUCACCAUAUACCUUAGUAUAGGUAGCAUAGGAAUAGCUUUAAUACACUUAUAAAGUGUACACACAUUACCCCUUUAGGUCCCCGAACAAUUGAAGUUCAAAACCUAAAUCACUAUCAAGAACCUUGAACUCGCGCUGCGGCGCGGCCUAUACAAUACUAGACUGGCGCUGCGGCGCCAGUUAGCAGUGGCUGACUCCUGGUCUCGGCGCUGUGGCGCGAGACAGUAGCGCUGCGGCGCCACUUAGUAGUAGCAAAUACCCUUUGCCGGCGCUGCGGCGCGACAAUUUAACACUAUGUCUGGCGCUGCGGCGCCAGACCUCAGUUGCAGAACUUCAACAAUUUUCAAAUAUUUUUUGAAAUUCUCAGGGCCGUAACUUCUUCGUUAUAAGCCCGAUUUGGUCCGUUCAAAAGCCUACACAUCAUAAAUGACAUACUCUACGCGUUCAUAUAAGAAUUCAACACUUUCGAAUCCAAUAACUCAAAAAUUCACUAUUGAGUUCAUUUUCUAGACGUUCGUAAACGUUAAUGAGCGUUCAAUGCUCGUUUUCUUCGUUUUAAGUCGAAAUCCGACGAUUCUCGAACCCACAACUCUUAAUCACCCUAUCUCACGUGUUGAUAUUGAAAAACAUCGUUUCCAAGCCUUACGACAACUUUUGACCUCUAAUCCAGAAUUCAACAUUUUCGACGUUUAAUGUCUUAUUCCGCGAAAUCCGCCAUAACUUCGUUACUAGCGUUCUCUAAGCCAAAUCACAUGGAAUACUCCAUGGAUUUUAUAUCUACAUCCUAACCAAACAAGAUGCAUAUAUUAACGUAUUGAUGGAGUUCAAUCGUUUAUAAACAAUUGAUCUUAACAAAUAAUAUUUUCAUGGUUCAAAACUAUAUUAAACCUUAUGAUUCUUAUAAUCUCAUGAGUUGUAGAGAUUGAAUCUAUGGUAAGUCAUCUUUAACCCCUCAUACAAGACAUAUACCACCCAUUCUAUGAUUCUCUAAGACAAAAGAAAAUCUAAAAGAGAUGGAAAUGAGAAACAAGAAGUAUUACCUCAAAAACUCUUAUGAAACUCUCUUGGAAAACUCUAAGAUCAAGUGAAGGAUUUGUAAGUCUAGCUCUCUUUCUCUCUCAAAUAAUCUAGGUUGGGAAUUUGUAAAACUCCUAAAUUAAACAAUCUAGCCUCUUAUUUAUAGGAAACUAGAAUGGAGGGUAAUUUGGACUUUAAACCAUAAGCCUUAAACUUGGCUUGCACACCAAGUGGCCGGCCCACCUCUUGACAUGUGACAUCCCAUGGGUUGCCCCAUGGGUUUUACCCAUUCGGUAACCCACCGGUUCAAUCCACGGUUCAGUUUUCAUGAAUUGGGCUUAAAUAAAUUAACAUUGGGCCUUGAAUUAGGCUUAACCCACUAAUCAGUUGGGCUUUCUCAUACAAUUGAUUGGACUAUACAUAAUCCAACCCAAAUGAAUUAACAUUAAGUCUUAACUUAAUUCUAUAAUACAAAUCGUAUCUCAUACGUAUAAUUCACGUAUUCUCUCUGUAUACUACUCGUACAAUAAUCGUAUUGUACUUCAUAUUUACUCAACGUAUUAUACAUAGAUACUAAAUAGUAUCAUAAAUGUAUAACACUCCCAUUAACCUUAAUGCCAUUCCUUCUACGCAUAUUAUUUCCUUCUGGAAAAUCAAUAUACUCAACCCUUAGGUUUUAAGUCCGCAGGCGAAAACUGCGUUUGCCAUAAAUGAAAUAUUAUCAGAUAUUCCAUCUAAUCUCAAUAUUCUAUCAUCACGCGUUUCUCUGAAUUUCAAAAUAAUUCCCCAAACAGAAAUGGAUGAAUAGUGUUUUUACAGAAAUUUCUCGGAAAACAAUUAUUUUCGUCUUGGAAAUUCCAAACAAAUAAUUCUAGCACGAAGCCAGAAUACUAACCACGUUAGCACAUUCUAGAUCAUAGAACGGCCUUCACAUAGCUUACUCACAUAAUAAUUAAUUAAAUUCAUUUAAUUCACAUAAUCAAAUAGAAAUUUAAUUGUCAUAAAAAUCCGAUUUUCUCGGGCGUUACAUUCUCUCCCCCUUAUAAGGAUUCUGUCCCCAGAAUCUUAGCUUAUAAUUACAUAAACAAAUGAGGAAAAUCUUCCUUCAUUUUAGCUCCCACGUUGCUUCUUCAGCAUUGUGGUUUCUCCAUAACACCUUCACUGAAGGUAUUACCUUAUUUCUUAAUACUUGUUCUUUCCUAUCCAUAAUUUGAAUUAGAAGUUCCUCAUAGGACAAGUCUUUCUCUAUUUGAAUAGAUUCAUACUCUAUUACGUGUUUAUAGUCCGGUUUAUAAGGACGCAACACUGACACAUGAAACACAUUAUGAAUGCGUUCUAUCUCUGGAGGUAAAGCUACUUCAUAAGCUACCUCUCCUACCCUUCUUAAAAUCUCAAAAGGUCCUACAAACCUUGGACUUAACUUCCCUUUCUUCCCAAAAUGUAUCUUCCCCUUCCAAGGCGAUACUUUUAGAAAAAUAAAGGAUCCUACAUCGAAUUCUCUCUUUUCUCUGUGAGGAUUUGCAUACUUUUUCUGCCUCUCUUAAGCAGCAACUAAUCGAGUACGUAUUAACUUCACCAUGUCCGCCGUCUGCUGUACCAUCUCAGGUCCCAACAUCCGACGUUCACCCACCUCAUCCCAACACAAUGGAGUUCGGCAUUUCCUUCCAUACAAUGCUUCGUAAGGCGGCAUGCCUAUACUAGCGUGAAAACUAUUGUUGUACAAAAAUUCCACCAAUAGUAGAUAUUCGUCCCAACUCCCUUUGAAAUUCAUAAUGCAAGAUCUUAACAUAUCUUCUAGCGUUUGAAUUGACCUUUCACUCUGAUCAUCCGUCUGAGGAUGAUACGACAUACUCAACCUUAACUGCGUUCCUAUUUGCUCUUGCAAGCUCCUCCAAAAGUUCGAUGUGAAUCGUGGAUCACGAUCUGACAUGAUCGAAAUAGGUACUCCAUGUCUGGAAAUAAUUUCCUUGACAUACAGCUUAGCUAACUGAUCCAAGUUAUACUUGACUCCUAUUGGUAAAAAAUGAGCCGAUUUUGUCAAUCGAUCCACUAUCACCCAAAUAGCAUCGUAUCCGUUUCUGGUUAUCGGAAGUCCCACCACAAAGUCAUUGUGAUGUGUUCCCACUUCUACUUUAGAAUUUCUAACGGUUGCAACAACCGGCUAGGUCGUUGGUGUUCAGCCUUAACUUUUUGACAAGCUAAGCACCUACUAACAUAUUCUGUUAUUUCCCUCUUCAUGUUCGGCCACCAAAAGUUCUGAUGAAGGUCUUGAUACAUCUUCGUACUACCGAGAUGUAUCGAGUACCUCGAACUAUGAGCCUCUAUCAUUAUUUCCUCCUUUAAUUCGGAAUCAUUUUGAACCCAAAUUCUUCCUUCAAAACGAAGUAAUCCCUCCUUAUCGAGGUUAUACUUAGUCUUCUCUUCAUCUUCUAUCCUCUUCUGUAUCUGCUGGCAUUCCUCGUUACUCAAUUGUACUCCCCUAACCCGUUCCGCUAUGGUCGGUUGGGUUUCCAUGGAAAAUAACAUUUCCACCGCCUCUUCUGGUAACUUAACUUCUAAUUCCAUGUUUGCCAUCGUUGUUAUCAACUCAUUCUGAGUUGUUAACAUUGACAGUUUCUCUCUACCCUUCUUACUUAGUGCAUCGGCUACGACAUUUGCUUUUCCCAGAUGAUAUAAAAUAUCACAGUCAUAAUCUUUUAUUAAUUCUAACCACCUUCUUUGUCUCAUGUUCAACUCCUUCUGUGUGAAGAUAUUUUUCAGACUUUUGUGGUCCGUGUAUAUCUCACACUUCUCACCAUAUAGAUAAUGCCUCCAUAUCUUCAAUGCAAAAACUACAGCUGCCAAUUCCAGAUCAUGGGUAGGAUAUGCCUUCUCAUAAUCCUUCAAUUGACGUGAUGCAUACGCAAUGACCUUAUCAUGCUGCAUGAGCACGCAACCCAGUCCUUUAUGCGAAGCAUCGCUAUACACUACAAAAUUUCCUGUAUCGUCUGGUAAAGACAAUACAGGUGCCUCACUUAACCUUUUCUUUAACUCCUGAAAACUGUUCUCAUAUUUUCAGUCCACACAUACUUCACCGACUUUCUUGUCAGAUUUGUCAAUGGAGUAGCUAUUUUAGAAAAGUCCGGAAUGAACCUUCUAUAAUAUCCCGCUAACCCCAGAAAACUCCGAACCUCAGUUGGCGUUUUUGGUUGUUCCCACUCAUUAACUGCUUUCAGUUUUGCUGGAUCUACGAAAAUGUCAUCUUUAUCAAUAACAUGUCCUAGAAACUGCACUCUCUCAAGCCAAAAUUCACACUUUGUGAAUUUCGCAUACAACUUCUCCUUCCUUAGUGUUUCUAACACUAUUCUUAAAUUUUCUGCAUGAUCUUCUGACGUCUUUGAAUAGACUAGAAUAUUAUCAAUGAACACUUCAACGAACUUGUCCAAAUACUAUUUGAACACUCUGUUCAUUAUAUCCAUAAAUGCGGCUGACGCAUUAGUCAACCUAAAUGACAUUACCAAAAACUCGUAAUAACCAUAACGAGUUCUGAACACCGUCUUAGGUACAUCCUCCUUCCUCACUUUUAACUGAUGAUACCCCGUGCGCAAAUCUAUCUUAGAAAAAUAAUUUGCCCCUUUCAACUGAUCAAAUAGAUCAUCGAUCCUGGGCAACGGGUAUUUAUUCUUAAUCGUUAAUUUGUUCAACUCUCGAUAGUCGAUACAAAGUCUUAAUAACCCAUCCUUCUUCUUUACAAACAACAUCGGUGCUCCCCAAGGAGACACACUCAGUUGAAUUUACUUCCUACCUAAUAGUUCUUGUAAUUGAACCAUUAACUCCUUCAUCUCAACUGGUGCCAUCCGAUAUGGUGCCCUUGAAACUGGUGCCGUUCCCGGUAAUAGAUAAAUUACAAACUCCACCUCCUUGUCCGGUGGAAUACCCGGUAACUCCUCUAGAAAUACAUCUGCAAACUCUUGCACUAUAGGUAUCUGGUCCAAGGAUGUUCCCCCUCUUUGGGUAUCCACAACAUGACAUAUAUAACCUACAAACCCUUUUCUCAACAUCUUCCUAGCUUGUGUCAUAGACAGACAACAAGAGCGUCUCGGUGAUUUACUACCGAAGAACACUACCUUGGUUUUCUUAGAAAGCCGAAGGUUUACACUUUUCCUAUGGCAAUCUAUAAUCGCCUUAUGGUUAACCAACCAAUCCAUACCAAGAAUUACAUCGAAUUCUUUUAACCUUAUCGGUACCAAAUCUCCCGAUAACUUAUUCCCUCUAAUUUUUACGCAACAAUCCUUAUGAAUAUGUUCAAUGGGGAUUAUCUCUUCGUUUGCUACCUUAACGUCUAAAGGUAUAGGUAACUUCUCAGGGAUUAAAACUAAUCGCUUAGCAAAUUCACAUGCUAUGAAAGAACAAGUAGCACCCGAGUCAAAUAACACGUAAGCAUUUACCACAUCCGUUGAUGCAACCGCAUCUUGGACAGUCAUAUUAAACGUACGAGCUGAGGGUCUACCCACCGAUGGUGUUGGUCCAGUAAUUGCUAAUUUACCACUACCAGAACUCUUAUUCCCCUCUAAACCCUUCUUCGGGCAAUUUCUUGCCAUGUGGUCCAUUAACCCACAGAUAAAACAUCCCUGGUUCUUCUUAGGGUCAGGACAGUUGGGUGACAAAUGCCCUUCCUACCCACAGUUGUAGCAGACUGCUUUCCCUUUUAAACAGACUCCCAUGUGAGGCUUUUCGCAUGUCUUACAUGCUUCCGUCCUCCGUUUGGGAUCUCCCUACGUUACCCCGGUAUUCCCAGGGUUAAAACUCUUUCUCUUUGGCAAGUUGCCACUUUCGCUGGCAACUUCAGCCCUACUACCUCCUUCUAACUUACUCUUAAUCUUUCGCUCUUUGUGGUACUGAGACAAUGCCUCACCACCACCUUCAGCUAUUAUCGCCUUCUCCAAAAUGGUCCCGUAAGAAGCACUCUGAAAAACCGAUAUCCUACUAUAGAGCCAGAGUUUUAAGCCCUGCUCAAACCUGCGCGCCUUUCUCUCCUCUGUAUCCACCUGGUGUGGAGCAAAUCUCGCCAAUUCGUUAACUUGGCGGCAUACUGGGGAACUGUCAUAUUCCCCUGCUUAAGUUCCAGGAACUUAAUCUCCAUCCUAUCCUACAUGCUAGUAGGGAAAUAGUUCUCGAAGAAAACCUUCUUAAACUGUUCCCACGUAACAACUUCGAUCCUAGCCCCACCCUGGUGAGCCUCCCACCAGUAGUUGGCUUCCCCCUUCAUCAUGUAAGUCACAAAAGAAGUCUUUUGUGCCUCACCUACGUUUGUUAUCACAAAUGCCUUUUCAAUCUCUCUUACCUAUGUCUAGGCUUCUAACGGGUCCGUCGUUCCUCGAAACUCGGGAGGACCCACACUUUUAAAGUCCUUGAAGGUAGUUGUUCUUGCUACCCUAGGAGUUAUAGGAAUCCCACCCCCACUUGGUUAAAUGCAGCCGUUAAUAAAUUAACGAACUCUUGCAUAGGGUUAUUAGGACCCCCCCAAGAUUCUCAUUAUGAGACUCGGCCUCUUGGUUACGUUGUCUCCUUCUUAGCGGCAUAAUUCUGAUUAAAUAAAUAAAGCUUCGUUAUUAUCUAUUUAACUACUCGGUUAUCAUUCUCAAACAACAACAACCACUCAUACCACAACAAGCACUUUAAAUAAAAACUUCAUUAUAUUAAUAUGCUUUCAUAUUCAAAACUAUUUACAUCAUGUUUCUUUUAGCCAAAAAGCUAUUACAUACUAUCCUGCGAUUAACUUCUACAAAAAUUGGGAUUUACAAAAAGACUACCCUUUAAUUAUACAAAAGAGGGCUUUACGUCACUACUUCUAUACAAAAAGAUCUGACGAUCUACUAACACUGUCGAACGGCAUUCUCAUAUUUCUGGUUUGCCAGUAUCGACACAAUAUCUCGACUUAUGGUAUGUCGAGUCUGUCCGGACUCAAUGGAAUAACAAGCAAUUUUCAGCUUGAAAUCCUCAUGAGCGCAUUCGUGGAUGUAUGACAUCCUAGCUAUUUUUUGGUCUUUUUCAACCAGUUUCUUUUGAAGCUCUAGGACCUCAUCCUUAUAGUCACGAGCUUUAUCUGUCAUAAGCACUUUCUCGUCAUGCUUUGACUCAAAGUCUGCCUCUGCAGAUUCUUUCGCCUCAUAUAACGCGGUUAUCUCCUCAUCCUGAUUUUCUAUCACAGUGCACAAAUGCACAUUCCUAUCCAACACAGACAGAUACAAUGUUGUCAUUGUAUCCGGAGGUGUCGGCUCCUGAGUAGGUACCACUGUAUUAACCGAUGUCACCUCCAUUUCUUCCUCCACGUCUAGCAUCUCGUUAAGGUAUGAUGCUAACCCCAUGGUCUCCUCAGAGUAUUCCUCCUCAGAGAUGUACUCCUCAAUGUCUGAGUCUUCUAGUACAACUAACGGUACCUCCGCCACUGGCAUUGGUACUAUCUCAACUUGAUUCACUGACUCUUCACUCACAACGUGAAUGUCUCUAUACAUCAUGCUAUUGAUCGACAUCUAUAAUAACACAUAACAAGUUGAUUAGUACAUAAUACACAAUAGUAUAAGCACAAAUCACAUUUAAUUUAUUUAAGGUUACUUUUCAUCUUUUAAAUCUUUCAGUACUGAGUUUUCUCAAUACUUUAUUAAUUCAUUCAACGCGAAUUUCUUUCUUCGGACUUUACCUUCCUUACGAGGUUAUUAGCCUAAGGUUCUCCCCCCUUAAGUUUUAUAACCUAAGGCUUUGAUACCAACCUAUGACGCCCCCAAAUUCGGGUAUCUUCUAACCCAACAUAUGGUGCUCCACUGUACUAACAUCCAUACAAUCAUUCCAUUGAAAUACAACAAAAUGAAUGUAAUUACUAUCUUCUUAUUACAAUCAAAGUAUAAUCCUUCCCAGGUUCAUAAACCGGUUACAUCGUUCAUUGUUCAUAAUGUAUAAUACAUACAAACUUACUAAACUAUUACACAAUGCCUAAGCAUCCAUCUUAGCUUUGCCCUUAUCUCUCUUGGCAUUCACAGUACGUUCAUCCUUAACUGCAGUUAUAUAAUUCACGCAAGAAGUGAGCAUGACAACUCAGCAAGUUUAAUAAAGGAUAACAGUAAUACCACAUUCGUGAAUUAUAUAACAAUUCCGACAUAACUGAACAAUAGUUAUGAAGUAUUAUGAAUCAAUAAUACUUUAACAGUUCAUAACAUCAAUUCCCAAAGUAUAGAAUAGAUUAGGAAUUCUGAACCGGUCGAUAGACCAUGAACAAUAACUUUCAGUUUUCAUACUUGAAAAGGAGUCCACAACACUAAGGCCGUUCAUCCGCAUAACUUACGAGCACUUCUAGGUGAUCAGCCUAUAGUACUUUAUGUUAAUCAACACUCAUUCAUUAAACGUAUUUACGUUUAAUGUUUUUGGCAAACUCGCGUGCCCAUCGAAUAAUCGAUGAAAAAUAUUUUUAUUUGUUCAUAGACAAACCUUACCUUCACGUCCGUACCAAUUUCUUGGCAUAGGAUAGCGUUAACAUUUCUAUAUAGAAAGAUAUGAAUAUCAAUCAAUCUAUAUAUUACGAAUAGUCUAGCCGAGUAAAAAUCUGGCAUCGACCCUUUCUUUAAAAUAAGUCUUGCAAUUCAGUUCAACGAAUCACAUAAAACUUGGCUAACUUGAAAGUUAGACAAGCGUUAAGAAAACUUGCCUUUUACCGUCUUCAAAUAACUUAAUCGACUGACCACAACCUUUACAAAAUCUACAUGAUAUAUUCACAUAGCACACUGUAAUUAGCUAACAAAUAAAUGUUUCUACCAACUUCUUUCUCUUUUAUGUCUUAGUUAACUUAAUAAAUUUAUUAAAGUCAACAUGACUUAUUACCCUUCGUCCCGGUUUAUUACUCAACUGACAUUAUUAAUCGGACUCGAACAUCGUUGAUAAAGUACCAACUUUGUUCAUCGUUAUUAACUUGUUAACAUGCAUUCAAUUCCUAAGUUUUUAUCACCAUAUACCUUAGUAUAGGUAGCAUAGGAAUAACUUUAAUACACUUAUAAAGUAUACACAUAUUACCCCUUUAGGUCCCAGAACAAUUGAAGUUCAAAACCUAAAUCACUAUCAAGGACCUUGAACUCGCGAUGCGGCGCGGCCUAUACAAUACUAGACUGGCGCUGCGGUGCGAGACAGUGGCGCUGUGACGCCACUUAGCAGUAGCAAAUGCCCUGUGCUGGCACUGCGGCGCAGCAAUUUUACACUAUGUCUGGCGCCGCGGCACCAGACCUCAAUUGCAGAACUUCAACAAUUUUGAAAAAAAUUGUGAAAUUCUCGGGGCCGUAACUUCUUCGUUAUAAGCCCGAUUUGGUCCGUUCAAAAGCCUACACGUCAUAAAUGACACACUCUACGCGUUCAUAUAAGAAUUCAAUAUUUUUGAAUCCAAUAACUCAAAAUUCAUUAUUGAGUUCAUUUUCUAGACGUUCGUAAACGUUAAUGAGCGUUCAAUGCUCGUUUUCUUCGUUUUAAGUCGGAAUCCGACGAUUCUCAAACCCACAACUCUUAAUCACCCUAUCUCACGUGUUGACAUUGAAAAAUAUCAUUUCCAAGUCUUACGGCAACUUUUGACCUCUAAUCCGGAAUUCAACAUUUUUGAUGUUUAACGUCUUAUUCCGCGAAAUCCGCCAUAACUUCGUUACUAGCGUUCUCUAAGACAAAUCACAUGGAAUACUCCAUGGAUUUCAUAUCUACAUCCUAACCAAACAAGAUGCAUAUAUUAACGUAUUGAUGGAGUUCAAUUGUUUAUAAACAAUUGAUCCCAACAAAUAAUAUUUUCAUGGUUCAAAACUAUAUUAAACCUUAUGAUUCUUAUAAUCUUAUGACUUGUAGAGAUUUAAUCUAUGGUAAGCCCUCUUUAAUCCCUCAUACAAGACAUAUACCACCUAUUCUAUGAUUCUCUAAGAUAAAAGAAAAUCUAAAAGAGAUGGAAAUGAGAAACAAUAAGUAUUACCUCAAAAACUCUUAUGAAACUCUCUUGGAAAACUCUAAGAUCAAGCUUCCAAAGUGAAGGAUUUGUAAGUCUAGCUCUCUUUCUCUCUCAAAUAAUCUAGGUUGGAAAUUUGUAAAACUCCCAAAUGAAACAAUCUAGCCUCUUAUUUAUAGUAAACUAGAAUGGAGGGUAAUAAUUUGGACUUUAAACCACAAACCUCCUUACUAUUCAUGUGUGGUCACCAAGUAAAAUACUUGGUGACCAAGCUUCAAACUUGGCUUUCACACCAAGUGGUCGGCCCACCUCUUGACAUGUGACAUCCUAUGGGUUGCCCCAAGGGUUUUACCCAUUCGGUAACCCACCGGUUCGAUCCACGGUUCAGUUUUCAUGAAUUGGGCUUAAAUAAAUUAACAUUGGGCCUUGACUUGGGCUUAACCCACUAAUCACUUGGGCUUGCUCAUACAAUUGAUUGGACUAUGCAUAAUCCAACUCAAAUGAAUUAACAUUAAGUCUUAACUUAAUUCUAUAAUACGAAUCGUAUCCCAUACGUACAAUUCACGUAUUCUCUUCGUAUACUACUCGUACAAUAAUCGUAUUGUACUUCGUAUUUACUCAACGUAUUAUACAUAGAUACUAAAUAUUAUCAUAAAUGUAUAACACUCGCAUUAACCCUAACGCCAUUCCUUCUACGCAUAUUAUUUCCUUCUCGGAAAUCAAUAUACUCAACCCUUAGGUUUUAAGUCCGCAGGCCAAAAACUGCGUUUUCUAUAAAUGAAAUACUAUCAGAUAUUCCAUCUAAUCUCAAUAUUCUAUCAUCACGCGUUUCUCUGAAUUUCAAAAUAAUUCCCCAAACAGAAACGGAUGAAUAGUGUUUUUACAAAAAUUUCUCGGAAAAUAAUUCUUUUCGUCUUGAAAAUUCUAAACAAAUAAUUCUAGCACGAAGCCAGAAUACUAACCACGUUAGCACAUUCUAGAUCAUAGAACGACCUUCACAUAGCUUACUCACAUAAUAAUCAAUUAAAUUCAUUUAAGUCACAUAAUCAAAUAGAAAUUUAAUUGUCAUAAAAAUCUAAUUUUCUCGGGCGUUAUAGGUGGCAGCUGAAAAUGUCCAUCACGGGAACUGAAUCUAGAUUCAGGAACCGAAUCUAAAUUCAGGAACUGAAUCUAUGAUCACAUGAUUCAUAGGCUCACAUGAUAAAGAAAUAUAUACAAAAGCUAAAACAAGAACUAGAUUUGAAUAAAUCUAAACUAUUUAAGCUUCAUCCUUGGUUUGCUAUGAGCUUUGACAGGAAUUCCUCCAACUUUUGAAUUUUCUUCUUGUAGCAAUAGAGGUGUAUAUGAAAAUUCUGGUGGAUAUGUUGGACUUGGGGGGCAGUAUUGGUCUUGAUAGUUAUAGCUCCAUGAAGAAUCUUGGUGAUACCCCCAACCUUGAUGAUAAUUAGGAUAAGCAUAGUUAUUGAAGUAAUUACCCCCAUACUGUACUAGUCCAAAUCUGACGAUGCAUUGAUGACUCAGAUGAUUGCCAGCACAAUAAUUACAAAGUACUGUGAUCUUUCGAAUACUUUGGGCUGCAACAACAUCUAACCUCUUCGAAAGUGUUUUAUUUUGUGCUGACAAUGCAAAAAAUGCAAUGAGUCCAUCAAAUCAUGUGUCCCUUGGUUGAGUCAUAUUCGUAUAUGGCCAUUGCUAAGCAAAGUCCGCCAUGGUACCUGAAAAGAAAAAAAAUAGAAAGAAAAUAAAAUAAAAUCAAAUCAAAUCAAAAAUAAAAAUAAAAAUAAGAAACAUUUAAAUUAAAACUAAUUUGAUUAAAAUUAAUAUUGGCAAAAACUAUUAAAUUAAUUCCCCGACAACGGCGCCAAAAAAUUAUUGGGUAAAAUCUAAAUACGCUCACACGCAAGUAUACGUGGUCAACAAGUAAUAAAGUGAUAAGUUGAGUAUCGUUCCCAUAGAGAAUUAUUUAACAAGAAUUACCAAGUACUAACCUAUAAUCAAUUUAAUCUUAUUUAAACAAAUGAUUUACUAAUUUAAUUUAAAAUAAUUAAAUAAACUAUUACUAAUUAUCCCUAGAAUGAAACAAGAUAUUAAAGACUUGAGACUACAAUUUUACCUAUUGCUUUAUUUAAAUUAACACACUUCCUAUUAAACCAAAUUACUUAUACUGGAUUGUUAAUCAAGAACACGACAGUAAAAUAUGGUCAUCUCUCAAUACACCAUACUCAUAUUAAAUCAAAUCCACAAAUGAUAGAAUCAAUUUGAACACCCUAAUUAACUAACCAACUAUAUCUCUAUGUGAAUUAUAAUUAAAAAGGGUUUAAAUACAAGUUCUUAUUAGAUUACAUGCAAUGCCUCGAUAUAUCUCUAUCCUAAGCACAAAUCAUGAAUUCCAACGCCAUGUAGAACAUAUAAAGACAUGCUAUUCUGACCAGAUCUAAAUUCAUACUCCGUCUCUCGAUUUCAUAUGGAUUAUCACAGUAAUUGUUAGCUAGGAAAUUAAGCAAUUAAGGGCAAACCAUAACAGACAAUCCAAAUACUACUAAUAAGACCAACAAGGAAGCAUAUUAAAGUAAAUUACACAAUAAGAUCCAUAGUAAUAUCAAAUAAAAGAUUUAAUUCAUGAUUAAUGAAUUAAAACUAAGAAUCGACAAUUGAAUAACCAUUAAAAGACAAAUAUAGAAGAAGAGAAAAAGAUAGAAUCUGUUGUCUGCAGAUUUGAUGCUCCCUCCAAGUUGUUUUAAUCUCCAAAUCUAAUAAGAACUAGGGUUUUGGUGCUAAUCUACUCUAAUGAAGUCCCCAAUUAAAGUAGUAUGCACACAAGUCAAUCAUGUUUGAUGAUAAAGCAUAUACUUUGUAACAAUCUUAUUCAUUUAUUAAUAAAAGUAUUUAUUUAUUAAAAGCUUUUCAAUUAUCCACAUGAUGCUGUUUUAUAAUAUGUGAUAAACCCAUAGUUUUAAAGAAUGCUUUUAGAAUAAUGAUGAUGAUCAUUCUAAUAAGAUCUAAAUUCUUAGAAAGCUUAAAACUAAAAUAGUUCCCAAUCGUUGGAUUACUAAAUUGAGGAUUAGUGAAUCUAGAUAGAUUGGUACAUACGUUGCUUGCUCAUUGGAUGAGGAUGAUUGAUCUCAUGAUCAUUUGUGUGGAGACACUAAAGCAAGUAUGUAGGUGCUUAUUAGAGAAUAAGUUCACUGAACGUGGCUCGCUAAGGAAUACCUAAUGGAGUUUUACUUGCCUGUCAAUAGGAAUUCCUGUAGUGAUAGUAGUACAAGUGAUCCUUGGACUUGAGAUCAUCAUAGUAUCUUGUGUAUGAUGAGUUAUACUUUGACUUAUUCCUUAAGACCCUUAGGGUAUAUCAAAGGGUAUGCUUGGGUAUAAUAAGUUGUACAUGGAGAUAAUGUAUGAUCAAUAAAGAAUCUACCACUUCUAGUAAAAGAAGAGAAAUGUCCUAUGUGAUUCGAUAAAUGACAACCCAGUAGUCCUUGGCCAAGGCAGAAUGAAAUUAGAAAGGAGUUUCUAAUUUGCAUUAUUUGGAGUUGUGCAUUUAAGAGUCGAAAUACAUAUAAUUAAAUAAAAUAAGACUUGACAGUAAUUCCAUGUCUUAUAUUUAAUUGGGACAUUGUAUGGUGGAAGGAUUGAAUUGUACGGUAACUAUUUACUCAAAGGUUCUUUUAUGAUUAAUGUUGAAAUCUAUAUUAUCUGGAAAGUCGUUGAUCGCUAGGGAGGCUUAUCCCUAUUGUAGAAUAAAUAUUAUUUAUUUAAAUAAAUUAAUAGUUUAAUUUAUUUAUUUAAAUAAGAUUAGAAUUGUUCUAAUUGAUUUAUUCACAACCGGUUUAAUAUGGAGAACCUAAAGGGUCACACCAUAAAAGGAAGAAUAAUUAUUUAAGAAGUUAAUGGCAUAAUCGUAAUAAUAAGUUAAGUAUAUUUAAUUUAAUCUAUGGUGAUAGAAUAAAUUAAAUAGCUUAAUAUUUAUUAUUUAAUAUUUUGGAAAUAUUAAAUAUAAAUUAAUAAGAGGAGUCUUAUUAUUAUUAUUACUAUUAUUAUUAUUUAAUUCCUAAAGGAGUUUGGGAAUUAAUUAAUAAAAGUACUCUCAUAUAUUCCUAAUAAGAUUAGGAGGUUAAAUUAAUUAAAAGAGUUUAAUUAAUUAUCCCUAAUAAGAUUAGGGAGCUUAAUUAAUUAAAAGAAUUUAAUUAAUUAAAUAAAACCCAAUUCCUUAAUUGUUAAGGAGGGUUGCCUACAUCUAUAAAUAAGAGGAGUCUUAUUAUGGGUGAGGUGGUUGACACUUUCACAACACGUGAAUACGUAAUUCCAAUAGUUGGGAGAGUACGCCUUUUUCUAUAGAGAUAGAAAACUAGGGUUUUGCCAAACACCCAUCUUCUUGAAUCUUUCUUCUUCCUUGGUGGAUCACCUCUAGAGGCCAAACACUUGGGUGGCUAACGUUGAUCAAAGGAAGGAACCAAACCCGGUGGAUUCAAGUUGAACGCGAAAAGGAUUGGAGGUGAACUUGUACCUGAGGAAGCUCGAAUCUUCAAGGGUAUGAUUCUUGUUCUUUAUUUUUUCGUUUAAUUAAUAAUUGUGCAUAAAGGAUGAUCCGGGUAUAUGGUUUGUAAAAUUUUAAAACUCUGAUUUUCCACGUUUCCGCUUAUUUUGUGCAAUUUGAUUGCGUUCAUGAAUAUUACAAACCUAACAGUGGUAUCAGAGCCAAACCUUUAUGCGAAUUAUUAAUUGUUUUAAUUUGAUAUGUAUAUUGAUAUGUGUUUAGAACAAUUUAAUUGGGCAUAAUUUUGUUGUAUAAAAUUUAUUUUAAAAAAAAAAAUCUCGCGAGAUUUCAAUACCGCUGUUUUAAAAACAAUGCUGAUUCACGUCGGUUAUACAUGGUAAUCAUGAAUCUUUUUGUGGGAUCUCAUGUUAUCUUUUAAUAUAUAUAAUAGUUAUAUAUUAAUAAGAUAUCUUAGUAAUAUAUAAUGCAAGCAGGUGAGUACUACUACAUCAGGAAUUCAGGAUGAUUCAUGUUAUUGUUUUUGAAUUCAUGUUAAGGGAUGUUUCAUGUGAACGUUUUUUUUGGUAUUCACGUGUUGCUAUAUAUUUUAUAUAUAUGAUAUAUGAUUUAUAUAUAUAUAUAUAUAUAUAUUCAUAAUUAUUUUAAUCUUAAAAUAAAAGUUUUAUUUUAAUUUUAAAAUAAAAAGUUUAUUUUAAUUUUAAAAUUGAAUUUCAUGCUAACUAAUUAGAGUUGGAAUUGGAUUCCAUGAUAACUAAUUGGAGUUGAAAUUGGAUUCCAUGUUUCCUUAAAUAAAGGAGUUUAUUUAGAUAUGAAAUAAGAUUUCAUAUUAUUCAAAAUAAAAGAGUUUAUUUGUGAAUAGGAAAGAGAAUCCGUAUUUCCUUAAAUAAAGGAGUUUAUUUAGAUAUGAAAUAAGAUUUCAUAUUAUUCAAAAUAAAAGAGUUUAUUUGUGAAUAGGAAAGAGAAUCCGUAUUUCCUUAAAUAAAGGAGUUUAUUUAGAUAUGAAAUAAGAUUUCAUAUUAUUCAAAAUAAAAGAGUUUAUUUGUGAAUAGGAAAGAGAAUCCGUAUUUCCUUAAAUAAAGGAGUUUAUUUAGAUAUGAAAUAAGAUUUCAUAUUAUUCAAAAUAAAAGAGUUUAUUUGUGAAUAGGAAAGAGAAUCCGUGUUUCCUUUAAUAAAGGAGUUUUUUUUUUACUUGGAAUUGGAUUCCAUAAUUAAUUAAAAUAAAGGAGUUUAUUUUGAUUAAAGAUUUUGAUUAAAAUAAAAUAGUUUAUUUUAUUCAAAAUUGGAUAAAUUAAAAUAAAAGAGUUUUAUUUUGAUUUAAAUUUGGAUUAAAAUAAAGGAGUUUAUUUUGAUUCAAAAUUAGAUUUUAUACUAACUAAAUUUGCCCAUUAAAUGAUAUCAAUAUAUAUAUUGAAUGUUUAUUAUUCAUGAGAUGAAUGUUAUUUAUUGAUGCAUAUGGUGAUGUGUAUGAUAAUAAAUGGGAUUGAUUAUGGACUAUUGACCAAUGUGAUUGGAUUUUAUUUUAGUUGGAUGCAUGAAUGUAUGAGUUUUAUUAAAUGGGGUCUGCGUACCUCGUCUUCUCUAAUUUUUUUUUAUGUAAAUUCUAUCUCCCUCCUAUGUACUUCCCCUUGACUGCUGAUCAAGGUUUCUAUUUAUUUUAAAUAGUUUUGUAAUAGGAAUAGUUAGAAUUAAUUUUGAAGAAUUGGAGAUCAAGGAGCAAGGAGCGCUUGAAGACCCGUUUGUAAUGGAGCCCGGGUUUAAAUGUAAUAGUUAUAUUUAAAUAUUAAUUCUUGCACCCCUAGGGUUUGACCUUUUGGUUCACUUGGUGGCUCUAGUGAACCAAACUAGAAUAAAAGUCCAUAAUCAAUCCGGGUAGAAUAUAGUAUUCUAUAUGUGCAUGCUUAUACUAUAUAUAUUAUAUAUUAUGCAAACAUGCUUCGCAUGUUAAUUAAUAUGACGCGUAUUUUAUAUAUAUAUGUGCAUGCGCGCUAAACAAGAUGAGACAAAUUAAUAACAAACCCCUCAAAUAUUUUAUAUUAAGUUGUAACGUUCAAAGAUAUUUGGAAUAUUGAAUGUCGCCUUCUAGCAUGAUAGAAACAAUAGAGUAUUGAAUAUUUAAUAUGAGUUUGUUGUGCAUACACAAGGCAAGUAUUAAAUAUUUAAGAUGUUGUUUUUAUUACAUAUAGUGUUUAUAAGGAAUUGAACAUUACUGCUUCGUUGUGCACACACAAGAGCUGUAGUUUUCUCUUCACUUAUAUGGAAAUGUUGGGUCUGACUUAACUUAGAUCAUUUUAGUUUGGAUGUGAACACACUUGACCAUUAUGAUCUAAGAGGCAAAAUACAAGGAGUUGCAUAGUUGAUGUAAUUGACAAAAGUUGUCUACCUAUUUAUUUAUAUAUAGUUUGUUGUGCACACACAAGGCUAUAUUAAUUUGAAAUGGGAUCCUUAUUCUCACUAGCAUAUCUUUAAUUAGAUAUUGUCGAACUAUAUAAAGUGAGGGUACUAUAGUUUGAAGAAAAUAGUGGGAGAUACCAAUUUAAAACAAGACCUAAUUUAUUUUGGUAAUUAAUAAAAGAAUGUAUGCUAAAAUAUUGUUAAUUACAAAUUCAUUUACAGAAUUUUAUAAUGUCUAAAUUACUAUCACUGCGAAGCAUAUUAGAUGCUAUUUAAUCGGACCGAAUUAAAUGGAUUGGUUAAGGAAAUUGAGAAUAGUUCUCAUGGACGAAAAGCUAUCUUAUGUCCUUAAUACGCCUGUCCCUGUAAUGGUUGCAGACAGUGCCUCUGAGGAAGAGAUUGCUACUUUUAGAAAGUGGCAAGAUGAUGCAUUGUUGGCUCAAUGCAUCAUGCUCACAUCCAUGAGUAACGAGCUUCAGCGUCAUCAUGAAACUAUGGAUGCUCCUACUAUAUUCCUACACAUCAAGUAGUUGAUGGUGAGGAAACUAGGACUAAUAGAUAUCAGAUAUCUAAGGAGCUCUUCCGAUCUAGAAUGACUGAUGACACUAUAGUAAAGACAAAAGUCCUUAACAUGAUCAAUUUGAUUGAACAAUUAAGAAUAGGUUUUGUCAUGGAUGGAGAGUUAAGCCAAGAUUUGAUCUUGUACUCACUCCCGGACUCCUUUCACAAUUGUUGUGAUUUUUUCAUAUGAAUAAGCUAGAUAUAAGCCUCACUAAUUUGCUUAACAUGUUAAAAAAUGUUGAGAGUCACUUUCCAACCAAAAAAGACCAUGUCUUACUGGUAGGGGCCAAAGGAUCUUCUGAAAAGAAGAACGAUUCAAAGAAGUUAAAUAGAAAGGCAAAAACAAAGGAUAAUAAGAACAAAACUGAUAUAGAUAGCAAAGGAGUUUGCUUCCACUGCAAUAAGCCUAGACACUAGAAGAAACUGCGAGAAGCAUCUUGCAGAGGCUAACCAAAGAAGCUUAGUGAAGUUUCGGUUACAAAUACAAAUUUGUUCAUGAUUUAAAAUAAAUUUUUCUUUAAAUCAAGGUUCUACUUGGGUAUUGGAUACCGACUUUGGUUAUCAUAAAUAUAGAUUUAUGAAGGGACCAAGCAGAAGUAAAAAGCUAAACAAAUAUAAGUAAUCCUAUGUGUGGGAAAUAAAGCAAAGGUUGCCACAUUAGCCAUAGAAACUUAUAGUUUAGCAAUGCCUACGGGUAAAUCUAUUAAGUCAAUAAGUUGAUAUUGUAUUCCAGUUCUUGUUAGAAAUAUUAUUUCCAUUUUAUUGUUGGACAAUGAAAUCUUUGGUAUUAUAUUUAAGAAUAAUUGUUGUUCUAUUUAUAAUGAUAAUGUUUUGUAUAGAACUGGAAUAUUACUUAAUGGAUUUUGUAUACUUGACUUACGUAAAAAUAAUUUUGCAAAUUGAACAAACUAGUAUAAGAAUAGGAGAUGAUCAUUCAAAGAGUUCAAUGUGUGUAUUUGCUGAAAUACAAGUGUGAAUUAUUUAAAAGGUUCAAAGAAUUCAGAAGUGAAACAAAUUGACAAAAUAUUAAGAUUCUUUGAUUAGAUCAAGGAAUAAAUACUUGUGCAAUAAGUUUUUAGAUCAUCUCAAAUGGUUUUCUCAUAAUGGACGCCUCCCGAUACACAAUAAUUGAUUGAUGUUUCUAAAAGGAAAAAUUGUACCUUGUUGAACAUGGUGCAGUCCACAAUGAUUUUACUGACAUUCCAGUAUCCUUCUGGGGUCAUGCCCUAGAAAUGGCUGCAUAUCUACGAAAAUGGUAACCUCAAAAUCUGGCCCCAAGACUCCAUAAAAGUUAUGGAUAGGGAGGAUUCCUAAUCUUAAGUAUGUUAAGAUAAGGGGUUGUCCAACUUAUGUGAAAAGGUUUCAAAGGAUAAGCUUGGGACAAAGUUUGACAAGUGUCAAUUCGUGGGACAUCCUAAAGUAAGUUUAGGGUAUAUGUUCUAUAAUCCUACUUAGCAAAAGUGUUUGUUGCGAAACACACUGCCUUCUAAGAUAAAGGUGUUUAUCAUUGAAGGGGCUAGUGGGAGGAUAAUAGAUCUUGAAGAGUUCAAGAACCACAAAACAUUAUAAGUCAAAUAAGAGGAACCUGUAGAUAGACCUAUUGUACCACAAUCGAAUUAUAAAUCUGGAAUAGUACCGAAGAUACCUAGGAGGUAUGGAUUCAUCAUAGAUGAUGAUGAUGAGGUACACAUCAUAGAAGAUGAUGAUCCAGUUACAUACGAUGAGGUAAGAGUUGUAGACACUUAGAGAAAUGGAUUGUAGCAAGCUUCUCAAAAAUGGAACAUUCGUUUUGAUCAGACAAUCAAAAGAGUUUGAUUUUAUCAAAAACAAGAAUGAACCUAGUGUGUACAAAAGGGUCAGUGGGAGCGUCGUGACAUUCCUAGUAUUAUAUGUUGAUAUACUACGGAUAAGGAAUGACAUACCAAUGCUACAAUUAGUAAAGAUAAAGUUGUCUAAACAUUCCUCCAUGAAUGUUUUGGGAAGAGUAUCGUUAUUGGGAAUACAAAUCUAUAUAGAUAGAUUUAAUAAGAUGCUCGACUUAACCCAAAGAACGUAUAUUCAUUUGAUGCUAAAGUCGUUUAGCAUGGCAAACUCCAAGAGAUGUCUCAUGUUGAUGAGUUAUGGAGUGUAUCUCUCUUAAUAGUCCCCAUAGACUCCUAAAAAGAGAGAUCACAUGAGUGACAAUCAUGUAUGCAAUGAAAUAUACAAGACCUGAUGAUGAUCGGUCAUAUUCUGAAGAAGAUCACUGUGUAGUGAAUUCAAAAGGUUUCAAACAGCAAAGAGUUGCUGGUUUAGUGAUAAAGACAAAGUAUAUAGCUCUAAAUGAAGCUACAAGUUGAUUGUUUGGAUAAAAAGUUCAUUACAGAACUAGAAAUAGUUUCUAAGUCUCAUCUUAGAUCUAAAUAUGUGUUGUGGCACUUUUAUUUAAUUAUAAGAAUCAUUGAAAGAUGGGAAAUUAGUAUAGAGAUAGUGGACUCUCAAGAACAACAUUAAAUAUCCAUUAACUAAAGCUUAUCCAACAGUAGGAUAAUCGUCACUUAGAGAAGAAGGGUAUGAGAUACCAUAACGAUUGACUUUAGUGCAAGUGGGAGAUUGAAAGUAGUAUGCACACAAGCUAAUCAUGUUUGAUGAUAAAGCAUAUACUUUGUAACAAUCUUAUUCAUUUAUUAAUAAAAUUAUUAAUUUAUUAAAGGCUUUUCAAUUAUCUACAUGAUGUUGUUUUAUAAUAUGUGAUAAACCCAUUGUUUUAAGCAAUGCUUUUAGAAUAAUGAUGAUGAUCAUUCUAAUGAGAUCUAAAUUCUUAGAAAGCUUAAAACUAAAAUAGUUCCCAAUCGUUGGAUUACUAAAUUGGGGAUUAGUGAAUCCGGAUAGAUUGGUACAUACGUUGCUUGCUCAUUGGAUGAGGAUGAUUGAUCUCAUGAUCAUUUGUGUGGAGACACUAAAGCAAGUAUGUAGGUGCUUAUUAGAGAAUAAGUUCACUGAACGUGGCUCGCUAAGGAAUACCUAAUGGAGUUUUACUUGCCUGUCAAUAGGAAUUCCUGUAGUGAUAGUAGUACAAGUGAUCCUUGGACUUGAGAUCAUCAUAGUAUCUUGUGUAUGAUGAGUUAUACUUUGACUUAUUCCUUAAGACCCUUAGGGUAUAUCAAAGGGUAUGCUUGGGUAUAAUAAGUUGUACAUGGAGAUAAUGUAUGAUCAAUAAAGAAUCUACCACUUCUAGUAAAAGAAGAGAAAUGUCCUAUGUGAUUCGAUAAAUGACAACCCAGUAGUCCUUGGCCAAGGCAGAAUGAAAUUAGAAAGGAGUUUCUAAUUUGCAUUAUUUGGAGUUGUGCAUUUAAGAGUCGAAAUACAUAUAAUUAAAUAAAAUAAGACUUGACAGUAAUUCCAUGUCUUAUAUUUAAUUGGGACAUUGUAUGGUGGAAGGAUUGAAUUGUACGGUAACUAUUUACUCAAAGGUUCUUUUAUGAUUAAUGUUGAAAUCUAUAUUAUCUGGAAAGUCGUUGAUCGCUAGGGAGGCUUAUCCCUAUUGUAGAAUAAAUAUUAUUUAUUUAAAUAAAUUAAUAGUUUAAUUUAUUUAUUUAAAUAAGAUUAGAAUUGUUCUAAUUGAUUUAUUCACAACCGGUUUAAUAUGGAGAACCUAAAGGGUCACACCAUAAAAGGAAGAAUAAUUAUUUAAGAAGUUAAUGGCAUAAUCGUAAUAAUAAGUUAAGUAUAUUUAAUUUAAUCUAUGAUGAUAGAAUAAAUUAAAUAGCUUAAUAUUUAUUAUUUAAUAUUUUAGAAAUAUUAAAUAUAAAUUAAUAAAAGGAGUCGUCUUAUUAUUAUUAUUACUAUUAUUAUUAUUUAAUUCCUAAAGGAGUUUGGGAAUUAAUUAAUAAAAGUACUCUCAUAUAUUCUUAAUAAGAUUAGGAGGUAAACUAAUUAAAAGAUUUUAAUUAAUUAUUCCUAAUGAGAUUAGGAGCCUAAUUAAAGGAGUUUAAUUAAUUAAAAUAAAACCCAAUUCCUUAGUUGUUAAGGAGGGUUGCCUACAUCUAUAAAUAAGAGGAGUCUUAUUAUGGGUGAGGUGGUUGACACUUUCAAAAACACGUGAAUACGUAAUUCCAAUAGUUGGGAGAGUACACUCCUUUUCUAUAGAGAUAGAAAACUAGGGUUUAGCCAACCACCCUUCUUCUUGAAUAUUUCUUCUUCCUUGGUGGAUCACCUCUAGAGGCCAAACACUUGGGUGGCUAUUGAUCAAAGGAAGGAACCAAAUCCGGUGGAUUCAAGUGAAAGCGAAAGGAUUUGGGGGUGAACUUGUACCUGAGUAAGCUCGAAUCUUCAAGGGUAUGAUUCUUGUUCUUUAUCUUUUCGUUUAAUUAAUAAUUGCGCAUAAAGGGUGAUCCGGGUUUAUGGUUUGUAAAAUUUUAAAACUCUGAUUUUACACGUUUCCACUUAUUUUGUGCAAUUUGAUUGCAUUCAUGAAUAUUACAAACCUAACACCCAAUCCAAGUUAUAAUCAAGUAUUUAUAGUUCUAAUGGAAACCCUAUCAAGUUAGGCAACUAACAAUCCUAUUCUACCUCAAAUUAGACAACAUAACACCAAAAUUUGCUCUCUCCCCACCAACCGGUGCGCCCAGAGCUGCUCCUAGGCCAAUUUGGGCAUUCCCCACGCUACUGUAGCAGAAAAUCUGAUGGCCCAGAGCGCCACGCGCUGCUCUUAGUUCAUUUAUGACGUGCCCCACGCCGGUCAAUUUUCUUCUACAACAUCCUUUGGUAAAACAGGCAUAACUUUUGAUUCAUUAGGAGUUACAGGGCCUGCCACCUAUCAAAUCUAAGAUAUCAAUGAGAUCUACAACUUUUAUUCUUUGAGAAGUGACAGAUUCUAGCCGGAUCAAGAUCAAAAUUGGGCUUGAAGUAGAUGCUAUGUAAAUGGCAAGCAUGAUAACUCUAAGCUUUGAUCUUUAUAGAUAAAAAGGCCAUAACUCUCGCAUCCGAACUUCGAUUGGGAUGAUUUAAGAUGUUCCUAAAAGCUAAGAAGAAUCUUUACAAUAUAAUCCAAGUUCCAAGCUAAGAACAUACAUCCAAAUUGGUGUCAAAAGUCCUUCAAUCUUCCUUUCUUGCAUUUGCUUGCAUAUUUUAGUCCAAAAUAUGUCCGGAUACUUUUCCUUGCCUCCUCAUGCCAAUGUCGUGUCAUAGCCUACAAAAUAACAUAAAAUGUAUGAAAUGCACACACAAUGCAUGCAAAGUAACUACAAAACAAAGGUUUAAGCAACUAAUUCAAGUAAUAGAUACCGAAUAAGUAGGUAUAAAACCUACUUAUCAAACUCGCACAUCGUAUUUCGCAAAUCAAAAAUUUCACUUUGCACAACACAAAUCGUUUUACCAUUGUCGGUUACUACUGAUGCUUAUACUGGUGUUGAUUCCAACGGUUUGUCUUUUGUUAGUGUUGCUCGUGCUUGUUUGAUGAAGAUAAAUUGAGAUGUUUUCUAUAUCUCUGAUGGGGAUAACAUUCUAAAAUCAUUGGAAAUUCAUGAUGUAUACUCUGGUAGUUUGACAAUGGUGCCUACCCUUAUGGUAGUUUAACAAUAGAUCUUACCAUGCUCGUAGUUGGCUACGCUGACUUCAUCAAACUAUUUCGAUUCCCACUCGAACGGUGGUAUACAAAGCUUUCAUCAUUAAAUUGUCUUGAUGUUUCGCUGAAUUGAUGCUAGUGGUUUAGAAUACCAGAUCUUUCGAUCCCUUCGCUAAAGUAAUAUUCAAUGACUUACUUCACCAGACAUCGCCUGAUGUUACGUUGGAUUGAUGCCCACGACUUACAAUACCAACUGAUGUCUGUGAAAAAAAUUUCUCUAAUCUAGGCAUUUAAUGUGCACGCAUAUUUAAAUUUACUAGAGAUGCAUGUUAAACCUUGAUGGAGAUGUAUGCUGAUGUAGCGUAUUUGCACAUGUGCAGAUCAUGCAUGAUGUGAUAAUCUAGAUUUAUCUUUUGGAGUUUAUUAUCCUAGGUUGAUGUGCAUUUGAAAUUAUCUGGAGUAGAAACUUACCUCACCCUUUCUGAGGCGAUUUGGAGUUUCUUUUCGCUGUUGGGUGCUUGUGUUUUUGAUUUGUAACCCGACUGGACUGAUGACCUGAGUGCCGCUGACAUUCAUGGAGGGUGCGGCUCAUUCUUUCAAUACCCAACUUUAAACUUCAGUGUACAAGCCUCAACUUGUGAGGACUUGAUGCAGGUUAACAUGUUUGAUGGUGUAGAUUUCAUUGGCUAGACCUCAUUUCAUUGGGCUUUUGCUGUUAAGUUAAGGACUUUUGAGAAUUUUCCCCUUUUUCUAUAGGGGCAAGCUUAUGUCGCCAUGAUUUCUUUCAGGAGUUCUCCCCUUUCUUUUGAUGAGAGGUUUGAUCCUGCCUUAAACUUCUUCCAUUUCCUGGAAUCAAAAAAUGCCCCACUCCUUUCGCAUGUUGUCGCCGAGGAUUCAUAUGGGAAACUCUUUUUGUUGACCAAGUCACGAGUGAGCAAUAUCCUUCCCAUCAAAAGAACAAAAUGCACCAAAAGCUUGAUGGCUUGGCCGUCAAGAAUUGUACACUCUUGUGAAUAAGGCAUUUGAAGUAGAAGUUAUGCAAUUGAAUGAGUUAUGAAAUCGCAAGGAAAUUUUGAAACAUCCAUGGUCAUUAUUCAUGGGUAGGAUUAGCUUCAAAAGAUUUAUCUCCCUAUAUCAGAGAUACUUCAUCUUUACUCUAGACGUUCUUCUUCACAGACUUGAUUUCAUAUAACACGUGCACUAUGAGUGACACAACUCCUAGCAAGGGUUUCAUUUCUAUGCCUUCGUAAAUUUUAUUAAUUCUCGCUCUUUUUUCUCUCACCUAACUUGUCUUAUUUUCUUUAGGCUGUUCAGAAAUACUCAUGUAACGAGUUUUGGACCAAUGACUCCCAAACUAAAGGGCUUUAAGGCACUAGGUGUUAAUACACCCCUUCGGGUUUACUGGUUCGAGUAAUAAAGGCCAUGCUUCAAGACAAGUCAGACGAUCACUCUAUUUGCUUCUUUACAUGAGCUUGACAGGUCCGUUUUCUUAGGCUCUAAGUCACCCAUAUAGGGAGCAUUGGGUCGGUGACUCCCAAACCAGAUGGCUUUAGGGCACCGAGUGUAAAGACACCCAUCGGGCUUAAUUACUCGAAUAACCUAUGCCACGAUUUGGAUCUACUCAAGUUUUUCCUUUUCUUUUUUAAUGCUCAUUUUCUUAGGCGCUAAGUUACCCAAUGUAACAAGCGUUGGGCAGAUGACUCCCAAACCAGAUGGCUUUAGGAAACCAGGUGUAAAGACACCCCUCAAGCUUAAUAACUCGAGCAACCUAGGCCACGAUUCGAGACAUUAAGCUGGCAACUUGUCUUUUAUCUUUUCAUUAAUUUCCAUUAUUUUUGCCAUAUCUUCAUACCUCACAACUAAGAGUCAGGGCGAUCGCAAAGUGAAGACAUGCAUAUGAGGGCAAGUCUGUUCCAAAAAUUGCUUUAAACUAGGAUGUUGUGCCUAAUCAAAAGGGUUGACUAGUCUUAAUUCUCUAAUUGUUCCCGUGAUUCUUGCCCCAUGGACGCUUAUCGUAAUUAAUCCCAUUCAUUACAACUUAAGCAAAACUCUCUUUCUAAGAAUACUUAACAUUUAUAUUAUCGCUAAGGCAUGUAGAUGGAGACUAAAAGCUUAUAAGGAGAUGAAAGAGUCAUACCUCACAUGUGGAUUAUUCAUUCUAAGAACAGUAUAAUUAGAAAAGACCAAAUGAUCAUACUGAAUUGCCAGUGAGAUGAUAUGAGGGAAGUUCUAAUGAUGAUGGACCAUGUUGAUGGUGCUGACUGGUGGAUUUUCCUCUUUAGGAUGGUUGAUAAAUACCCCAGUGUUGAGUUGUCGCUAUUUUCGAGAUUGCCUCAGUCUUGUUGUAAGGGUUCCAAUAUCGGGUUGUCGCCAUUUUUGAAAUUGCCCCAGCCUUAUUUGUUGUCUAGGAUAGUUUCUUUGAUAGAUGGGCUAAUAAGAUGCCGAGAUCGCAAGAGGCUUUUACCUCUGUACCAUAUGGUGAACAAGAAGUGGAUUUGGGUUUUGAUGCCCGCAAUCAUUGUUCCUGACUUGUUCGUGCAAUCGGCUUUGAUGAUUUUUUUCUGACUUGAUAAAGACUUGUGAUUGAGGGUGUUGGCUCUUUGAAGGUCCUCGUUUCUAGUUGCGUUAGUGUAUUGCUGUGUUGUUGUAUCAACUUUGAUGAUUGAUGUCGAGAGGCCUUCAAACUCCACUAAACUGGCCCAAAGAUCUCAGCUUGGUUGGUGAUGAUUUCACCCAAGUUUGAUUUGAUCUGCAAGGUUUGAUUUGUUGUAUUGGGAUUGAAGUUUGGGUUUAGAUGUUUCUUUUGAGGGUCAGACCGCACCACUGAUGGUUUCCUACGUACUCCCAUUGAUGAGGGGAGAUCAAGCCUAUGUAGUUCCUACUAGAUGAGCUGAACAAUUUGAGAAGUGUUUUUUGGGUUUUUGUUUAGUUUGACCGCACCAUAAAUGGCUGCCUACGUACUCCCAUUGAUGAGGGGAGAUCAGGUCUUUCGUAGUUCAGGCUUUGCCUGAGACCUAACUAGCUUAACUUUUAUGAUUUUGAUUUUUUGAUUUUUGAUUUUUUUUUAAUUUAUUCAAUAUUUACAUGCAUGAAAAAUAAAAGGCAUACUUUGAAGAAAGUGAUAUAAUCCCAAUAUCUCAUGGAACUCAUAACUUUAUCCCCUAGAUCUACAUCUUUUUGGCUAGCUGAGGCCUGAUAGUCCAAUUAUCAGUGGUUAUGUUGCCUUCAAGGCUCGCGAUAGAGGUUACCUCUUAGUUCUGAAUAUCUUCACUUAUGGCCAUAACUUGAUCACAUCCUGAUUCAGCACUUCCCUCGAGGAUGCUCAUACUGGACCCAUCACAAAAAGGGAUGAACUCUUAAUUCUUCAAUGGGUUGGCUUCCUCGACAACCUCACCACAUUUUCCUUCAUUUGUUCCUUCACUUUUUUCUGGGCUUGAGAGGAUUCGACCAUGAAAUCUCUCUCGAACUGUUGUUUCAUUUCUUGCAAAGAACUUUCCUUUUUGGCUUUUUCUCCCUUGGAAAGGAUCAGUAUUUCCUCCUCAUCAUCGAAGAUGAUAAAAUCAGGAACGUGAUUGCUAUCUUUGGGCCACAAAAUGCUUGAAGUUGGUGAAGGAAUCUCCUUUGAGGAUUCUCUUAUUUCCUCAAGCAUUCCCUAUAUUAGGAUCAGUCUAUCUUGUGUUUUUCCAGGAUUGGUACUCAUAGCCUUCAACUCCUUUGAACUGUCUGUCUCGAGUGGACAUCUUAAGCUUUUUAUUUCCUUGUCACCUUUUUUGGUCAUGGGGGAUUCUAUCUUCAGCUCUCCAUUUUUAAUGAGAUCUUGGAUUUUAUGUCACAAAGACAAACAUCCUUCAGUUGCAUGUCCAGAGGAGUUAGAAUGGUAGAGAAAUAUCUUGGUCGAAUCAUAACUCUUUAUCUCAGGAUUUAUAGAAGGCAGCAACUCAGUAAUCCUUCCUUCUCUUAUCAGAAAGUGUAGCAUUUCUUCAUUUGAUUUGCUUAGAGGGGUGAAUUUUCGGCCUCUUGUAGAGGUUUUUUGAUCUUUCUUCUUUGAGAAUUCGCAUUCCUAGGGCGAUUUUUCCGCUAGCGAGAUCUUCUAGCAAUUUUAUCAUCCCCCUUUUCUUGUCCUUUCAGCCUGCUUUGAUCUUCUUCAUUUAGUUGGCUCAUCCUGGAGAGAUAUGAGAUUGCAUUAUGGUUAACCUCUUUUUCCUCUUGGCUUUCUGAUAGUUGAGAGAAAAACUACCCCGUUUCCUGAUGUUGGCGCACUAUCAGCUUAGCUAGCAGAUUUACUUGAUUCUGGAUUGUCUCUAACUUUUGCAUUAUUGUCAUACCCUCCUCCAAGUUUUCCCACUCUAAGACAUUUGUUCUGUGCCUUUGAGGGUAUUCCUCCAUCCUUCGUAUGUACUUACAAUUUGGAUACAUUUUAGCGCUUCCUGACUGGAUCAUGUUUACUCCCUCCGUAUCAUGCUGCAAUGGAAGGUUGGUGUUGACAUUUUGUUGGUCAGGUUGUUGGACCACAAUACUGCCACUUUCUAUUAGAUUUUAAAUUUUAUGCUUUAAGGACCAAUAAUCUUGCAUAUCGUGUCCCGAAGACCCUAAGUGGUAAGCACAUCUCUUGCUUGGAUUGUAUCUUUUGCUCCCUGAAUCCAAAGGUGGAGCCAGUUUGGUAAUUUUCUUGUGAUCCAUUAACAUUGCCAAUACAUUUUCAAGGGAAUCGCCCAGUGGAGUGAACACCCAAUUUUCCGUUCUUUCAAAUUUUCUUUUUCUGUCUUGGCAUUGGUUGAAUGCAGCCUGUUGUUAAAAUGGAAAAUUGUCUUUCUUUUUCCAAAUGAGUGGACUGUAGGUUGGUCUCCUAGCUUGCCCCUGUAAAAUGAGGGAUACCUCUUCAUUGCCUUUAUCUAGUACCCUCUUGGGAUCACUCGCAUACUUACCAUCUCUGCAAUUUCUCCAUGUUUGAUCAUCUCUGAGAAUGGCUUUCCUAUGCCUGCUAGGAUCCUUUCAUAGUAAGGUGCCUCUUGAAUGUCUAUAAAAGUCAUCACCAUUUCAAUUUCUGUCAUUGAUGGAAUGACUUGCGCUGCCAGACGUCUCCACCUUUGGGCAUAUUCUUAGAAAGACUCAAUACUCUGCUUUUUUACUUUAGUAACUUGGUAUCGAUCCGGUGCCAUUUGUUACUGAAAACUAUACUAAUUUAAAAAGGUGUGGGCUAAUUCUUCCCAGUUGUGGAUUUUGGCAUUGUCAAGUUGGGCAUACCAGGCUUUAGAGCCUCCCCAGUAACACUUUUUUAGAAAAGUUUCAUUCUGAGUCUUUCAUCUUCAGCAUAAGACCCUAGCUCCCCAAUGUAUACUUUUAGGUGCGUAUAGGGAUUGCCUGCCCCAUUGUACUUUUCAAACUCUGGGACUUGGAAUUUGUCAGGAUAUCUAGCCCCUCAAAAUAUGCAGAGAUCUGAAUAGGUGACACUUCCAUAGUUUCCAGUCCCUUUGAUUAACCGGAUGGUUUCCUCCAUUUUUUGGACUUUCUUUCUUAUAUCCCCAGUUUCUCGAUCAUCCCUGAGUUUUGUGAUUUUAGGGGUUUUAUUGGUUCCUUUAUUGGAAUGAGGUUCAGGUAUCUGGGUUUCCAUCUUUUUGCCAAUACCCUGACUGCCCCUGGUGUGAAUGACUCUGGUUAAGUAGGCAUUAUCUGGCCCCGAGUGUUUUUACUUUGUUCUUUUAGAAAGACAGCCAAUUCUGCUAUCUAAUUCCUUAAUCCUUCGAACUCCUCUUGAGAGACAGGAGUAGGAUCAGGUGGGGCACUUGUAGCCAUGUUUGACUAUGGGCGUAUUGCCUUUUUAGACUUUGAACGGGUAACAGGACCAAUCGCUUCCCUACAAAAAAAUCUUAUGUAGUUUAGUCUGGGAAAAUGUGGCAAUGUUACAUGCUAUGUGUCCAUUUUUUAGGAGUAUUAUCCUACAAAACAGAUGUCAGCUGUUUAAAUGACAGGAUAGUAUGACUGGUUUUGAUAUGCAUGUUCAUAUAUUCCAUUAUAUUUUCCAUUACAUUGAUAUUUGACAUGGAAAUGAAAUUACAAGUAAUUAAAAUUAUAAGAAUUUGAAAUGGGAAGGUAUGAGGAGACUUCCCUCUGCGUUUGGUUUAUUAGAGGCUAGCCUAUCUUAGGCUACUAUCGCAGCUUUUUGGCUUGAAGGUCCCCAGAUCAUCACAAUUUACUUGAUUGGAAGUUAAUCCGAUCUUUCAACUAGAGCGAAUCUGGAUGGUGCCUUUCCUGAGCCUCGUGGAAUUAGUCUUUUGACGAGUCCAGUAAUCAAACACCGACGAGAUAGCCUCCUAGUGGAGGGACCACACAACAUACAUUCACACAAAUUGCAUCUCACCGUAUGGAAAUGAUGACAUUUGCAAAGCACUAAUAUCACAGGCAGAUAUGGUGUGAAGCACUAAGUGCAGUAAAUAAAGCAUUAGUACACAUUCAUUCAAAUGUAAAUACAGCAUCCACACACAAGCAGGUAAAGUUUUGAAAAGCUUUGAUAGCGGCUUAAGCCCUUUUACUGGUUUCCCCAGCAGAGUUGCCAGCUGUCGACGUCUGGAUUUUUAUUUGUCCCUUUCUGUUCUUAUCUUUUGGUGUUCUCAUGUUAGGUGAGAUUUGUUUUAAAAAAAUAAGUUUAAAAAGGUCUGACAUGUAUAUGCCGACGAUUUGAUUGUAAGAGUCGCCAGUUGGUUAUUUUUAAAUGGUUGCAUGUUGAUCGAUUUCUUAAUCAAUGAAUACGUGCAAGUAUACACGGUCAACAAGUAAUAAAGUGAUUAGAAAAGUAUCGUUCCCAUGAGGAAUUAUUUAAUAGAAAUCACCAAGUACUAGUUCUUAACCAAACUAAUUUUAUUUAAACAAUCAAUUUCAUGUUGUGAAUAAAAAUAUAUAAUUAAACUACUACUGUGACGCCCCUAAAAUAGGUAUACAACACCCAUUCUGAGUCGCCAAAUACAUGGUACAGAAAGCAAACUACAACUUCAAUAAUACAAUUGUCGUGCAAAAUACGACAACACAUACUGUGAGUUUAAAUACAAAUAUUGUCUUCUAGACAAUAUCCACACUCAAAUAAGUCCUCAUUACAAUUCUUCAUACACUAUUUUAUAAAAAUAGUGAGGACUGCUAAAACAUCUUUCUAGAACCAUCACUCCAUACCCCGACUAGAUCCUGCUAUGUUCUCAUCUCCUGAGAAGAAAAAUGGAACAAAAAGGAAAAGGGUGAGCUCAACUAGCACAGGAAAGAAUAUUAUGACUAAGAUAAUAUACAACAAAUUAUCAUUAGUCUUCAACAGGAAAAAAUCUGAUAAAAUAUAAUAGACAACAAGUUUUAGAUCAACAAAUGCAGCGGAAACAACAAUCCAUUAGAAGAGUCACAUAGAGAAUGAGUUCUACUAUCUUUUAAGAUUUAAAAGUCCAACAUCAAUAUUUUAUCCCUGUAACAACAAUCAAUAUAUCUUUAAUCAGAUAUUCAUCUUUGCACUACAUGCCAAAGUUAUUCAUUUGUAUCACCAGUUGGUCAUGUUCAUCUCAACACCUGUUCAUCCUUUGCACUACGGGCCAAAGAUAUUAAUCAAUUAAUUAUUCAUCUUUUCACUACAGGCCAAAGAUAUUCAAUAACAUCAUCAUUUAAGACUGAGGAUGAUGAAAAAUAUUUUAAAGAAAACGAAUCCAGUGAGACAGAAGGACAAAUAUUAGGGAUUCGUAUUACAGUUUAUCCAAGAUCAAUAAUACUCCAUAAUAACCAAUUUUGAAGCAGAAUUCAAAAAUAAAGAUCAAAACAUAGAUACAAUCAAAGAUAGUAACCAUAAUAGACAUCUUGGACAAAAAGGAAAAUUUUCAUUUUUCGGUGAAUAGUGCCGUAUUCGCGAAUAGUGCCGUAUACGUGAAUAGUAACCCUGACACAAAACGUUAGAAAUUCCACAAUAAAAUCCAUACCAAUAUUUCGGUAUAAUGAUAUUGAAAGAAUAACAUCAUUAUGAAAAAAAAUAACAUCCCUUACCUCAAAAUAAUCGUACUUCUGACUGAAUUAAGAUAUAGUGCUGACAGAAACUUGCACUGAAUAGCAACUCUCAAAGUAUCAAAAUACUCACAAAAAUACGCUCUAUAAUCUAUAGAGAAAGAAAACUUGUUUCUGGUGUGAUUUUCAAUUCUAACCUGAGCGUCUAUUAAUAGGAAAAUGCUAGAACGCCAUAGGAGACUAAAAUAAUAAAAUAAUAUUAUUUCUUUUCUUCCAUUCUACACACACCUCAUUCAAAGCCAGCCAUCUUUGAAGAAAAAUAGCAGCCCACAUGUAUUCAACACCAACCAAAAGUGGGUCCCACCCAUAAUUUAAUAAAAAAUCAUUUUAUUUUCCAAAACUUCAGUAAUUCAUAGAAAAUAGCUCGUUUAUCAGAAAAAUACGAAUUUUAUGUCCAUUCCACACGAAAUCGAAUUCUCUACAACUUUGUAGCUUUGAGUUUUUCCAAAUUCCAAACAGAAAAUAUCCAAAAUCCACAAACGGAUGAUUUCUAAUACCUCCAUUCCGACAAAAUACUGAUAAAACACCUCAGCAUUAAUUCCUUUAUUUAUAACCACAUAAAUAAAUAAAUCCCUCAUAUAUAUCUGCAUCAAAUAAAUAUUUCCUUAUCAUAUAAAUCAAUAAUUGAUUAUUCACAAAUAAUAUUAUAGAAUCACAAUAAUGACAACCAGGCAGUUCCCAGGAAAGAGGGGGCUUUCCAAUAAGGAUUUCUCCUUACUGACACGCAAUUAGGUGACCAAACCUCUCCUUGACAGAACUUUCUAGACAUUGCCAAUAAUGCUAUCUAAUAAUAUUAUUCAAAUAAUAUGAAUUAUUGAUCUGAUAAUGGGGAAUACUAUGCAGUGACAAUUAUUGAAACAACAAUAAUAUAAACUAUCAACGCAGCAAUUAUUGAAUCAAUAAAAUAAAAUAUUGAAUAGUAACUACUGUAACAAUUAUUGAGUAGUGCCUUCUUACGUACGAAUCAAUAAUUCAACAAUACUGUGCAAUGUCGUGUGCUACUGUGCAACCACACGUAUUAUUAUAUUUUAAGCACGAGGUAUUCCAACAGUGUUAACGGUAACAAUUACGCCGUUAUUUAUAAAAACUCAUACUUUGUCGAUUUCCUUCAUCCAACUGUUUUCUGUUAUGGGGCCCACAAAUGGCUGCGCCGUCGUACAAAUAUUCACUGGCAACAAGAAUAUUCCACGACCAAACGAAUAUUCCCCGACAACAAUGAAUAUUUUAUAACCACUUGCUUAUUUUGCAAAAUUUGCACAUUUCACCCAUAACCAAAACAUUAUAUUAAUUUAACACCUUAUUAUUUCAAAAUAAUAAUUGGAGGAAAAUUCAAUUUUAUUUAUAAAAAUCUGGGGUCUUACAACUACUACUACAACCACUAGUUGAAAAUCAGGUUAUGGAGAUUUCAGAUCACAACUUCACUUAUUGUUUCACUUAUAAUAAAACACUUCUAUUAAUUAUGCUCACAAUUCUAGAUUGUUAAUCAGGAACUUAUUAGUAUUUAUAACCACCUUCCGAUGCAUCACAAACAUAUUAAUCCAAAUCCACAAUUGAUAGAAUUCACUAUAUUCCUAUGUGAAUUACAAUUAAAAAGGAUUUAAAGCACAUGUUCCCUUAUUAGAUUACAUGUGGCAUAAAGACAUAUCCCUAUCCUAAUCACAAAUCAUGAAUUCCAACACCAUGCAGAAAACACAAUUACAUACUAUUAUGAUCAGAUCUAAAUCUAUAUUUCAUUCCCCGAAUUCAUAUAAAUUAUCAUGGUAAUUGUUAGCUAGACAAUUAAAUAAUUAUACGCAAUCAUAUUAGACAAUCCAUAGAAUCAAUCACAUUAAUUAACAGAGAAGCAUACUAAAAUAAGCUAUGCAAUAAGAUCCGUUGUUAUCUCUAGGGUUGGAACUGACUUUCCCGGGGUUAUCUCCGGGGUUGGAAACUGAUUUCCCAGGGUUAUCUCCGGAGUUGGAAACUGGAUCUCUUGGGGCUAUCUCUGGGGUUGGAACUGAUGUUGUGGUCCUCCAUGGUUAUCUCUAAAGUGUGAAAAAGACGCUUUUGUCCUCCUGCAUAGUUAGUAACAGGAAAAUAAAAUUUUGAGUGUCUACAACUAUAAAGAUAGUGGGCUCUCAAGAACAACAUUACAUAUCCAUUAACUGAAGUUUAUCCAACAGCAAGAUGAUCGCCACUUAGAGAAGAAGGGUAUGAGAUACCAUGGUGAUUGGUUGUAGUGCAAGUGGGAGAUUGAAAGUAGUAUGCACACAAGCCAAUCAUGUUUGAUGAUAAAACAUAUACUUUAUAACAAUCUUAUUCAUUUAUUAAUAAAAGAUUUAUUUAAUUAAAGGCUUUUAAUUUAUCUACAUGGUGCUUUUUUAUAAUAUGUGAUAAACCCAUAGUUUUGUGCAAUGCUUUUAGAAUCAUAAUGAUGAUCUUGCUAAUGAGAUUUAAAUUCUUAGAUAGCUCACAAACUAAAAUUAUUCUCAAUCGUUGGAUUACUAAAAAGGGGAUUAGUGAAUUCGGAUAAAUUGGUACAUACGUUGCUUCCUCAAUUGAUGGGGAUGAUUGACAUUAUGAUCAUUUGUGUGGGGACACUAAAGCAAGUAUGCAGGUACUUAUUGGAGAAUAAGUUCACUAAACAUGGCUCGCUAAAGAAUACCUAAUGGAGUUUUACUUGCCUGUCAAUAAGAAUUCCUGUAGUGAUAGUAGUACAAGUGAUCCUUGGACUUGAGUUCAUCAUAGUAUCUUGUGUAUGAUGAGUUAUACUUUGACUUAUUCCUUAAGACUCUUAGGGUAUAUAAAAAGGUAUGCUUGGGUAUAAUAAGUUGUACAUGGAGAUAAUGUAUGAUCAAUAAAGAAUCUACCGCUUCUAGUAAAAGAAGAGAAAUGCCCUAUGUGAUUCGAUAAAUGACAACCCAGAACUCCUUGGCCAAGGCAGAAUGAAAUUAGAAAGGAGUUUCUAAUUUGCAUCAUUUGGAGUUGUGCAUUUAAGAAUCGAAAUACAUAUAAUUAAAUAAAAUAAGACUUGAAAGUAAUUCCAUGUCUUCUAUUUAAUUGGGACAUUGUAUGGUGGAAGGAUUGAAUUGUACGGUAACUAUUUACUCAAAGGUUCUUUUAUGAUUAAUGUUGAAAUCUAUAUUAUCUAGAAAGUCGUUGUUCGCUAAGGAGACUUAUCUUUAUUGUAGCAUAAAUAUUAUUUAUUUAAAUGAAUUAAUAGAUUAAUUUAUUUAUUUAAAUAAUUAGAACUGUUCAAAUUGAUUUAUUCACAACCGAUUUAAUAUGGAGAACCUAAAGGCUCACAACACAAAAGGAAGAAUAUUUAUUUAAGAAAUAAAUGGCAUAAUCAUAAUAGCUUAAUAUUUAUUAUUUAAUAUUUUAGAAAUAUUAAAUAUAAAUUAAUAAAAGGAUUCUUAUUAUUAUUAUUUAAUUCCUAAAGGAGUUUAAAAAUUAAUUAAUAAAAGUACUCUCAUAUAUUCCUAAUAAGAUUAGAAAGCUAAUUAAUUAAAAGAGUUUAAUUAAUUAUUCCUAAUAAGAUUAGGAGCCUAAUUAAUUAAAUGAGUUUAAUUAAUUAAAAUAAAACCAAAUUUCUUAAUUGUUAAGGAGGGUUGCCUACAUCUAUAAAUAAGAGGAGUCUUAUUAUGAGUGAGGGUUGAUGUUUUCACAACAUAAGUGAAUGAUUUUUUCAAGAGUUGGGAGAAUAUGUAUUUUUUAUAGAGAUAGAAAAAUUAAGGUUUUGUCAAACACCCAUCUUCUUGAAUACUUCUUCUUCUUUGGUGGAUCACCUUUAGAGGCCAAACACUUGGGUGGCUAACGUUGAUCAAAGGAAGGAAUCAAACUCGGUGGAUUCAAGUUGAACGCGAAAAGGAUUAGAGGUGAACUUGUACUUAAUAAAGCUAAUUCUACAAGGGUAUGAAUUUAAUCUACAUCUCUUUUCUUUUGAUUGAUAAUUAUUCACAAAGUAUAAUCAUGGUGAUGGGUUUGUAUGAAAAGUUUAAAUUUCGUGUUAUCGCGCUUUCGCACUUUUUAUGUAAUUUGAUUGCAUGUACGUGCUAUAUACAAACCUAACAAAUUUAAUAUAUGGUGAUAGAAUAAAUUAAAUAAGCUUAAUAUUUUAAAAAUAUUAAAUAUAAAUUAAUAAGAGGAGUCUUAUUGUAAUGAACCCAAAAUUUAUACAAUUCAAUUAUCGACUUCGGUCGUUAAUAACACGUCUAACUUCUAAUUUUACAUCAUUAUUCGAUGUUAAACUUAAUAAAAUGCGGAAUAAUUUAAAUUUUUCUAACUUCUUACUUCAAUUUCCUGAAUCAAAACCUUUAUCAUCUACAUGUCUUUGAAUCAUAUAUAAUCCAUGAUUCACUUUAUCGGAGUUAAUGUAUAUAUAUACUUACAUAACAAAUCGUUAUCCUUUAUACAUUGGCCAACUCAAACUUUAACUUUACAACUCAACAUAAAGUAUACACCAUAAAACAUUGAGUACAUCUCAUGAACCUUAAUCAUGGUUUAAAGGAAUAACAACUUUAGCUAAAAUAAUAGUCUUCAUGUAUUACAUUUGAUUCAUAUCUUUCAAGUACAACAUAGUGUUACCUUCAAUCCUUAACCUGCAAAAAUGGUUAUUUGCAAGGUUGAGCUUGACAACCCAACAAAAUCUAACAGUUUUCAUGCAUCACGUAGCACAUAAUGACAUGCUCGACAUAUAUCUCAUAAACAUUAGACUAACGUAACAUACAUGUUACAGUUCAUAUAAUCAAGUAUAAAGAUUGAGUUCCUUACUCAAUCAGCAUGCUUUACUCAAACAACGUAGUCAUAAGUUGACUUUAACAUUUCAUACAUUCAACAUAUAUAUAACAGAUCAUGCUCUUUGUAAUAAAGAUUUAAAAUAAUCAAAUUCACAUAGCAAAUAGGAACUGAAAGACUUGCCUUGAUCGUUAUUUAUCAAUAAUAGUUUAACAGCUUACAGAUAUAUGCACUUCACGUGACCUACACAAUUAUAUAAUCAUACACAUCAACUAUUAGUCACAUAGCAACGCAUAGUAGUUGUAAUGUAAACUUUAAUUUACGUCUCAUAACCCUUCCUAUUAUCAAUACACAAUGUUCAAUUUAUUGUGUUACUUUCGACUUAUAGCUCACUAUAUUUCAUAUUCGAAGUUCAUUCAAGUGCUUAAGUCCUGCUAGGAAUCAUUAUUGGUUUUAUAUUAACCCUAUUCAAUAUCUUAUAAUAUUCAUUUCAUUUGACUUAAAAAACUUUUUAUGUUCAUUAACACUUAUCACGGCUUUUCGAUAUUUAUUCGUCACACGCCCAAUUUGUCUCUCUUGUGUGUGCUUAGUAUGCGUAUUCAACUUAUCUAAUAUAUCAUUUAUUAAUGUUAAGCAUCAUUAUACUUCAUAAUAUUCAUGUUCUAUAACUUAUAACAACAUCUAUUAUCGUUAAGAGCACUACACUUGCAUAAGUGCAUGCCUGACGCCCUCUGAUUGCCUCCGAAAACACAAUAGUCCUAACGAUGACCAUUUUGACCCUUACUAAAGACCUCAAACUAAAACCCUUAAAGAACAAAAGUUGUAGGUCUAUUCGUCCUCGUUCUGGAUCAUCUUGAAUCGCCUUAAUCGGAGUUCGUAUGAAAAAUUUAUGGUCAUUUUACCAAACUAGGUCAAAGCAGUCACAGUUAGCAGACAUGGGGCGCGACCGCACCCCUUUUCCGUGCGCCCGCGUGACCUAGCAGCACCCAGCUGUUCGUCCACACGCGCGCCCACGCUUGGGUUCGCACAGAAACAGUUUUCUCAAUGUACAAACUUCAAAUCUUUAUAACUUCUUUAUUUUAAGUCGGAAUUAGUUGGUUUUCGAUUCUAUGAACUCGUGAAACACUGAACUACUCAUCUACAAAGUAAUUUUAACAUUUCAAAAACUUUAACAAAUCAAUUUAAGGGUUCCCAUUCAAUGUUCAUGUUAUAUUUUCAUGUUUUAAACACAUUUAGUGAAUUCGAUCGCCACGACUUCGUUUCUUAACCAAUUAACACGAUUUAAACUACGCCAUUUUCGUUUCUUCACAUACUAACAUAAUCCAAUACCAAUUUACAUAUUAUAACACAUAUUAGACAUAAAAUUUCGUACUUUCUUAAGCUAUUUUUCAUUAACAUACACUAUUAUUUACCUUUCUCCCUAUAAACCCAAUUAUCAUAUAUUUAAUCAUCAAACAACACUCAUAUACAACAAUUAACAGAUUCUAACACCUUAUAUACAAGUAUUUGUAUAAAUCCAACAUAAUUAUCAAUAGAAAUUCUAAAAAUAAAGUUAAAAUUAGGGUUAUACCUUAUUCCUUUGAUUGUUUGCUAGCAAGAGAUGAUGUUAAGGCUUAGAAAUUCUUCUCCUACCUCUAGACAAUCUCAAAGAGUCAGAGAAUUCUCUCUUUCACUGUGUUUUUCUCUUGUUGUCUCCAACACUCCUUCUUAGUUAGCCUUAGAAAAAUAAGACGCGUAAAAAUAAUAAUUGGCCUCCCACGAUCGACCACUAACAAAACAAAACGUCUACGGUUAUGUUAGGCCAAAAGCCAUAAGGCUUCAUUUGGCCACACACAAAUACCCCUCACUAGUUUAUUUUAAUAAUAUUAUAUUAUAUAGUUUUUAUUUGCUACACCUGUAACCAAUUUCAUAGCUUACAAUAAUAAUUAUAAUAAUUAUAUUUUUUAUUAUAAUUUAUUCUGAUGAUUAAUAAAUAAUCAUAUAUCUAGUUUAAUUAAUAAAUUAGACUUCAAAUAACAAUUACCAUUAUUCAAUUUCAUUACUAAAUUAAUGCACCACAAUUCAUCAAUUAAUUAUUUAUUUCAAUAAAUAAAUUAAUUAAAAUAUUUAUUUAAUUCAAUAAAUAUUUAAAAUUAAUUACAAAAUUCAUUUAAUUUCCUCAAUAGUUAAGUUAACUAUUAAGACUCACUUUUCUAAUAUAUGAAUAUAUAUUUCUCUUCACAUCAAAUCACAUAUUUUAAAAUAUAUAGCAUGUAUAUAUACAUACUCAAACUCAAAACAUCUCAUAAUAAGAAUUUUAAUUAUUAAAUUCCUAUUUUAAUAACUUAUAAAAAUUUGGGUUGUCACACUUAUUAUUAUUAUUACUAUUAUUAUUAUUAUUUAAUUCCUAAAAGGGUUUGAGAAUUAAUUAAUAUAAUUACUCUCAUUAAUUUUUAAUUGGAUUAGGAAAAUAAUUAAUUAAAAGAGUUUAAUAAAUUAAAAUAGAACUCUAUUCUUAAAUUGCUUAGGAGGGUUGCCUACAUCUAUAGAUAAGAGAAGUCUUAUUAUGAUUAAAGGUUACUGACAAUUCUAAGAGUUGGGAGAGUACAUAUAAUUUUUAUAAACAUAGAAACUAGGAUUUAGCCAAACACCCAUAUUCUUGAAUACAUAUUCUUCCUUGGUGGAUCAUCUCUAGAGGCCAAAUGUUUGGGUAGCUAAUGUUGAUCAAAGGAAGGAAUCUAAUCCGGUGAAUUUAAGGAGAGUACGAAGGACUUGGAGUUGAACAUGUACCUGAGGAAGCACAGUUCUACAAGGGUAUGAAUAUGAUUCUCCUUCUUCCUCGUUUCAAAUUAUAUUUUAGCACAAAGUAUGAUCAUUGUGAUAGUUUGUAUUAAAAUUUUAAAUUCCAUUUUAGCGCGCUUCUGCUAAUUUUAUGUGAUUUGAUUGCAUGAUCGCACUAUAUACUGUUGGGUAAAAUCUAGUUAUGCACAGCACGCAAGUAUACGUGGUCAACAAGUAAUAAAGUGGAAGUAGAAUAUCGUUCCCACGAGGAAUUAUUAAUAAAAAUUACCAAAUAUUAACUCUUAACCAAACUAAUUUUAUUUAAACAAUCAAUUUAAGGUUUUGAAUAAAAUUAUUUAAUUAAACUAAUUCUAAUUAUCACUAGUUAAAAAUUAGAUUAUAGAGAUUUAAGAUUACAACUUCACUUAUUGCUUCACUUAAAUUAGUAGACUUCUUAUCAAUUAUUCUCAUUAUUCUGAAUCGUUAGUCAAGAACACAUAAGUAAAUAUGAUCAUCUCUCAAUGCAUCAUACUCAAAUCAACUUAAAUCCACAGAUGAUAGAAUUAAGAAUAACACCGUUAUUAACUACUUCAUUAUAUCUCUAUAUGAAUUACAAUUAAAGAUGAUUUAAAGCACAAGUUCUUUAUCAGAUUACAUGCGAUGUAUAGGUAUAUCUUUAUCCUAGACAUAAAUUAUGAAUUCCAACGCCAUGCAGAAAAUACAAUCACAUACUAUUAUGAUCAUAUCUAAAUCUAUAAUCCAUCUCUCGAGUUUAUAUAAAUUAUCACGGUGAUUGUUAGCUACAUAAUUAAGCAUUAAGCACAAACCAUAAUAGACAAUCCAAGAAGAAUCACAAUAAUUAAUAGAGAAUCAUAUUAAAAUAAACUACGCAACAAGCUCCAUUAUGAUCUUAAACAAGAAUUUAGUACAUGAUUAUUGAUUUAAAACCAAGAAUUCACAAUUGAAUAAACAAUAAAAGACAAAGAUAGAAAUAGAGAAGAAGAUAGAAUCUGUUUGUCAGCAAAUCUCAUGCUCCUUCUUGCUCCCGCUCUUGAUCUUCAAUGGUCUCCAAGUUGCUUCAAUCUCCAAUCCAAUCCCAACUAGAAUUUUUGCCUAAUCUCUACUCUAAUCUAAUGGAAUAAUCCCCCUUAAUCCUUAUGAUUCUCCUCCUUUUAUAUGCCUCUUCAUGUGUCUUUUAGCCCUCCUUAAAGUUCUUGAAACAAACAGCUCAAAUCAAUCCUCCUUGAACUCAACUUUUGAAAACUCUUUUUUUCUUCCCGACAAGCCCGCCCCGGCGGGCUUUUUGUACUAGGAAAGUGCCGCCCGGGCGGGGGUCACUCUUAGAUGCUACCCCGACGGGCUUUUACACUAGGGAAGUGCCGCCCCGACGGGCUUUCUUGGCCAAAAAUUAUAAAAAUGUCACUAAGCUCUAUUUUUCAUGUUUUGACCUUCCGAAGCCGUUUCCUACAACACAAACACAAAAACAAGUAAAAUGAUACUAAAAAUACUUAAAAUUAACAAAGAAUUAAGCCUUAACGGUGUCCAAUCCAUAGGUAUAAAAUCCAGUCAUCAUAUACAAACCUAACAAUGGUAUCAAAGCCUAACUUUGUGCUAAUUAUCGAUUUUGAUGAUUCCAUAUAUGAAUUGAUAUGUGAUACGAUCGAAUUUUUUAGAUGAAAUUUUUUUCCUCGAUUCUGCUACACACCGCUUCUAGUUCAUUCUGGAGUACGGCCGCGCCCGACUCUAAAAAAAUGAUUCUAAAGGUGUAGCGCAACCGCGUUGCUUCCUAGUUCAUUCUAGGCGCGGCCGCACCACUCUGCAAAAUCUGAAAAAAAAUUAUUUCUUCAAUUGAAAUAAAUGGUUUAUUUAAUUGAUAAAAGUUUAAAAUAAAGAUGUUUAUUUUAUCUGAAAUAGAAUUUUAGAUUAUUAAAAUUAAAAGAAUUUAAUUUUGAUUUGGUUUUUGAUGAAAAUAAAAGAGUUUAUUUUGUUUCAAACCUAAAUUUUUAGCAAACUUUAGCCCAUUAAAUGAUAUCGGUACUUAUAUGGAAUAAAUUUAUUAUUCAUGAGAUGAAUGUUAUUUAUUGAUGUAUAUGGUGAUAUGUAUAAAAAUAAAUGGGAUUGAUUAUGAACUAUUGACCAAUGUGAUUGGAUAUUAUUUUAGUUGGAUGCAUGAAUGAUUAUACCGAAUAAUUCCUGGUCAUAAUCAUACCAAGUCCAUCUAUGUACUACGGGCCAAAGAUGACUUUUACCACAUCAUUUGUAACAUUACGGUCAUGAUUAUACUGAAUAAUCCCUGGUCAUAAUCAUACCAAGUCCAUCUAUGCACGUAAGCCACAGAUGACUUUUAACACAAUAUAAGCAUGAGGAUCAUGACAAUGAUAUAAAUAAUCAAUCAAAUGUGAUAAAGGAUAAAUAUUAAACAUUUAUAAUAUAAUUUAUCCAGGGUUCAAGAAUAUUCCAAUGUUAUCAAUCACUUAAUAAUCUCAUAAUCUAAUAUCAUUAAUAUUAUAACAAUAUUUUAAUCACUUUUUAAACUUAUAAACAAUUUAUUUCAAUUGUUUACGCUUUACCACAUAAUGCAUUUAUUCAAAAAUGAUAUACUCAUAAGAUAUCAUCACCAAUAAUCAAAUCCUUCAUCAAAAAAUUUGCAUAUACCCUAUAUAGGAUUUCCUAGCCAUAAAAUCCUAUUUUCCAAUUUUGUUACUUCACAUAACAUAUUUAACUCAUUUACUCAUAACUAGAUCAUUUUCAUGAAAAUACCAAAUCAAUUCCAAAAAUAUUUCUUUUCUGGGAUUUAGCAUAAUAUAGUCCCAUAAUGAAAAUAUAUUUUUCUCGGAAUUUUUAAAAUUCAUUUACUAUUUUUCAAAAAUCAAUUUCAAUUCCUUAAGAAAUUAGCUACCUCAAGAUUAACUCCAAAAAUUCCCAAAUAUUGGAAGAAUCUUAUACAUGUUAACGUGAGCUUUCAGUUUAAAUUUCAUGAUCAUCGGAGUUAUAGAACUCCGGUUAUAGCAUUUUUUAUCGGAAAAACCUAAAUAUUGAAAUGGUCAUAACUUGCUCAUUUUAAGUCAGAAUGAGCUCAUUUUUGGACAGGGGGUACUUUAUACCAUAUACUUUCAUGUCCCAAAAGGCCAGAAUUUUUCUCACAAAUUAAGUGGGUGAAACAGCCCCUUAAAGUUUCUGGGCAGUAGCGUUUUCGGUUUUUGCAGCUUUGCACUCCUUUGCUAAAAUCAGUCCAUACGAAAAUCUACAACACCUUUUCCAGUGAUUCUACUUGGAUAAGCUACAAAACUCAUAGAUCUAACUCUAGGACUUUACCACACUCAAAAAUUUGAAAUAUAACAGGAGAUAUGGUCAAUUGAAUUUCGUGUUCCGUUUUCACCAAAAUCUGAUUUUCAACCCUUUGUGAUUUCUAAGAAACUUUCAUGUUUUCACAUAAUAACCAACAUAACUCAUCAUAACACUUACUAAUACCACAUAUACCCAUGAUUUUCAUUAGUCCAACGCUUUUAUUAUGACUCUCAUUAUAAUCAACGUAACCAGAUCAUUUCCACAAUUUAAUAAGGAAUGAAUACAAAGGAUCACUCACCAUGCAUGUGGCAAUCCACAUAGACAGGUUAUUCCAACAGAAUAAUAAAGAAUGGAAUAACAGAAGGAUUCACCAUGCAUGCGAUAGAGACCGCACAGACAUGUUAUUCCCAAUAGAAUAAUAAAUGCGGAAUAAUAAAUAAUGGAACCAGGUCAGGUGAAAUUCACACCGACAAGAUAUUCCGACAGAAUAAUAAAGAACGGAAUAAUAAAAGAAUUUCACCAAGUAUGCGGUACUUCACAUAAACAGGUUAUCCCAACAUAAUAAUAAAGAAUAAAAUAAUAGAAGAAUUUUACCAUGUAUGCGGUACUUCGCAUAAACAGGUUAUUCCAACAUAAUAAUAAAGAAUGGAACAACAUAGGGAUUUCACCAAGUAUAGGGUAUGCCACUUAUACAGGUUAUGUAUAGGGUAUGCCGCAUAUACAUGUUAUUCUAACAGAAUAAUAAAGAAUGGAAUAACAGAAGGAUUUCACCAAGUAUAGGGUAUGCCGCGUAUACAUGUUAUUCCAACAGAAUAAUAAAGAAUAUAAUAACAUAAGGAUUUCACCAAGUAUAGGGUAUGUCACUUAUACAGGUUAUGUACAGGGUAUGCCACGUAUACAUGUUAUUCCAACAGAAUAAUAAAGAAUGGAAUAACAUAAGUUCUCUUCAUGAAUAAGAAAGAAUCACACCCCUUACCGUAAAAGAAACUGGAUAUAGAAGUAGUGAAGUAGCAGAAUACUCUUCUUCUUUCUCUCUAUAGAUUUUCUCUCUAUAGCUUCUCUCUAUAAUUUCUCUCUCUAGAUUUUCAAUGAAUUCGUAAGAAAUAAUGAAGGAAUGAGCUUCUAUUUAUAGAAGAAUGGAAUGAAUAGUAACUAAUUCAUGAAUGGUCCAGAUCGAUUUACUUUUAAACAGACGGUCCAGAUCAAUUUACUAUUAAAACUUAAAGCAACGGUCCAUACUGAUUCACUAUUCUAACUUUUAAACCAGCGAUCCAUAUUGAUUCACUAUUAUAACUUUCCACCAGCGGUCCAUAUUGAUUCAUUUAACCAACGGUCUAAAAAAUUAGCACAUCUCCUCAUGGAAUAAUAUUGUACCCAAAUACCCGAAUGCAGAAUACUAAAGUGAAUAGUAAUUUCGAUGAAUAGUAACUUGUGAAUAGUAACUUAUGAAUAGUAACUCGUGAAUAGUAACUCAUGAAUAGGAACUCAUGAAUAGUAACUCGUGAAUAGUAACUCUGACACAAAAAGUAUCCCAAAUACUCGAGUGAACAAUACUAGAGUGAAUAGUAAUUUUAGUGAAUAGUAACCCGUGAAUAGUAACUUGUGAAUAGUAACUCCGACACAAAAAGUGUCCCAAAUACUCGAGUGAAUAAUACUUCCUCCAGACAUCAAUUACUAUCGAAAUAAAUGUUUAACACAAAUAAUUUCAACACAAUGAAACUAUCAAUUCAUCUUUAAUCAACACGAACUUAUCCAUUAUUAAUAUCAUAACUCACAAUAUUUAACAACCAGGUUGUUCCCAGGAAAGAGGGGGCUUUCCGAUAAGAAUUUCUCCCUAUUGGCACGCAAUUAGAUUAUCUAACCUCUCCUUGACAAAACUUCUAGACAUUGUAAAUAUUGCAAUUUAAUAAUAUGAAUAACUUUGUCGUCUCAAUUAUUGAUUUAAUAAAAUAACAUAUAAUGCAGAUGAUACUGACAAUAAUCGAAUCAAUAAUAUGAGAGAUAUGAUGCAAUAAUUACUAUGGUAAUAAUUGAGUAUAAUUGAGUGACUUAUCACGUAAGCAUCAAUAAUCAAUACCGUGUGCUACUAUGCAACCACGCGUAUUACUGUACUUUUACUACCGGUUAUUUUAUGACAACUUGCUUACUUUGCAAAAUUUUCACAUAUCACCCUUAACUUUAACCUUUAUCAAUUUAACCAUUUACUAAAUAGAAUAAUUAUAAGGAAAUUGAAUACUUUCAUUUCAUAAAAUUCGGGGUCUCACAUCUAUGCUAAUUGCUUCGGCUAGACAAAAAUGAUUUGAAAUAUAUCAAAAUGUAUUUUUUUUAUAUCAUUAAUGCAUCAUGUAACCUGGUGUAGAGAUGAUAAAAAUGAUGGAGUCAUCAAUGCAGUAUUACUUAGUAUUGGAUGUGAUCUAAGGAUCAUCAGCCCACUAUGGUAUGAUGUAGUAUGAUAAAAUCACCAAAUGAUGGAAUCCUCAAACGGACUGUAAAUACAGUGCGGUAUCAUGACGUCAUAAAAAGAUAUUUGAGAUUUCUUUAAGAUAUGAGAAUAUACAUAUAUAUAUAUAUAUAUAUGUAUAUUUUGAUUAAUGUCCGAAUUAUUGUAGAAGUCUAUGCUAUUUGAUUCAGCUAGAUGAAUAUUGAAAGAUGUUCAUGAAAUUCAAGCGUUUAUUGAAAAGUUAUGCCAAACCAAAUUAUUUUGGUGCAGAUUCAGAUGUUGAAAAGCUGAGGUGAACAACCCUAUAGGGGGACAUGUUUUCGGGGACAAUGGUUCCGAGCGUAACACAUAUAGUCAUUAUAAAACACUACGUUGCGGCCCAACGUUGUGGUACAAUAGGCUGGCCACCUAGUGUACGUGUGGAGGGUGUUUUCAGUCUUUGUGAUUGAUAAACACUCUGGUUUGUAGUAUGAAGGAUUGAGUUGAAGCACCAGUAAACCGAGAAUAGAGUUCACGAUCUUUUGACCCCUCAGCAGGAUUUGGAAUCUUUGAAAUUCCUGUUAUUCAUAUCGCUUCCCAAUUAUUGAGCAAUUGUGGAAGAUUCUUAUUAUUCUGAAAGGUGAAAGUGGAAAGGAUGAGAAAAUUAAGCAAAAUAUAAUAAUUUCAAAAAAUAAAAAAAUAAAAAAAAUUAAAACUCCAGAAAGAGGAGAAAUGUGAAACUCUUAGAAGAGGAAGAGGUGAGGAAUAUGAUGAUCUUAGAAAGAUCCUUAGAGAACGAAUUUGGUUGUAGAACCCAAUGAAUGAAUAAAGUAUUAACGUAAAAUCUAUUUUGAUAGAUUGAAUGAAUAAAGAUUAAUAGAUAAAAUUUUGAGGACAAAAUUCUUAGAAGAAUGGGUGAAUGUAAUAUCCCGACUGUUCAUGAUAACGAUCCUUAGCUAAGGAAAUGAAUGGGUUAAAGAGUAUAUAAUACUCAAAAUAUAAUUGAGUUCAAUUGAAAGUUAUGAAAUAAAGCCUAGAAUUUGUUGAAGUAAUGAAUGUAAUAGGAAAUAUAAAAUCUAUAUUAAGGUAAUGUGUUGAAGAUAUUCAACGAUAAUUUUUUUAAAAGAGAUUUGGUGAAAACCGAGUAAGGGAGGUUCCGUUGAUUCCGAGGACGGAAUCCUUAUAAGGAGGGAAGGAUGUGAUAACCCGAAUUUUUCAUAAGUUAUUAAAAUAAGAAUUUAAUAAUUGAAAUUCUUAUUGUGAUGUGAUUGAUAUAACAAUCCAGAAUUUUAAUUGUAAUUAUAAAUAUUUAUUGAAUUAUAUAAAUAUUUAAUGGAUGUGUUUAUUGUUGAAUAAAUAUUUGUUUGUUGUUGAAUAAAUAUUUGUUUAAUUUGAUUUGAUUUGAUUUGGUUAAUUAUUUGUUUAAUAAAUAAUUAAUGGGUUAAGGAAAUUAAUUGUUAUGAGAUAAUAUUCUAAUUUAAUUUAAUAAUUAAGUUAGAGAAUUUAUAAUGAUUAAAUGAAUUAUUAUAUUAUUCAAUAAAUUGUUAUUAGAAUUAAUUAAAUUAAGUAUGAAAACUUAAUUAAAUAAAGUGUGACAAAUAACUAUACUAUAAAGGAGUUAUUAAAAUAAAUUAAGGAGUUUAAUUUAGUUUGCCAAACAAAGCUUAAUAUAUUAAUUCUUUAAAAAUUAAAGGGUUUUGCCAAACAAAGCCUUAUGGCUUUUGGAAUUUCUAAUUUUUGAAUUUCAAUAAAAUAAAUAAUAUAAAUAAAAUAAUAAAUAUAAUAUAUUUAUAUUAUAUACGUUAGUUUUGUAACUGUUAUUUUAUUAAGUUUGGCGUAUUAAGGAUUAACAGUUUUGGUUUUUCGCCUUAAAGCUAUCAGUUAUUUUUUUUACGCAUUCUAGUUUGCUAGCCUAGAGAUUACAGAGAGUUGAGAGAAUUAUGAGAGAACUUAAGCAAUUUUUGGCAAUUUUAGCAAGGAUUACAAGAGUUAGCAAGAAUUGUCUGAGCAAAUUGAAGGUAUGUUAUAUAACCCUUAAUAUAUAUGCUACGACAUAAUUUUUCAUGAGUUUCACUGUGUAUAAAAUUCUUUACAAAUUCUCUUGAAUUGUUGUAUAAACUGAAUAAUUGCACUUGUAGGUAAUUGUAAUGCUAGAGUUUAUGUUUAGAUAAGGGAUUGUACGCUAGUCUCGUUUAAAAAGGAAGAAAUUGUUUGCAAUUUAUAGAUGUUCAAAAAUGACUGGUAAAAAUACCAAAUAUUAAUAUAAUGUAAUUGUCUGUAAUAGUUUGUUGGUGAAUUAAUGGUAAAAUUGAACACUGAAUAUAUUAACUUGGUAAGACACGAUGAGAUUAUAGUUGGAAUGGAUUAAGUUGAUGAAUAAUAGGAAUUUCAUUGUUAAACUUUGUCAAACAAUGUCAAUAAUGGAGUUUGGUUUUAAAACAGUGCUUUCAAGAAUUUAAGUUUUCUAAAAAUCGUUGUUUAGUUGUGUUAAACUAGUAUAUAUAGGCUUGGUAAUGACUAUGUGUAAAUUACAUAAAUUAUAAGUGUUAAUUUAGAUGUUAUCAGUGUUAAUCAGUCCAGAAUUUAGUUGUUCUGUUCUUCGUGGUUGAGUUCUAUAAGUUUUCGCGCCCCAGCGCGCUGAAAUUCGCGCCCCAGUGCCAAUUUUCGCCCCUUAGCGCCAAAAAUAACCCAAAACUUCGCGCCCCAGCGCUGGAAUUCGCACCCCAGCGCCACUGUCUCGCGCCCCAGCGCUGGAAAAGUGGUCUGGGUUGGACAGUUUUGACCUCCUGUAGUAAAAUGGCCAUAACUGUUUCAUACGCACUCCGAUUGAGGUGAUUCAAGAUGAAACGGAACGAGGACGAAUAGACCUACAACUUUUGUUGUUUAAGUUUGUCAAUUUGAGGUCGGGAAUAGGGGUCAAAAUUGUCAUUUGUGAGACUGAUAUGUAUUAGGAAGCAAUCGGAGGGCGUCGAGAAUGCACAUAUGCAAAUGUAGUGCUCCUAACCAUAAAAGAUGUUGUCCUAAGUUAUAAAACAUGAGUAUUAGUAAAUAUAAUGAUGCUUAACAUUAAUAAAUGAUAUAUUAGAUAAGUUGUAUAAGCAUACUAAGCACACACAUGAGAGACGAAUCGGGCGUGUGACGAAAGAACAUCGAAACGCCGUGACAAGUGUUAAUGAACUUAAAAAGUGUUUCAAUUUAAUUCAAAUGAAUAUUAUAAGAUAUGGGAUGGAUUUAAUAUAAAACCAAUAAGUAGUCCUAGCAAGACUUAAGCACUUAAAUGAACUUUAAAUAUGAAAUACAGUGAGAUAUAAGUUGAAAGUUAACACAAUCAAAUUGAACAUUAUGUAUUUAUGAUAGGAAGGGUUAUGAGACGUAGAGUAAAGUUUACAUUACAACUACUAUGUGUUGCUAUGUGACUAAUAGUUGAUGUGAAUGAUUAUAUAAUUGUGUAGGGCACGUGCAGUACAGAUAACCGUAAGCUGUUAAACUAUUAUUGGUAAACAACGAUCAAGGCAAGUCUUUUGGUUCUUAUUUGCUAUGUGAACUUGAUGAUUAACUGUUUUAGAUCUUUAUUGCAAAGAACAUGAUGUGUUAUAUAUAUGUUGAAAGUAUGAAAUGUUAAAGUCAAUUUAUGACUAUGUUGAUUGAUUAAAGCAUGCUGAUUGCAUGAAAACUGUUAAAUUUUGCUGGGCUGUCGAGCUUAACCUUGCAAAUAACCACUUUUGCAGGUUCAAGACUCAAGGUAAAGUUAUGUCUUACUUGAAAGACAUGAGUCAGAUGUGAUACUUGAAGAAUUAUAUACUUUAGCUGAGUUAUUAUUAUUUGAACCAUGUCUAAGGUUCCGAAUAAUGUAUAAAUGUUGAAUUGAAAUAACGUUUUACGAUGUAAACUAUUGUAGUAUUAAAAUGAUUCUAAGCUAUUUAGAUGUAAAGGUUAAAGGUUUUGGGAACGAGAAUAGUUUGUAAUAGAAAAUUUUAAUUAUUCUGCAAAUUUUAACGGUUGUAUUAUCGUUUAAUGAUGUAAAAUUAGAGGUUGAAUGUAUUAUUAACGACCAAAGUUGAGAAUUAAAUUGUAUAAAUUUUGGGGUCGUUACAAAUACGUAACGAUAGAAUAACAAGGAGGGAUGGAUUAUGUAAUAAUAAUUCAAGUAUGACAAAUGCAGUUUUUCGCCUGCGUACAAAGUUCGAGAAUGUUAGGGAAAGUAAAGCGUUAAUGAAUAAACGAUGAUCGUAUGAUAUGUAAGUAUUGUAUGAGGUAAUGAAUACGAAUAUGAUAUAAGGUAUUAUACAAGUAUGUAUAAAUGAUGGUAUAUCAUAUAUGAAGAAUGAGUAUACGAAUUAGCGUAUGAGAAGAAUACGUAAAUAAUAUGUUAUAAGCUUUAGGCCAAUGGUAUUGGACUUAUAGGAUUUGUGUAAGAAUUGUACAAGCCCAAAUGAAAUAAUGUUAAAGCCCAAUGUUUGAUAAUGCAAGCCCAAAGGUUAAGUUAAAGUUAUUAAAACUUAAGCCCAAACUAAGAACCGGAUCCGUGGAUCAAACCGAUGGGUUACCGUAUAAGAAAAACCCAUAGGGCAACCCAUGUGGGCCUCAUAGGUGAGUCAUGGUUGACCAUAUGUGGUGGCCAAGCAAAGGAUAAGGUGAGUGGUGGCCAUAUAAGGAAUAGUAAGGAGGUGGAUUAAGGAGGUGGAAGGGCCUAAAUGACUAUUCUACCCUAACCUUGUAAAUCCUAUAAAUAGGAAGCUUGCUUGUUUAAUUUCCACCAACAUCUUAUAUUGAGAGAGAAAAGUGAGAAAAGGUAGAACUUUGCUAUAUCAAGAAGGAAGAAGAAGAACUAAGCUAAAGAACUUCAAGGGUAAGCAUCCUAAACCAUGAUUUUCCCUCUCUUCAUUUGAUAGAGAAGUGAGUAGUGGUAGAGCAUGUUUGUUAAAGAGUGAUAAAGAUGGUUUUUAAUGGAUGAAACCUUAAUAAACCAUGUGUAAGUGGAAUCAUAAGUAUAAAAGUUAUAAACCAUUGAAAAACAUUGAAGAAUUGUAAUAUUGUUAUAUAUGGGAAAGUUUAUCAUUUGUAGACUUAGAUAGUAUAUGUUAUGAUAAUAGAAUGAAUCCAUUUGGAAUGGUGUAAAAAUCUUAAGUAACGAAGUUAUGACAAAAUUUACGAGAUUAGACGAUAAUUGUCGAAAUCGUGAAAUUCUCGGAAUGGAAGUCAAAAGUUAAUAUUGAACUCAAAAAUGUUGGUUUUCGAUGGAGAAUAGUCUAAGUUUGCAUUUUAGAGUUACGGACUCGAAAAUGGUCAAAUUUUGACUUAGAACGAAGAAACGAGCUAUGAACAUUCACAAACGCUUAUUGUUUUCAUAAUAAUGGACUUAAAUAGUGAAUUAUGUGUUAACGGAUUUGAAAAUGUGAAAUUCUUAUAUGAACACUUAGUUCAUGUGAUUUUUGAGAUAAUGGCUUUUGAAUGAGCCAAUUCGGACUUAAAAUGAGCAAAUUAUGAGUCCGGGAAGUUCACUAAACAAGAAAUCUGUUAAAACUAUCUGAGGCACAGGGCCAGCGCUGUAGCGUGGCUCAAGGCUUUAAAGCUGGCACCGCAGCGCUAGGCCAAGGCCAAUAACCUACUGGAGAGUGGCGCCGCAGCGCGGCCAUUUGUAUUUGGGAUGGCGUCGCAAUGCCAGGUCCGGGUAAAAGUCACUGCUGACUCUCGCCGCAGCGCGAGUCCAAGAAGGAAAGCUGGCGCUGCAGCGCCAACACUAGGGAAAAGAUAGUAAAGAAUUCUCAUGAACACAAAAGAAAUAUCAGAUGAUUGAUGGUGAAUUAUAUACUUAAUACACCUAAUGUAACAUCAUUAAAGAUGUUAAUAACCUUAAGAAUUACAACUAAAGGUUAACAAAAGAUUACUUAAACGUAAACACAAUGUAAUACGAUAAACCGUAAUGAACGUUAAAUAAUCUAAUGAAACGAUUAGAUUAAGAAGAAGGGUAAGAUACAUUAGGAACCAUACAUGAUUGAUUAUGACCUAAUGUGUUAUGUUAUGUGAUUAUGCAUUGUAAAAUCCUUAAUGACUCAAAAGGAAAAUUAUUUAAUCUGUAGAAGAUGCUAAAGGUAAGUGUUCUAACCCUUGUCUAUGUUCAUUCUGGACAAGCUUUGUGAUUCAUGUCUCUUACGCAUGAGUUAAUGUAUGAUGAGGUCAAAGCCAAUUCCUUUGGCUAGACUUAAUGUAUUCAUUGGAUUUCUUAUAAUCUAUCAAAAUGUUAUCAAAGUUGUUAUCUUUUGCCAAACUAUUUUGGAAUGGAUUUCAAAGAAAGACUGAGUAUGAAUAAACAAACGUUUUAUCGUCAAACAACAGGCACGUGAGGUUACCAAAACUUAAACAUAAAUACGUUUACAGAAGAAGUGUUGUACAACAUAGAGUACUAUAGGUUGAUCACCUAGACGUACUCGUAAGUAAUACCGGACUUACGGACUUAGUGUCGGAUUGUCCUUUUCAAAGAAAGAACGAAAUGCUUAAGGUCUUGGACCCAAAAUUGAUGUUUAAUGAAUGUGGUUCAUUGUGAAAUGUUUUAAAGGAAAAGAAGUGCUAUUUUGAUUUAUCUAUAGUACUUCAUAACUAUUGCUUCAGUUAUAGAAGAUAUACAAUUUUUAUGAUUCAAGCAUGUGAUAAGUAGGUUUUAUACCUACUUAUUAGGUGCCAAUUCACUAGAAUUAUGCUCAUCCCAAGUAGUUUUUAUUAUGUUUUAUUUGAAUUUUAUGUUUAUUUUGCAGUAUUUGUAGCUGGAACUCCUAUAACAACCGAAGGCAAGGAAAGGCAUGGAAAAGAAAGAAAUGGCAUGGAAUGGCAUUAACAUGGCAUGGUGGAAUUGAGAUAGAAUGAAGAUUGCAUAACUUGACCUGAGUAGGUGAGGAGGAUCAAUGAAUUGGGAAAUGAAGAAAAGAAGAAAUGAAGAAGAAGUAGUAGAAAAGAGCAACAACAAAAAGCAGCAGAAGACACAGUGCAGCAGCAGCACAGCCACGCUGUCUGUACAGCUACACAUGGUGCGCCCGUGCCUAAGGCAAGACAGAGGCAGAUCAGGCAUCGUGCAACCGCGCUUUAACAAGGGCCAUGGUGCACCCGCACCAAGCACUCAGCAGAUAACCUCAUAGCGCGCCCGCGCCCGUAUUGCACUACAAUUCCACGAGGCCGCGCGAGUCUUCUUUAGUUAAUUUUGCUGACUUUUUGUAAUUUGAAUUUGAGCGUGUUUUGCUCAACUGAGAUGAUAUUGUUGGCACCAGAUGUUGUUUUUCAUUUUUUUCAUCAUUACUGUUCUUAGGUUUUAGCUACGCUAGAGAGGAUUUGAGCAUUUGAUGAUACAUUUAACUCCUCUCUUUAUCUAGAUUAUUCAAUAAUUAUAGUUUACAUUUUUUGGAGAUUUUGGUGAUUUGGAACAAUCUUGGAAUAGACUUUGCAAUAGAGAUUAUUAGAUUUUCUCUAUCAUUUCUCUUACAUCUAUUGAUUACAUUUCUUAAUUCCAUGUUUUGCUUUAAUCCCAUAAUGACUUUUGGUUUAGAAAUGAACUAAAUUCCAUUAUUAGAUUCUAAUGGAUUUUGAUGUGUAGUCUAAAUAUGUGUAUCUGAUUGUGAUGUCAUAAAUUUAUCAUUGGAAUGCCCAUUAUGGUUGUGCUUAAUGUAUGAAUGCUUGAUCACCAUUCACACGAAUUGUUUGUAUGGAUUUGGAAAAUGAAGUAUAAGUAUAGAUUAGACCAUAAUGGCAUGUGUUCAUAAGACUUAUUUAUGUUAGGUUUUGUGAUUUGUGAACCGGAUAGACAUAUACUGAUUCACCAUUUGUAGUCAUUAAAAGAGCUUGCACUUAAAUCAUAUUUGCUUUAAAUUCACAUAGAAAUAUAGUGAGUUUGGUAAUUGUGAUGCUUACAUGAAUUCUAUCAAAUGUGGAUUUUAUGUAAAUUGGUCAUAGUUCAUUGAAAAAUGGUUAUGUUCCACUUUUGUGCUCUUGACUAGCUUUCCAUGAUAAAUAAUUAAACAUGACAUGAGGGCUGCAUUUUAGAUGAAACAUUAAAUGAUAUUAGAAUCCCAUUUCUCUCCAGUUUGAUUACAUUACUUUAGUAAUUAUAAGUUUGUUUCAUUAAUUAAUUUAGAAUUCAAUUUAAUUGUGAGUUGAUUGUUUAAGCAUAUAGAAAUAGUGAUUACGUUGUUGCAUGAUAAAUUAGAUUUAACACCUUUCUCUGUGGAUCGAUACUUUUCUUACUCUGUACUACUUGUUGACCCAUGUAUACUUGAAUGAGUUAGAGUCCUUUUUCAUAAACAAAAAAGGAGGCAACAAGUUUUUGGCGUUGUUGCCGGGGAAAGACGUUUAUUUUUAAUAUUGUUGUCAUCAGCUAAAGCUAAAUUUGUGUGACUUAAACAAUUAUAUUCUUAUCUUAUUUCUAUUUUUGUUUUUGUUUAUUUUAGGUACUUGUGUAUAUUUUAUGCACACGCGAUAAUCCAAUUCCGAGUUGACACCUGCGCAGGAUAAUAUCAACGGUAGAGGUUGGAAGUCGAAAGCGCAUCGAAAUAUAUAAGCAGAUUUUGAGAAUUCAACAUCCAGUAUGGUAGCAGAAGAGCAAAGAGACGAACAUCGGGCCUUAAGAGAUUAUUCAAUGCCAAAGAUUAAUGGGUUACAGUCAAGCAUUGUGAGGCCAGCUAUAGCAGCCAACACUUUUGAGAUAAAGCCGGGCACUAUUCAAAUGGUGCAAAAUUUGGUACAGUUUGGGGGUGCUACUACUGAUGACCCGAAUGAGCACUUAUUAAGCUUCAUAGAGAUAUGUGACACUUUCAAGUACAACAGGGUGUCAGAAGAUGCAAUCAAGCUCAGACUGUUUCCAUUUUCUUUAUGGGACAAGGCUAGAAGUUGGCUCCACUCUUUACCAUCAAGAUCUAUUACAACAUGGGAGAACUUAGCACAAAAUUUCUUAGCCAAAUUUUUCCCAAUGGCUAAGACAGGUAAAAUGAGGACAACAAUUUCCCAGUUUGAACAACAGCAAAGAGAAUCAUUAUAUAAAGUUUGGGAAAGGUAUAAAGAGAUGCUAAGGAAAUGUCCCCAUCAUGGAAUGUCAGAUUGGAUAUGAUUAAUACUUUUUACAAUUGAUUGGGAUGGCAGUCAAGGCCAAUUGUAGAUGCAGCUGCGGGAGGAGCUUUAUGGGCCAAGAGUUAUGAAGAGGCUUAUAAUCUUAUAGAGACUAUGGCAGCAAAUGAUUUACAAAAUCCUACGGCCAGAAUGCCACAGCCCAAAGUUGCAGGAUUGUUAGAGGUGGAUGUUAUCACAUAGUUGUCAGCUCAUAUGGCAUAUAUGGCAAAGAAGAUUGAUUCGUUAGUAGAAAGCAAAGCGAAGAUAGUUGCUUUUAUAUGUGAGAUAUGUGCGGGGUCUCAUCUAACUGAUCAAUAUGCAAUCAGUUCAGAAUCUGGACAAUAUGUGAGCAACUAUUAGAAAAAUCAGAAUCAGUUCCAGAAUUCCUAUAACUCCAACAACCAAAAUCAUCCCAAUUUUAGCUGGUCAAACAAUUAAAAUCAACAAAGUCAACAAUUUCAACCACAACAUCAGUUUCAGCCACAACCAUCUCAUCAACAGUAUGCAUCAAAACCACCCUACCCUCCAGGAUCUCAACAGCAACAAUAACAUCAUCCACCACCUACACCUUAGCAAGAAAAGAAGUCAUAGAUGGAAGAGAUGAUGAUGAAGUACAUGGCAAAUACUGAGGUGAUGAUUAAAAGCCAAGCAGUGACUAUUAAAAAUUGGGAGACACAGAUGGGUCAGAUGGCUAGUAUGCUCAAUAACAGACCUCAAGGGACAUUUCCUAGUACAACAGAAGCUAAUCCAAGAAGAGAGGGUAACGAGCAGUGUCAGGCAAUAACUUUAAGAUCAGGGAAGUAGACUACAAAAUUGCAGCAUGGCGCACUCGCGCCACUUUUAUAAGGUGAAGACGCGCGGCCGCGCGAUGAAGAAAAAUUUUCUGGUGAAGUUUUUUUUAAAGAAGGUUCAGAACAGCGGGAAGAGGAGAAAAACAGUAAAGAGGCACUUGAGAAACAAGUGACCAAACAACCAGUUGUUCAUCCCCUAUUCCUUAUCCAUAAAGAUUAUAGAAGCAAAGGGAAGAUAAGCAGUUUCAUAAGUUUUUGGAGGUGUUUAAAAAGCUACAAAUCAAUAUACCUUUCGCUGAGGCAUUGGAACAGAUGCCAAGUUAUGCAAAGUUUAUGAAAUGGAUAUUAUCAAGGAAAAGAUUGGAAGAUUUUGAGACAGUAGAUUUAACUGAAGAAUGCAGCACAGUGCUUCAACGCAAACUACCUCUGAAGCUGAAGGACCUGGGCAGCUUCACGAUACCUUGUUCAAUCAGAAAGAUGAGUUUUAGCAAAUGCUUGUUCGAUCUUAGGGCGAGUAUCAACUUGAUGCCAGUAUCAGUGUUCAAUCAGUUGGGAUUGCAGGCUCCAAGGCCGACAAACAUUUCAUUGCAACUUGCUGACAGGUCCAUUACCUAUGCACGGGUAUUGUGGAAGAUGUACUUGUUAAAGUAGACAAAUUUAUUUUCCCUGUGGAUUUCAUCAUAUUGGACUAUGAAGAAGACAGAAGUAUACCGAUCAUUCUUAAAAGACCAUUCUUAGCCACAAGAAGAACUUUAAUAGAUGUUUAGAAAGGUGAAUUGACAAUACGAGUUCAUGAUCAAGAAGUCACCUUCAACGUGUUCAAGGCUUUGAAAUUUCCUACAGACAAAGAGGAUGUUUCAGGAUUGAUAUGGUGGAAAAGGUGUUGAAUGAUGAAGUAGAAAAUUUGGUGGAACAUGAACCUUUAAAGAAUGUUAUUUUGGGAAAUUCUGAGAUAGAAGAUGAGGAGAUUACUGAGUUUGUUCAAAUACUUGGCACAACUCUACAGUUCAGAAGAUUCAAGACUCCUAUUGAGCCAUUAAAGAUGGUUGGAAAGACAUCAGUGAAAUUAAAGUCAUCUCUUGAGAUGCCUCCAGAACUUGAGUUGAAACCACUUUUAGACCAUUUGAGGUAUGCAUUUUUAAAUGAUAAUUCAAAAUUACCUGUUAUUAUUUCUUUUGCACUAAUAUCUGUCCAGGAAGAAAAGCUGCUAAGAGUUUUGAGAGAUUUCAAAUCAGCCAUUGGAUGGACCAUAAUAGAUAUCAAAGGGAUCAACCCAUCAUUCUACAUGUACAAGAUCCUACUAGAAGAUGAGAGUACGCCUUCAGUGAAACAACAAAGGAGACUUAAUCCAAUUAUGAAGGAAGUGGUCAAGAAAAAAGUGUUGAAGUGACUGGAUGCAUGAAUAAUAUAUCCGAUCUCAGACAGCUCGUGGGUGAGCCCGGUACAGUGUGUGCCUAAGAAAGGGGGAAUUACCGUAGUUUCCAACGAGAACAAUGAACUGAUACCAACCAAAACAGUGACGAGGUGGAGAGUCUGCAUGGACUAUCACAGACUUAAUAAAGCUACAAGGAAAGAUAACUUCCCACUGCCAAUUAUUGAUCAGAUGUUGGACAGACUAACAGGUCAUGAAUUUUAUUGCCUUCUAGAUGGAUAUUCAUGCAACAAUCAAAUUGUGAUAGCUCCAGAAGACCAAGAAAAGAUAACUUUCACAUGUCCAUAUGGAACAUUUGCUUUCAGAAGGAUAUCUUUCGGGUUAUGCAAUGCCCCGGCCACAUUCCAGAGGUGUAUGAUGGCAAUUUUUUUGGAUAUGGUGGAGCAUAAUGUGGAAGUGUUUAUGGAUGAUUUUUUAGUGUUUGGAGAUUCUUUUGAUAUGAUUCUUUUGAUUUGAAGAGAAAGCUAACUACAACAUCAGUGAUCACAACACCAGAUUGGGACCUUCCGUUCGAAUUAAUGUGUGAUGGCAGUGACUAUGAUGUGGGGGCUGUUUUGGGCCAGCGAAGGGAAAAGAUUUUUCAUGUGAUUUACUAUGCGAGCAAGACCCUCACAGAUGCUCAGUUGAAUUAUACCACCACAGAGAAGGAACUUUUUGCAGUUGUGUAUGCGUUUGACAAGUUUCUUGCGUAUUUGAUUCGGACUAGGGUGAUAGUGUACACAGAUCAUGCAAUAAUUCUAUACUUGGUGGUAAAGAAAGAUACAAAACCUCGUUUAAUCAGGUGGAUACUUCUAUUGCAAGAAUUUGAUUUAGAGAUUAAGGACAGAAAGGGAACUGAGAAUCAAGUUGCGGACCACUUAUCUAGACUGGAAAAUCCAGGAAGGGAUGUAGAUGACAAGGUUGUGAUUAAUGAGUCCUUCCCAGAUGAACAGUAAUUUGUGGUGAAAAGGGAAGUGUCAUGGUUCGCCGACUAUGUGAACUACUUGGUAAGCAAGAUAAUCCCUUCUGACUUGGUUGGACAUCAAAAGAAGAAAUUUUUGCAUGAUGUGAAGUGGUUUAUAUGGGAUGAAACGUACUUGUUUAAGCAAUGUGUUGAUCAGAUGAUAAGGAGAUGUAUCCCAUAUAGCGAGACAGAAGGUAUUUUGCAAGAUUGCCACGCGUCUUUAUAUGGAGGUCAUUAUGGUGGAGAAAGGACAGCGACUAGAGUGUUACAAGUAGGAUUCUACUGGCUGACAAUUUUUAAAGAUACUUAUAGUUUUGUCCAAAAGUGUGAUAGAUGUCAGAGAGUUGGGAAUAUAUCCAGGAGAAAUAAGAUGCCUUUGAACACAAUCCUCGAGGUUAAAAUUUUUGAUGUGUGGGAGAUAGACUUCAUGGGGACUUUCAUUUCUUCAUGUGGGAAUCUGUAUAUCUUAUUGGAGGUUGACUAUGUUUCUAAGUGGGUCAAAGUGGCAGUUCUUCCAACUAAUGAUGCUAAGGUGGUCCUAAGAUUUUUACAAAGAAGUAUUUUUACAAGAUUUUGGACUCCACGGGCCAUCAUUAGUGAUGAGGGCAGCAAUUUCUGUAAUCGAUAGUUCACAGCUUUGUUGGCUAAGUAUGGGGUGAGUCAUCGUAUUGCUACAGCUUACCAUCCCCAGACUAAUGGCCAAGCAGAGAUUUCGAAUCAUGAAGUAAAGAGAAUUCUUGAGAAAAUUGUGAACCCCACAAGAAAGGACUGGUCAUUGAAGUUAGAUGAUGUUGUAUGGGCCUAAAGGACUGCCUAUAAGACACCAUUGGGAAUGUCACUGUUUCAACUUGUAUAUGGAAAGGCUUGUCACCUUCCCAUGGAGCUCAAGCACAACGCGUAUUGGGCUAUAAGGAAGCUCAAUUUUGACUUAAAGGCUGCAGGAGAAAAACGCCUACUCCAACUAAAUAAGUUGGACGAAUUCAGGAUGCAAUCAUAUGAGAACUCCAAAAUAUACAAGGAAAAGGUGAAGAGAUGGCAUGAUCGCAAGAUAAUGGAAUGGGUGUUUUAACUGGGGCAACGAGUUCUAUUAUUUAACUCUAUACUCAGACUAUUUCCCGGGAAGCUCAAAUCAAGAUGGUCAGGGCCAUUUACUGUGAAGACCGUUUAUCCACAUGGUGCAGUUGAAAUAUUUGAUAAGUUCCCAGACAAGCCUUUCAAAGUUAAUGGACAGCGACUUAAGCAAUAUUAUGGUGGUGAGGUUGACAGGCAGAAGGUCACCUCAAUUCUUUCCUCUACAUGAUUUUGUGACAACCCGAAAAAUCAGAUUGUCCAAAAUUUAAGUUUAAAGAAUUAGUUAUUAAUAAAAUAAAUUUUUAUUAAUAAUAUUAUGUAUUAUGUGUUUAUUAAUCGUUCUAGAACCUAGGAUGAUUAUAAUACGAGAGGAUUCUGGCUACGAGCUAGACUGAACGAGAAAGAAUUUUCAAGACGAAAAUAAAAAAAAUUCGGGAAUAAAAUAUUUCCGAGGAAAAAGACGAAAUAGGCACUAUUCACCCGACAAAACCCUAAGGUUAAGGUUUGAAUAACAUAAGCCCUUUUGAGAGUUCGGUAUGUCCAAAUGACAUUUCGUCAAAAAUUGGACGAUAAUCUAUCGUGAAAAGUUAAGUAAGUCGAUAAAAGUUUUUCUUGAAAAACAUGCAGAAAUCGGACCAAAUAAAAAUGACGAAAAGUACUGUUAUGUACUUUUCAUUUGUUUAACUACGUUAGGGGAAAAUGUGAUGGAAAAUGCUUAAUGUUAAAAAUUGUUUUUUAGUUUUUCAGAUAUCCGAAGAAUACGUAAAAGUUAAUCGGUAAAGGAAAGACGAAAUAUCCAAAAAUAUUUGGAUUCCGAGAAUCAUAGUUUUUGAACUAUCGGACGAAUUCUGCAAGACGAAAGCACAAAGCUUCCAUGAGAAGCUUCGUGAAUAGUAAGGAGGUGGAAUAGUAAGGAGGUGUGAAUAGUAACCUUUGGGGCAAAAUGACUUUUUUACCCCUAGCCUUGGUUUUUUAUAAAAGGAAAGCUUAAAUCAUUUGUUGGUGAUUUUGAAAAAUCACCAACACUUGAGAGAGAGAGAGAGAGAGAGAGAGAGAGAGAAGUCGGAUGGGAGGAAAAAGGAAGAGGAAAAGCUAGCCUGAGAGCAAACUUUGUCCAACGGAAGAAGAUUAAAGGAGAAAAAUAAUCCAAAACCUUGUCUCUUAUAAAUUUUCUUUAAGUUAAAUAUGUUAAAAAUAUAACUUAAUAGAAUAGAAGUAAGAGAUUUUAAGAAUGAUUUCAUAUGGUUGAAAUCAUGAGAAAAUGAUAGAAACGAUAGAAACGUUCAUGAAAAAUGGAUUAAACUUAGCUAUAACGAAGUUAUGGCGAAAAUUUGAUAAAAGACGAAUGAGAAGUAGAAAGUAUGUAAAUGAACCCAAACAUGUAGGGUUUCAUAAGAAUGUAAGAGAACGUAGAAAACAUGAGUCGUGGACUCAAGAAUGAACGAGUUCUGAGUUCGGAUGACCUAAUUAUGAACGAACAAAUGAAGAAUGUUAAUAACGUAAAACAAAUGAGUAAUGAAAUUUAAGCCAAUUGAAUGGCAUGUUAACGGAUUCAGAAUAAAUUUCUGUCCAAGGGGAAUGUAAGUACUUAAGAUAAGGAAGAGAAUGGCUUUGGAACAACCUCGUUCCAAGUUAUAACGAAGAAGUUAUGAGAUUGUGAAGUAAGCGUCUCAAACCAGUACAAGACUUAGAAAAAAAAAUUCGAAGUUCUAGGUCUGGCGCCACAGCGCCAAUUAAGCCUUGGGAGGUGGCGUCACAGCGCCAACCCGGGCAAUCAGCUACUACUGAGUGGUGCUGCAGUAUGGUGAGAAAGGAAGGGGACCGGCGCCGCAACAUCGGUGCAGGGCAAGGCCCAAAGAAGAGCUUUUAACUACUCAACUCUUAGGGAAAGUUUAAGGGAAGAUAAAGAACAUAUUAUUCACCUAAAGUAACACUUAAUCAAGUGAUUUAAACCUUUAUUUAAGGUUGAACGGAAAGAUUGAAUGGGAUUAAAGAUAAAGAAUGUAAAUGCAAAUUACGGAACCGAUAUCCGGGGAUCGUAGUCGCGAUAAAACGAACGUGAGGGAUUUCUAUGAUUGUGAUUCCUUAGACGUUGAGUGAUGAGGGUGAUGUAUAACAUUUUGAUGUUAUGAUGUUGUAAUGAGAGAUAUGCGUAAAGCGUAUAGUCGCUGUGAACGUAACGCAGUUGCGAUGAACGAUCAAUCUUAGUAUACAACGAAUCGUAUGGCUUCGACAUUAAGAAAGAGUAAUGAGCGUGGGGUUCAUGUAUUGGAUAACGAAGUUAGUAAGUAAGAUAUGAUUUAUCAAGAAAGCCGUAAUGAAUGGUAUCAAGAUUAAUGGAAGCCACAUGUUAGUCAGAUAGAGAAUGUUAGAAUGAAAUGUAAGCGUUAAACACUUUAACCGACGUGAGGGUUCAGUGUACACGAAUAUUAAACGGACAGAACCUACACCCCGUGUAUGGUUUGACCGUAAGAUAAUGAAGAACGAUGAUUACAACUAUGAAUGGUGAAGAACUAAAUUAAAGACAAUGACGUAUAACGUAAAGAAGCCGAGUUAAUGAUUAACUUGGAUGACGUUUUGGGUCGAUGAACCGGAUAUUGUAAGAUAAGAAUAAGGUAAUGUAAAAUGUUUAACGCAAUGAACAUAUAGUAUUGACAUUGAACAAUUGUAGACACUCGAAAUUUUCUGCACGCCUGUUACUGACAUUGCAGGAGGACAGAUUCGUCUUUCGGAAAUAACCCUGGAAGACAGCUUACAUCCAUUCUGGAUACUACCAAAAAUCAAUCCCGAAACCCGGGACACACACCGGGAACAUCAUUUCCAACCCCGGAACACACACCAGAAGGAUCAUUUCCAACCUCAGAGAUAACCCCGAGUUUCGUCAUUGGCGAUAACCCCAAGGAGUGUUGUUGCAGUUCCGGUGAUAACUCUGGAAAUGCUUGUUACAUGCUAUCAUCUUCAAGCUCAGACCUCCUGCCGAGGCACUCAUACCUCAGACCCAGAGAUAACAUCGGGCAGACAGGAACACUCUCACAAGAUGACAUUGUGGCAUACAAACAAGUAGACCAAUCUCAGAUGUAACCCUGAGCAACAUCUGCUUUCAACUCAAACUGGCGAUAACCCCGGCGAAGAGUCAAAUGUCAUUUUUCCCCUUCCACACCUGCGCGUCAUCUCAACACUUCAUACAUACAUACAUCCAACGAUGUCCCAUAAGAACUGAGGAGUUACAAUCUCGAGUGACUAUUACGCGUGAUAGUACCUUGGAUAGAAUUUGAAGCUUGAAGACCAUGGGCAUGGACCCCUCUUCCUGACUUCGAACAACCUCUAAUCCAUGUCAUUGCGUAACUCUCGACACAAGCGGUCCGAAGAAGGUCACAUAUACCUCGUUCGGAUGCUCGGAUUGAAGUUCUGCAAGAUCGAGCGGACAUUACAGUGCACGAGUGCAUGUACUUAGAGACGCCAGGACCCGCGAGGCUCGGAUGCACCACGAUCAGCAGCAGGUAUAACCACGACUACCGCAGGUGUACCUGCGGCCAUCAAUCUAUAAAUAUAGACCUUGGGGUCAGCCAUUUGAGGGAGAAGGAGAGAGAAAGGCGAGGAAGCCCUGUCCAAUUUACUCUGUACACACCCAUAUUGAGUGUUUCCUCAUCUCUAAACAUCAGUUAGCUCAUAUAUAGCUAUCUUUUUAUCCGGCGAAAGCUGAGUGUUUAUCUAUAUAGAGUCAUAGAAGUCUACAUUGGCAGCCCACUGUUAGCCUUCUCACAUUCUAUAAAGCCUUCUUCUCAUAUUAGCACACACCUUUAUACACAUUGAGAGUCGUGUAGUGUGUGUUUGCCCUGACUUCGGUCCGUAGUUUUUAUUUUUGUCUGUAUAUAUAUACGUAUAUAUAUGUAUAUAUUUUAUAUAUGGACUAACAUUAUCGAGUUAUGCCUCGAUUGAGCCUAGACUUAUGUCUGGAGCGUUUAUUUGAUUAUAUAUAUAUAUAUAUAUAUAUAUAUAUAUAUAUAUAUAUAUAUAUAUAUAUAUUUACCGCUUUUAUAUAUUUACAUUUACGAUCCCCCAUGGAGUUGUUUCGUGGUGGUUGAUCAAGUCUGUAUAUAUAUAUUUACAGCUUUUAUAUAUAUAACUGCUUACUGCUUUCCAUACAAACUGCAGUAUCAUGUGAGCCUAGGAAUCAUGUGAUCACAGAUUCAGUUUACUGAAUCUAGAUUCGGUUCCCAUUAUGGACCUUUUUCAGCUGUGAGCAGCUUGUACAUAUUUUAUAGUGUCUGAAUUUCCUUGGAUGGCUGUCAUUCCCAUGAGGAGUUCGACACUGCUGUAUAUUAUUUUCUCAAAGAUGCUUCACAUCUCGACAAUAAAAGCAAACAAGCCGAACAUUUAAUAAUAAAAUGGAAGUAUCAAAGGCCUCAAUUACUAUUGAGCAUAGGGUUUGAAAAACCUCUUUUUAUAAAACUUCACUGCUAUAUCUUGUUUAAAACUGAAUUUUUCUACAAAUUCAAACCCUUUGUAUAUAGGUGCGAACGAGGUGUAGCACUACUUCCAAAUAAUUGCACAUUGAUCCACACACACACACAUACACAUUAAUAUAAUAGUUUCUUUGAAAAGUGGCGGUCACCGUGGCAACACGGAUGUCGGGGGGUGCCUAACACCUUCCCUCCGCAUAAUCAAGCCCUCGGACCCAAAUGAAUCUCGGUUUCACAGGCCCGUUUAGCAGUGUCACAUCACUGGGUCAAUGUGCAAACCUUUUUCGGUUGCGUUGGUGCAACCAGUUAAAUACACCAACUAGCGACUCUUAAAGUCAAAUCGCCGACAUUAUACAUAUCGAACCUUUUUCACUUGUUUUUUCAAACAAAUCUCACAUUAACAUGAGAACACCAAAGAACAAGUAACGAAAAGGGAUACUAAAAAUCCUGACGUCGACAGGUGGCGACUCUGCUGGGGACUCCAGUAAGAGGGCUUAAGCCGCUAUUACAAGCUUUUCAAAACUGUUAUAUGCUUGUGUGUGAAUGUUGCAUUUACAUUUAUGAUGAAUGUGUACGAAUGCAUUUUACUUACUGCACUAUACUAUAUCUAUUUGUAAUAUUAGUGUUUCGCACAUGUCAUCAUUUUCAUAAACGGUGAGACACGUUGUAUGUGAAUGUAUGUUGUGUGGUUCCUCCAUCAGGAGGCUAUCCUGUCGGUGUUUGAUUAUUGGAUUCAUAGGAAGAAUAAUUCCAACGGGGCUCAAGAAAGGCACCACCCAAAUUCGCUCCAGUUGAAAGACCAGAUUAACUUCCCGUCAAGUAGAUUACGAUGAUCAGGGAACCUUCAUGCCAAAAAGCCGCGAGAGAAACCUUAAGAUAGGUCAACCUCUGAUAAACCAAAUGCGGAGAAAAGUCUCUUCAUGCUUUCCAUUUUCAAUUACUUUUAAAAGCAUUUACUUGUAAUUUUAUUCCAUGCUCAUCUUUAUGUAAUGGAAAAUAUGAAGAUUAUUUGUGCAUGCAUGUUAUCAAUUAACACCCGGUUUUGCAGGACAAUAUUCCUAAAAUGGACAUGUUAUGAUAACAUUUACAUUAUCCUAAAACAAAACUACAUAAGUCUUUUGUAGGGAAAUCAUUGGGCCUGUUACCCGCUCAAAAUCUAAAAAGGCCACGAGCCUACAGCCAAUCAUGUCUUCGUCUGAACAGUCUAAUCCUGUUUCUCGUGAAGAAUUUGACGGAUUAAGUCAGCAAAUCACAAAUUUGGUUGUCUUAUUUAAAGAAUUGCAUCAGUCCACUCAGGGUACAAAGAUGCCUCCACAUACAGAAUCCUCUACACAAGGAGGAACACAAGGUCUAGAUAAGACAAAUCUAGAACCUCCGUUGGAUACAACCAACAAAGACCCUGAAAACACCCAUCUCAAAGGAGAUCCAGACACCGUUGAUAUCAGGAAGAAAGUACUCCAAAUGGAGGAAACUAUCCAUAUUCUCAAAGGGAUUGGAACACAUGGAAGUGUUUCAUAUGCUGACCUUUGCAUCUUCCCUGGUGUUCAUUAUCCAGAGAAAUUUAAAACCCCUGAUUUUAAAAAUUAUGACGGAUUAGGGGAUCCUUAUACACAUUUGAAAGUGUUCAUUGGAGAACUUAGAUCUUACGCAAAAAAUGAAAAGCUUAGAAUGCAGCUGUUUCAGAAAAGUCUGACUGGAGAAGCCCGUUCAUGGUAUACCAGAUUAGAUAACUCAAAGAUCUAUAGCUGGGAAGAGCUGGGUCACGCCUUCCUCACUCAAUAUAGUUUUUAAUCUCAGAUGGCUCCUGACCGGUACCAAAUUACCAAGGUUAAAAAAUAGUCUAAUGAGUCUUUCAGAGAGUAUGCUCAAAGGUGGAGGCGCCUUGCUGCUCAAGUUAUUCCUUCCAUGACGGAAUCAGAAAUGGUCUUCACGUUCAUAGAUGUACAGGAAGCCCCUUUCUAUGAGAGAGUAUUAGCUGAUAUUGGCAAACCAUUCUCUGAAAUGAUCAAACACGGAGAGAUGACUGAAAUGGGAUUGAAGUCUGGUAAAAUUCAAGACCUAGCCGCUCUUAAAGCUGUUGCUAAGAACAUCCAGUCCGGAUCUUAUGGAAACAACCCCCGGAGGGUCCAUAAAAAGAAAGAGGAGGAUGUUUCCUUGAUACUACAAGGUCAAAAAGGCAAUCAAAGCGUGCCUCUACAAAGGAGAAAUUACUCCCCUUUUCAAGCACAAUCUUCAAACCCUCCAUUGCCUAAAGGUGGAGAAGUAAAGCGUCCUCGAACGUUCACACCCUUAGGGGACUCGCUCGAGAAUAUUCUUGCUCUUCUGACUACUCAGAAGAAAAUUACACAUCUUCUUCCGCCAGCCAACCCUAAUGGGAGGGGUUUUAAUGCUACUUGAAAAUAUGCUUAUCAUGUCGGAGCACCUGGACAUGAUACUCAAGAUUGUUGGGCCUUGAAACACAAGAUCCAAGAUUUAAUAGACAACGGUGAGAUCGUGGUCACCAAACCAAAUCAACCUCAUGUGCAAGAUAACCCUCUUCCUCAACACAAAGAAGAAGAGGUCAACGUGAUCAGUUGGAGCACUGGACAGAGUUCUAAUUCUAAUAGUGAAUCAUUCCAAACCCUCAAAGACGGUGUUGACAAAUGGGAUUAUGCAAAGUUUUAGUUUACUAUGGAACGAAAGAUGAAAGAUCUUUGCAAACAAAUUGAGUAAUUGGCAGAACUGGUGACCCACCAGCAUCAAGUCACACACCAAUUAAUUAGGCAAGAGCAUGCCUAUCUCCUUCCUUUUGUUAUGAAUGCUCCAUCACCACCUUCAGAAAGUGAAGCUAUGGAAGAUAAGGUUGCAUAGAGAGCCAAUGCUAAAGCCCGUCGGGAUUUUGCUAAUCAAAGGGAAUUUACUUAUCUUGGCCAAUCUAUGGAGGAGAUAUUGCAAAUGCUGAUCAACGAAUGAAGAAUUACCUUCCUUCUGCCUCCAAUCAAUCCCCGCCCAGGACGGUUCAAUUCUGAUGAAGUGUGUCAAUAUCAUUCACAUUCUCGCGGUCACAGUACAGAAGAAUGUUGGGCACUCUGCCAUCUCAUUCAGAAUCUUAUUGAUAACGGUGUCCUGCAAACAGCAGAUGAUUACACUGUCCAACUCAAGGGUGGGAAUGCAUGUCCUACCGAAUGGAAGGGAUCAGUAGCAGUUAUAUCCAAAGUGGAUGAUGAGACUGUCAAAGUAUUUAUCAUACAACUAAUUCAACUCAAAGGAGCUGACAAUCCUUUGAAAGUGGCCGCACCAGAGCCAAUUUCUCUACCUUUCAGACCACAAUAUCCUGUUGUCAGCUUACACAAAGUUCCAUAGAAUUAUGGAGAAGCUGAAGGAUCCAUGUCUCAUACUACUACUACAAUGUCGAAGGAAAAUCCACUGUAUCUUCCUCAACGGGUUAUAAAAACUACUUGCGAAGCAAAGGGGAAGAUUCCCAUGGAGAAGAUUGAAAAAUUCCUCCGCACUAUGGGCCACAAUGAAGCCAAGGUGAUUUUAAGCUUGCGAGACGCUCCACACCAGAUAUCUAUACUGGACUUGGUUUUCUCUUCCGAGGAUCAUCAGAAGAUCUUACUUAAGGUUUUGGAAGAAGCCUACUUGCCAAAAUCAGUGGAUGUGGAAAAUUUUCAACAUCUGGUUGAUCACAUUUUCAACAACAAUGUGAUAUCCUUCACUGAUGACGACAUACCGCCCAAAGGGACCGGUCAUUGUAAACCAUUACACAUUACGGUUUUAUCUUUCGGGUACAUGCUAGCUGGAGUUUUGAUAGAUGGAGGUUCAUCUCUAAAUAUCUGUCCUUAUGCCACCUUGGUGAAGAUGAAUGUCAAUCUCAAGCGGAUCCAAAGCAGCCAUACGAUUAUCAGAGCUUUUGAUGGAUCUCAACGAAAUUCUGUUGGAAAGAUUGAGUUGCCAAUUGAGAUUGGUCCAAAUACAUUUAAUGUAUCCUUCCACGUCCUCAAGAUAGAUUCAGGAUACAACCUGCUAUUGGGGAGACCAUGGAUACACAUGGCUGGAGCCGUUCCCUCCACGCUACAUCAACAACUUAAAUACAUUAUCAAUAACAGUCUAGUCACUAUCAAUGCUGAGCCAGAAUGUCCUGAACAAGGAACUCUACCAAUCAUCGGCUUUAAUUCAGAAGUUGAACCGACCAGUUUUCAUACUCUAGAAGUGAGUACCACGCAAUACCAUUCUAUUGGAGCGCCACUUCCCGUACCCAAGAUUUCUGCCGAGGUUAUGUCGGCCACUCAAGAAAUGAUGUCAUUGGGUCAUCAACAUAGACAAGGGCUUUGUGACGAUUUGAUUGUUUGAAUUGUGAUUCUGGGGACAGAAUCCUUGUAAGGAGGGAAGGAUGUAACGAUCCAAAAUUUUAAAGUGUAAUUUAAAUAUUUAUUGAAAUAUAUAAAUAUUUAUUUGAGGUGUUUAUUGUUGAAUAAAUAAUUAUUGAUGAGAUGGUCGUUAAUAAAUAUUUGUAAACCUGAAUUUAUUAGAUAAAUUUCUAAAUUAAAUUAAUUUAUAAUUUAGAGAAUUGUGGUUUAACAUGAGAUGUUAUAUUAUUGUUUUGAUUUAAUAAUUUAGAUGGUAUAUUAAAUUAUUAAAUAAGUUAUAAUGGAAAUUAUAAUUUUGUGAUAUUUGCAAAAAGGCUAUAUUUAAUUAAAAUAUAGUAUGUGGUUAAUUUAAUGGGUUAAUGUUGGAUACGAAAAUAAUAUGUGAUUAUAAUUUAUAAACUAAAGUGUAUAUUAAAAUAAAUUAAAAAGGAUUUAAAUUGGUUUUUGUCAAACAAGGCUUAAGUAUUUUAAUUCUUUAAUUUUUAAUGGCUUGCCAAACAAGCCUUAUCGCUUUUGGGAUUUCUAGUUUUUGAAAAUCAAAUAAAAUAAAUUAAAUAAUAUAAUAUAUUUAUAAUGGAUACGUUUCUUUUAACUGAUGUUAAUAAUUAGGAUUAUAAAGGUCAUCAAUUUUAUUUUUCUUUGCGCUUAAGUGCUACAUGACUUGGUAUUUGACAAUAUUGAGAAGAGAGUUCAGAGAGUUAAUAGAACUUGACAGUGAAACUUAGAGAGAGUUGAGAGGAAACUUGAGGAUUUCGUAGCGAUCAUUAGUGUGUUUAGCAAGAAUUUCUGUCAAGCAACAAAAGGUAUGUUCAUAACUGUGAUAAUAUAUAUGUGUAUAUACAUGUUUCACGGCAAGAAUUUUCUUAUAUUCUGUAAAAAUCAAUUGUUGAAUUAUGGACAUAUAUAGUUGAUAAUUGUGGUUAUACAUGUUUGUAAUGCUGGAGUAAUGUUUAAACAAGGAAAUUGCAUGCUAAAUUGUUCGAUAGUAGGAAAAAUAUGAUGUCAGUGUUUAUGUUCUUCAUAUAGUCUGAGUAAGUAUCAAUAUUAUUGGCCAAUUCAUAUGUGAAAUUAUAAAUUGAAGCUUAUAUAUGUUAGUUCAUUGAGAUACGAACAUAAUGUAAUUUGAAUGAGAUGAUUUGAGCAUGUAAUGAAAUCACAGUGUUAAUUUUUGGGAUGAAUAUCAAAAAAUGGAGUUUUAUAUAAAAAAAAACAUAAAAUUUGAGAAAUUACAGUAGUGUAAUUGCUGUUAAGUUGUUCUAUAUUGAUAUAUAAGUGAGGAAACAUGUUGUAAUGGUGUUGUAUCAUUUGUAUGUGUUAAUUUUACUGUUUGAUGGGUGAAAUUCGUGUUAGUUGGCUUAAGAAAAGUGUCGUGGCUCUUGUUUGAAAAACUAGGUUCUGUAAGUCACGCGGGCGCGCAGCCCUUAGGCGCGGGCGCGCAGCUAUCGCACGGGCGCGCGGCAUUCCCAUAUAAAACUCGCGCGGCAGCGCGAGUGGUCAUUUUCAGAAACUGAAGUCUGUUUAUUCUGCAGACUUUGGUUGUUCAUUGUAGCUUAGCUUAAGGUUAUGGAAUGUGAGAAUCAUGUAACAACGAGGUUAAAUAGAAUCAUGUUAUGUGGAUUAUGAAUUCAAAAUCUUAAAAAAUGAUUAGUAAAUCGAGAAUGCGUUAUGUGGUAAUUUAGUAUACAUAAUGAAAGUUAGACAAGUGUUGCGAAGUAAAACACUUAGAGUUUCUAAAAUGUGAAUGGUAAUGAACAUGUUAUGAUAUGUUAGCAUGCCUAAUAGGUAUUGUGGUUCUAAAAUUAUGUGUAGGUGAUCAUGAGUUUAAAUUUAUAGCUUAUGCUCAAGGCAAGUUUUCUAACUCUAUAUUUCCAUUGAGCAAGUCUCUAAACUCUAUCUUUUACAUUGAGAAAGUUUCUUAAUUCUUUAUUUUCGUUGAGCUAGUUCCAUUAUUACAUUAUGAAUCUCUAUUCUUUGAUUGAGCAAGCUUUCUAUUUCAACUGUUGAUUGAAUAAAUCAAUCGUCCUAGUUCAUUCGAACUAACUUUAACUCUAAUGUUAUUUGAAUUCUCAUUUUGUUGAUUCAUUCUAAAUUAUUUAUAGUUAAGCAAGUUUCUUGAAUUCUAUUAUUGUAUAAUGAACGCAGUUUGUUUUGAAUUCUCGUUUCUAUUAUUGAACUGUUUUAAUCCUUGCAUGAAUUUAAUAUCAUGAUGGGCAAGUUUUUAGUUCCAGCUUGCUAUUAGUUAUUGUACAUACAGUAAAUUCAUUUCUAAUGUUAUAAGACUUUAACCUUAGCUUAUUUGUGACAACCCGAAAAGUUUCUAAAAUCUUGAAUGAUUAGAAUGAAGGUUAAAGAAUAAAACCUAGAUGAGAAUUUGAGAAUUUAUUUAAAAUUUUCAAGAAAAAACCUAUAUGGUUUGAUAUUCGAAUGAGAAUAGAGAAAAUAUGGGUUACAAAAUUCUAAAACCCUAGAAAUGAAUUAAUAUGUACUUGAAGGAAUAUCAAGAAUAAGGUAUUACGAUACCUGUAAAUUCGAUGUGAACUGAAUAGUCUAAGAAAUGUUAUAUAAGUACNNNNNNNNNNNNNNNNNNNNNNNNNNNNNNNNNNNNNNNNNNNNNNNNNNNNNNNNNNNNNNNNNNNNNNNNNNNNNNNNNNNNNNNNNNNNNNNNNNNNNNNNNNNNNNNNNNNNNNNNNNNNNNNNNNNNNNNNNNNNNNNNNNNNNNNNNNNNNNNNNNNNNNNNNNNNNNNNNNNNNNNNNNNNNNNNNNNNNNNNNNNNNNNNNNNNNNNNNNNNNNNNNNNNNNNNNNNNNNNNNNNNNNNNNNNNNNNNNNNNNNNNNNNNNNNNNNNNNNNNNNNNNNNNNNNNNNNNNNNNNNNNNNNNNNNNNNNNNNNNNNNNNNNNNNNNNNNNNNNNNNNNNNNNNNNNNNNNNNNNNNNNNNNNNNNNNNNNNNNNNNNNNNNNNNNNNNNNNNNNNNNNNNNNNNNNNNNNNNNNNNNNNNNNNNNNNNNNNNNNNNNNNNNNNNNNNNNNNNNNNNNNNNNNNNNNNNNNNNNNNNNNNNNNNNNNNNNNNNNNNNNNNNNNNNNNNNNNNNNNNNNNNNNNNNNNNNNNNNNNNNNNNNNNNNNNNNNNNNNNNNNNNNNNNNNNNNNNNNNNNNNNNNNNNNNNNNNNNNNNNNNNNNNNNNNNNNNNNNNNNNNNNNNNNNNNNNNNNNNNNNNNNNNNNNNNNNNNNNNNNNNNNNNNNNNNNNNNNNNNNNNNNNNNNNNNNNNNNNNNNNNNNNNNNNNNNNNNNNNNNNNNNNNNNNNNNNNNNNNNNNNNNNNNNNNNNNNNNNNNNNNNNNNNNNNNNNNNNNNNNNNNNNNNNNNNNNNNNNNNNNNNNNNNNNNNNNNNNNNNNNNNNNNNNNNNNNNNNNNNNNNNNNNNNNNNNNNNNNNNNNNNNNNNNNNNNNNNNNNNNNNNNNNNNNNNNNNNNNNNNNNNNNNNNNNNNNNNNNNNNNNNNNNNNNNNNNNNNNNNNNNNNNNNNNNNNNNNNNNNNNNNNNNNNNNNNNNNNNNNNNNNNNNNNNNNNNNNNNNNNNNNNNNNNNNNNNNNNNNNNNNNNNNNNNNNNNNNNNNNNNNNNNNNNNNNNNNNNNNNNNNNNNNNNNNNNNNNNNNNNNNNNNNNNNNNNNNNNNNNNNNNNNNNNNNNNNNNNNNNNNNNNNNNNNNNNNNNNNNNNNNNNNNNNNNNNNNNNNNNNNNNNNNNNNNNNNNNNNNNNNNNNNNNNNNNNNNNNNNNNNNNNNNNNNNNNNNNNNNNNNNNNNNNNNNNNNNNNNNNNNNNNNNNNNNNNNNNNNNNNNNNNNNNNNNNNNNNNNNNNNNNNNNNNNNNNNNNNNNNNNNNNNNNNNNNNNNNNNNNNNNNNNNNNNNNNNNNNNNNNNNNNNNNNNNNNNNNNNNNNNNNNNNNNNNNNNNNNNNNNNNNNNNNNNNNNNNNNNNNNNNNNNNNNNNNNNNNNNNNNNNNNNNNNNNNNNNNNNNNNNNNNNNNNNNNNNNNNNNNNNNNNNNNNNNNNNNNNNNNNNNNNNNNNNNNNNNNNNNNNNNNNNNNNNNNNNNNNNNNNNNNNNNNNNNNNNNNNNNNNNNNNNNNNNNNNNNNNNNNNNNNNNNNNNNNNNNNNNNNNNNNNNNNNNNNNNNNNNNNNNNNNNNNNNNNNNNNNNNNNNNNNNNNNNNNNNNNNNNNNNNNNNNNNNNNNNNNNNNNNNNNNNNNNNNNNNNNNNNNNNNNNNNNNNNNNNNNNNNNNNNNNNNNNNNNNNNNNNNNNNNNNNNNNNNNNNNNNNNNNNNNNNNNNNNNNNNNNNNNNNNNNNNNNNNNNNNNNNNNNNNNNNNNNNNNNNNNNNNNNNNNNNNNNNNNNNNNNNNNNNNNNNNNNNNNNNNNNNNNNNNNNNNNNNNNNNNNNNNNNNNNNNNNNNNNNNNNNNNNNNNNNNNNNNNNNNNNNNNNNNNNNNNNNNNNNNNNNNNNNNNNNNNNNNNNNNNNNNNNNNNNNNNNNNNNNNNNNNNNNNNNNNNNNNNNNNNNNNNNNNNNNNNNNNNNNNNNNNNNNNNNNNNNNNNNNNNNNNNNNNNNNNNNNNNNNNNNNNNNNNNNNNNNNNNNNNNNNNNNNNNNNNNNNNNNNNNNNNNNNNNNNNNNNNNNNNNNNNNNNNNNNNNNNNNNNNNNNNNNNNNNNNNNNNNNNNNNNNNNNNNNNNNNNNNNNNNNNNNNNNNNNNNNNNNNNNNNNNNNNNNNNNNNNNNNNNNNNNNNNNNNNNNNNNNNNNNNNNNNNNNNNNNNNNNNNNNNNNNNNNNNNNNNNNNNNNNNNNNNNNNNNNNNNNNNNNNNNNNNNNNNNNNNNNNNNNNNNNNNNNNNNNNNNNNNNNNNNNNNNNNNNNNNNNNNNNNNNNNNNNNNNNNNNNNNNNNNNNNNNNNNNNNNNNNNNNNNNNNNNNNNNNNNNNNNNNNNNNNNNNNNNNNNNNNNNNNNNNNNNNNNNNNNNNNNNNNNNNNNNNNNNNNNNNNNNNNNNNNNNNNNNNNNNNNNNNNNNNNNNNNNNNNNNNNNNNNNNNNNNNNNNNNNNNNNNNNNNNNNNNNNNNNNNNNNNNNNNNNNNNNNNNNNNNNNNNNNNNNNNNNNNNNNNNNNNNNNNNNNNNNNNNNNNNNNNNNNNNNNNNNNNNNNNNNNNNNNNNNNNNNNNNNNNNNNNNNNNNNNNNNNNNNNNNNNNNNNNNNNNUUAUUAUAUUGUUGAAAACUUGAAAGCUUAUCCAUUCUUUUCAAUCAUGAUAUAUCUCCUUUGUAUGUAAAACUUGCUGGGCAAAUUUGUUGCUCACCCUUGCUAUAUCAUGAUAAAAUUUUCAGAUUAAGAUGAAGACUUGAAUAAGGACAGAGGCAAAGACAAAGUGCAAAGUUUCUUUAUGUUGUAGUUAAAUUUAUUAAAUUUUCUGAUGAAAAUAGUAUUGUAAAUCUUCUACGAUAUUGAAGGUAUGUGUUAAGUUAAGGUUGUAGACCUUGGGAAUGAUGUGUAAAAGUUUAAUGUAUAAACAAUUUAUGUUUAUAUCUUCCGCAAUAUUUGUAGAAAUAGCGUACCGGAUCAGCGGCGAUUCGGGGAUGCUACAUUAUUUAUUGUUCAAGUAAAGGUUAACCAUUUUAGUCACUUUAUUGAAUACUUAUGCUCUAUAGUUAUUUCAAGCAUGAGUUUGAUAUGUAUAACCAGUUCAUUUAUGAUUCUCAAUUGUUCUAUGUCAUGUUGGUAUUAAACCCCUGUUAUGAUUCUCGAACACUAUUAAUUCAACUAGUCCUCUAGUUGAUGUUCGUUGAGCUUCAAAUUACCCUUGAUAGCUUAUCCAAACCAAACUUUCUUUGGUGCGGACUUGUACUCUAAAUACUGAGAUGAACAACCCUAUUAUUAUUAGGGGUUAACUUAUGUGUAGCGUUAAAAUGUUUGUGCACAAUACAUUGUACGAAGGGCUGAUCCCCCUAAGUACGAGGAGUCCUUAUAGUCGUAUGACUGUUAAAGUUAGAGUUGAAAGAUUACUCGCAACUGUGGACAUGGUUCAUGGUCUUAUGACCCUCAGUUAUGUAUAUUCCAUAUUUUGGAUUCCAGUUCUUGAUUAUCAUUGUUAGAGUACUAUCCAGUUUUGAUGAGCCUAUUUAUUGGCAGUUAUUAUUAGUAUUAUUCUCUUGUUGAUUCAUUGUUAUAUCCAGUGAGAAAUUGUUUUGCUCACUCUUGCAUAUUUAUAAACUCAUUGCAGCUAAAGUGGAGAAGGUAGAUGAACCUUCAACUAGCAAAGGAAAGGGAAAAUUGUACAAGUGAUGCUUAUUUGUACUUUUAUUUAUUAUGAUGAUCUUAGACUUUAUUUUAAUGAUGUUAUGUAAUAAUUUAAUUUCGCAUUUGAAUAACGUUUAAAGGUUAGAUAACCUAGAAUGUUUUGAGUUUAAUUAUGUAACCCUAUUUAAAGGGAGGAUUUUUAUGGUUUAAAUAUUAUUUUAUUUGGGUAGAUAGUAUGAAUAUUUGAAUAGUGAGCACCAAAUCUUGUGGGAAUGAAGUACCUAGAUUUGGGGGUGUCACAGGCUUAAUAAAAAUAAGCAGGGUAUUAAGCACCCUAUUUAAGUGUCCAGUCAAAUUGGAACAGCCGGACUAGGCUAUUCUGCCAGUUCCAGUUACAAGAACCCUUAUAAGCACAAGCAGGUUCCUCAAGCUUCCGCCGCACAGCGAUUUAUUCCAUCUACACCACAUAAGCUAAUACAGUCUCCGGUAAAGGUGCCAGCCCAUGUUGUGGCCAUGUUGUUUCCUAAACAAGUGCCAAUCAAAGCAAAAGAGGUGCUGGUUCCUGAUCCUGAAGUGGAAGAAAAGGAACGGAAACGUAAACAUGACAUUGCCUUGAUGAUGGCAGGCAUACGCAUCAUUGUUCACGAUGAACAUGAAAACAGAUACACCCCAGACGAUGAUUGCCCAGAUGUCAUGGUUAUCAUUCGGGAGAAGGAGGAAAAUGACAAUCCUUCCAUCACUGCAGUCCAUCAGGACUUUGCCCUCAACAAUUGGAGCAACACUCCAUGCAUUGGUCGACGAGGGUAAAAUGGGCAGAAAAAUCCCUCUUCCCUAUAGAUAACUUUAAUUGCUUGCUUUUCUUUACAGUACUUGCAGUUAUUUUAUCAAGUACAUGCUAACACUUUUGUAUGAUCAAACAGUUGCAUAUAUUAAGUGAAAGCAUAUUCUAUUUCAAGACUCUGAAUUUAGAUGUGCAUGUACUUGCUGAUGAGGUGCCUUCUCUCCACAAGGGUUGUAACUUUGAUGCAAAGUUGGACUCAGAGUUGAUGGAUAUACAGGAGGACAUUGAGACACCUCAGGAGAUUAAGGAAUGGGUCGCAGAUAAACCCAAACCCAAUCUUGAUCAAACCACUUCUUUCAAUCUUGGAACCUUAGACAACCUUAAGCUAAUCCAAAUUAGUUCAGACCUUACCACAAAUCAGCGGAAUUACAUGGUUGCACUAUUAACCCAAUUCCAGGAUGUGUUUGCAUGGUCUCAUGAAGACAUGGUGGGUUUGUCCACUGACAUUGUUCUUCAUCGCCUUCCCAUUAAAGAAGGAUUAAAGCCAGUUAAGCAAAAACUCAGGCGAUUAACACCUGAAUGGAGUUUAAAAGUUAAAAAAGAAAUUGUGAAACAAUUUCAAGCUGGCAUUAUCAUGGUGUCUACAUAUCCAGAGUGGAUAUCCAACAUUGUUCCUAUGCCUAAACCAGGAGGAAAUGUGCAAGUCUGCGUUGAUUACCAGGAUUUGAACAAAGCUUGCCUUAAAGAUAGCUUUCCCGUGCCAUUUAUCCACAUUCUUAUUGACAAUACGGCUCAAUACGGCAUGUACUCCUUUGCUGAUUGCUUUGUGGGGUACCAUCAAAUUAUGGUCGCUGAGGAGGACCGUGAGAAAACUGCUUUCAUCACGCCUUGGGGGACUUUUUGCUACAGACGGUUGUCAUUCGGCCUCAUCAAUGCCGGGGCAACCUAUCAGCGAGCUAUGAUGGUUCUUUUCCACGAUUUAAUGCAUAAGGAGAUAGAGAUCUACGUGGAUGACAUCAUUGUCAAAUCCCGAAGGGAGGAGGACCACUUAAACCAUCUCAAAAAGUUAUUCAACAGGUUGCAUAAGUACAAUUUGAAGUUGAAUCCAUCCAAGUGCGCCUUUGGUGUUAAGUCAAGCAAGUUGCUAGGUUUCCUAGUCAGCCAUAAAGGGAUUGAACUGGAUCCUACCAAAAUCCAGGCCAUCAACGAAAUGCCCAUUCCUCAGACAGAGAAGGAAAUACAGGGAUUUUUGGGAAGAAUCAACUUCAUUAGCAGGUUCAUUUCUCAACUCACAGCAACCUGUAAGCCAAUCUUCAAGCUGUUAAGGAAGAACUCCUCCAUGAAAUGGAACGAUGAGUGUCAGAAAGCCUUCCUUACAAUCAAAGAGCAACUGAUUAACGCUCCUAUUUUGGUACCACCCAGGGAUGAUGUGCCCCUAUUCAUGUACCUGUCCAUAAAUGACAAUGUCAUGGGCUGUAUGCUGGGGCAAAAAGACGAUAGAGGCCAAGAACGAGCUAUCUAUUAUCUCAGCAAAAGAUUCAGCACCAGUGAACACAAGUACACUCUGAUCGAGAAGACUUGUUAUGCUUUAGCAUGGGCUUCCAUGAGGUUACAUCAUUACCUCCAUGGUCACACAACCCAUCUCAUAUCCUGCGUGGAUCCUCUCAAGUAUGUGUUCAGUAAGCCCAUACUGAAUUAUCAACUGUCCAAAUGGCAGUUGAUCCUACAACAAUUUGACAUCGUCUACGUGACGCAAAAGUCUGUCAAAGGUCAAGGAAUUGCGGAUCAACUGGCCGCCGUACCUGCAGGGGACUACAAACCCUUGGAAACAUACUUCCCCGAUGAAGGGUAAUGACAAUUCAGCAACAACAUCAGUACGAUACAUGCCGUGCAUGGAAAAUGUAUUUUGAUGGAGCUGUUAAUGCAGAAGGUUCUGGAGCUGGAUCAGUUCUAGUGUGCAGUACGGGGGAGUAGUAUCCCGUCAUCGUCAAAUUGUAGUUUGUUAGCACCAACAACACAGCUAAGUAUGAAGGCUGUAUCAUAGGGCUAAAACUUGCCCAUCCAAUGGGCGUCAGGCAGUUAACUAUCUUUGGGGAUUCUGAAUUGGUAAUCAGACAAUCCACAGGAAUCUAUCAAACCAAAGAAUUACAUUUGCUGCCUUACUAUCGGCAAGUUCUAUAGAUGCCUCACAAUAGGAGUGAUUUUGCGGAUGCAUUAGCAACGUUGGCCUCCUUGGUUCACAUACCUGAUAAGGAAAACAUGCCAAGCAUCACAUUUGUACUUCAAAAAGCCCCAGUCUAUGGGAACUAUGUUGGAGAAGUAUCGGAUGAACUACCUCCCAUCCACAACCCUUGGUAUCAGCACAUCAAGGAGUAUCUACGAGAUGGAUCUACACCCACUGAGGCGAGCCUAACUGAGAAGAGGCGGGUUCAUCGACUUGCUAUGAAAUUCUACCUUAGCGGAGAUGCACUCUAUAAAAGAGAUGCAGGAUUAGGUCUCCUCAGAUGUCUGGAUAAAGACCAAGCUUAGAGACUCAUGGAUGAGAUCCAUGGUGAAGUAUGUGGCCCUCACAUGAGUGGACCCCUACUUGUUAAGAAGAUCCUUAGAACAAGGCAUUAUUGGCUUACACUCAAAGCUAAUUGUGAUGAUCACGUCAAGAGGUGCUAUUAAUGCCAGAUUCAUAGAAAUUCCAUCCACGCCCCUCCAAGGGAACUCCACAAUAUGAGUUCGCCAUGGCCCUUCUCAAUGUAGAGAAUGGACGUGAUCGGGCCCAUCGAGCCCAAAGCCAGUAAUGGACAUCGAUUCAUAUUCACCAUGAUCGACUACUUCACCAAAUGGGUAGAAGCAGCAUCCUUCCCCAGGGUUACUAAAGAAGUCAUCAUUGCUUUCAUCAGAAAUAAUGUCGUCUGUCGAUAUGGACAACUAGAGGUCAUUGUGUCAGACAAUGCUAAAAACCUCAACAACAAAAUAAUGGAGGAGUUAUGCAAAAAAUUCCACAUCAACCACCUUAACUUCAUCAUCUACAGUCCAAAGAUGAAUGGUGUUGUUGAAGUGCCUAAUAAAAACAUCAAAAAGAUCAUGCAGAAAAUGUCCGCCAAUCACAAAGGAUGGCCUGACCUCUUGCCUCUGACUUUAUUAGCAUACAGAACUUCUAUGCGUACUUCCACUGGGGCAACCCCCUACUCAUUAUCCUAUGGGAUGGAAGCAGUGCUCCCCAUAGAGGUGGAAAUGGAAUCCCUUUGAGUGUUGAUGGAUGCUCAGUUAGAUGAAGACCAAUGGGUACAAGACAGGUAUCACCAAUUGUCUCUAAUAAACGAAAGGUGAACCGCAGCUAUCUUCCAUGGUCAGUUAUAUCAGUAAAGGAUCGCACGAUCCUAUAACAGAAAAGUCUGACUACGGAAGUUCAAACAAUAUGACUUGGUUUUAAAGAAGAUCAUUGACAACCAAGAUCAAUCUAAGGGAAAAUUCGCUCCUAACUGGGAAGGCUCAUUUGUUGUCAAGGAGGUAUUGAUGAAUUUUCACAGCUUAUCAACUCGGACACCGUGAAACGGUACUAUGUCUGAGGUUACCAUUAAACAAACAUCCUAGUUUUGAUCAUCAAAUCACCAGUUAUUCCGGUUUUGAACCCUCUCCUUUCUACACACUCUUCUGCCCCUCAGGGAAACAUACACUUCAAACCAGCAGCCUGGUUUCACUUCAUUUCAAACCUUUCAUACAAUUGCGGUUAUCCUAAAGAUGGGAUUGAACCUUUCACACUUGCAAUUUAUCCUGAAGACGGGAUUAAACUUUUCAUACCUGCAGUUUAUCCUGAAGACUGGAUUAAACUUUUCUACGCUUGCAGUUUGUCUUGAAGACGGGAUCAAACUUUUUCCAUACCUGCAGUUUAUCCCCAUUAUGGGAUCAAACUUUCUUCUCCCCGUAGUAUAGCUUGCACAUGGGAAUUACACUUCUCUUUAGCUGUGAUUUGUCCUGAGGGACGAACUACGUCGACUGGAUCUCCCUAAUACCCGGGGGUACGUAGGCAACCAUAUUCUAUAUGGCCCGGUCGCAAUAAACAACAAAAACAACAAAACAUUUCUGCCCUUUCUCAACAAAAAAACAACAAACAUACUUCUACACCCUUCUUCAUCAACAAAGCUUCUGCCUUUCACACUCAGCGUUGAACCUCUUACACCAGGUUUGAACUACGCAGACUUGAUCUCCUCUUCAAUAGGAGUACGUAGGCAUCCAUUUAUGGUUCAGUCUAACCCCUACCAGAACAAAAAUACUUGUCACACGGUAUUGGGAUCAACCUUCAAUUCACCAUAUUUCAUCAGUUUCAGAUCAAAGGGAUGGAAUUACCUAACCUCUUCUCACAAAUAGAAGAUUCGGUGACCAUCUAAGCUAAGAUCGUGCCUCAAAGAGCAAUACCAACCCAUAAGAGAUGGAAUUAACUAGGCUUAUCACAAAUAGAAGUACUGGCGACCAUUUGUGGUGCGGUCAAUCUCAGAGAGGAAAAACCACCCUCCUCUCCACUUUCCCAUACAGAUACUAGUCCCAAGACACCAAAGAUGGUAGGGAUAUACAGAAAUCAAUGAUCCGUUCUGAGAGAUUUUGCGACGUCUCAAUGUCCACCUAUCAAGGAUAAGUUCAGAAUGCAUCAAGAUCACAAGGCCCUGAAGAAACACUCAAAUAUCAAGUAAGUAUCAAGGCAUAACUAAAAGGGAAGUGAAUCAAAAUAUAUUUCCUUGCCAUACAUAAUACUGUUUGAUAUAUACAUAUGUGUUGUACAUGACAAAAUGGCUAAGCUAGUCUGUGCAGGAAAAAUACAAAGCUAUCUACAGAUCUGUGUGUAUGCGGACUAUCAGAUCUAACAUGGUACCCCUCUCUGAAGACGGAGGUAGCACUGCAAGCUCCUGCCCAAGGGUAUCUACACGAGCUAGCAGGUCAGAGGCUAACGACAUGGUGGCAUAAUGCUCAUCAAUGUAAGCACUCAUAUCGGCAAGACUGGCAGUCAUCUGGGAUCUAACUGAAGUACUGUCUGCAAUGGACACAUCCCUAGCAGAUAAGGCGGCAUCCCGCUCCACAAUCAAUGCAUCCCUGGCUGAUCUAGCCUCAUCCCUCUCUAACAGAGCGGUGUCUCUCUCAUCAAGAGCUUUCAACAUCGCGGCCCUAGCCUGAUCUUUAUCAUAGGUCAUCAGAUAUAAGCUCUGCUCCAAAUGUUGUGCCGAAUACUGGGUAACAGUGGCACUCGGGGUGGGAGAAUCCAUCACAAAUGCUGGCAGCCCAGCAGUCAAGUCAUCGAUGGGAAUAUUAGCCUUCUCUAUAGGCUCCUCAUUGUCAGAAUCAGUCUCCUGCACUGUGGAUACUACCGCAGCCAAUGCAGUCUCUGUCUCCAUCCAUGCGAAAUACUCUGCAGAACAACCCAAAUGACUGACAGAAAAUCUAGCCAGCUCUAGCUAAUCCCAACAGGCAUACAACCUGGAUUUGUCCUCAACUGAUAAACGGUGUGAAGCGAAGCGCUGACUCAAUGCCCCUCAUAAGGGUGAAAAUCCUGAAACUAGUCAAACUGACACAUCACGGCCAGUGGAUUGUAAGUAAUCAUGCCCCUCAAUCCAGUCAGAGGGAGAUAAUCCAUGCCCGGAGCAUGAGUAAUGAAGCUGUAGGGUGAGCUAAGCCCUGAACACGGAAAUAUAGCAAACGGAUCUCUAAUCCCUGCCAGGAAAGCUGACCACGAUGUAGCAUAUGUACACUCCGCAGGCUGAAAGGAGUAUGACAUGGUUAUAUCAUGGGUGAAAUAAAACCCCUGCCAUCUAAGUGUGCCAAUCGGUCUCAAGUGUGACAUAAACCACACGUACAGCAUGAUCGAGCUACCUAUGAACACUCCUGCCGGAUAAGUGCAGCAGUAUAUAGCUGACCUCAGAGUCUCUGCAAUGAUCAUCGGUACAAUGGUAUAACCCUCCCUGAGAGCUCUCACAGCCAUAAUGACGUUGAUAUCCGACUCAUCCAUGUACCGCAACAUGAAGACGUAUGACAAUACACACAAAAGCAGUACAUCCACCCUGGCUGAACGCCAAUGGUCCUCCGGUGUGGUGAAAUCCCCGGAAUGCCGUGCAUAACUAUCCUUAGAGCCAAAUCUGUCAAACAGAAAAUGCAUGGAUAUCACGUGGCUGGAUGUAAUCUCAUCCUGUACAACUCUACGUCUUAAUCCGGUGAGGGUCAUGAACUGUCUGCUCAUGUCUCCGAUAGCCAUAUGCACGCAAGGUCUGUCCAGUGGCAGCAUCAUCAACCGUGCAUACUCCUCCAAAGUAGGAGUCAACUCCUGGGUUCUAAAUCAGAAAACCUACCUCUCCGAUACCCAGUGCUCUAGCAUACCCUCUACAAAUCCUGUGGGAACCUGAAACAUCAACAGGGUCAUAGUAUGCUGCAGCAAAUCAUCUACGAUCACCAUGUCUAAUGGUGAUAUACUAUCAUACCAUGAGCGCAUAUCAGAUACCACCAAAAAUGGUGGGGUAUGAUCAAUACGACUAACUGUCGAAGAAGACAUCUGUACGGGCCGUGUCAUAAGACCAUCCAGGGGUCAAUGCUGAAUAUCUCUAGACAUACAUAUUUAUGCAUAACAUAAUAACAUGCAUGAUAUAAUAGAUGGAAAUAUAAUAUAGGGAAUAGAAAACUGUGCAUACAUUCCUAAGUAUAUCAUCAUCUAAUACAUCUCUAUACAGCUAAAAUACAGGGAAAUGGCGUGAAGCUACCCAACAUCUAACAGAGGCCCAUCAAAAGAUAUAGCGAGAAUGGGGCGAAGCUACCCAGCAGCUAAUAGAGGCCUAUCAAAAGAGAUAGUGAGAAAUACAUCAGAAAAAGUUAAUGGUGUCGAUGUCUACAUCAUCGAUCCUGUCCACCUGAUGUAACUCCUCCUGAGUCACUAGAUCUCUAUCUACAGGGAUGUCAGGCCUAUACAAGGGAGGAUAUGCACCGGCAAAGCCAUAUGGGUCACCUAAGGGGCUAGCACCAUAGCUAGAAGGAUCAAAUGUAUCUACCUCUGAAGGAUCUCUGCCCAAAUGCCGAAUAAAAAGAUGUGUCCAGUCCAACUGCCGGGUUAAUCUAUCAAUCUGUGUCACAUGAGUCAGAUCUCUGACACAGGCUAGCCAAUCCAUCAUCAUCACGGAUCCUGGAACCAUAUCCCCCAUAAACUGUGUGGCGCGGGUCUGAGCUCCAAUAGUACGAAGGAUCCACUAAUGCUGGAACAUCUCUUGAGUCCAGGGGUCCUCUGAAGAUGUAAAACCGUCAAUCCCCAUCAAUGGGAUGUCAAUGACGGGUGACUGUGAAACAGGCCAAUAACGCCUGGCAGGAGGCAAGAUCGGCAUACGGAUCUCUCCUGUAGUGCUCCUGAUAGCACGCUCUCCUAAAUAGAGCUCCCAUCCUCCAUCUGUGAAGAGAGGAAUCCUGCGGGUGGAAAUGACAUACUCUACUCCAGUCGGGUACCCAUCCUCAAAUCUAACUCCCAAAUGCUCUCUAGAGUAGGGAACCCAUGCGAUGACAUCCACUGUCAACAACUCCAACUGUAGGCGACAAUGAGUGAAACCCUCAGCAACAGGGACCUCCGCCAGUAUAGAAUGAUGACAUCUCCGUCCUCGUUGAUAGGUGUCUAAACCUAGCACGCUCACAGGACGCAAACAUGGAAGCCUCUCAUAGGCCCAAAACUGCCAACACAAAGGCAACAUCUGAUGUCAGUCAACACUCUUAACCUAUACAUGGGAAAAGACAAGAGAAACACUCACCUGCAGAAACGGGUAGAAUCCUAACCACGCCUCGGUCAAGCCAUGUGAUCGCAUGCGCAUUCCCCUGAGGAAGUAGGCAAAGGUAUAAGAACCCCAAUCAUACUCUCCUAUACGGUCCACGUGUCGAGUGGAGUUGAUCAAAGUGAAGGACACCGUAGAAGAGUUAUCUACUAUAAAGCAACCCCUAAUGAUCAUCAGGAACAAUCGCUGAAGAACCCUGACUCUCACAUUAUCGGGUAUGGGCUCACUCAAUAGCCCGCUCAUAGCAUCUACACUCAAAGGACAUGUACGAACAGUCCUACCCUUAAGCGCCUCCGCUGGAACUCCCAACAAGGAUCUGAUGGAAGUAGGGGUAAUAUCCGCUGUGCAAGGCACUGGAUCCCCUCCAAACUCCAUACUUAUGAUAAACCGCCAAUCCAUCGGCGUCAUCAUCCCUGAGGUAACCCCAGGGACAGCGACGAGGAAGAAUGGAGAAGAAUGUCCCAAAUCCCCAGCCAUGUACAAUCGCUCUGUAGUCAUCAUGCAAAGCCUGAUACAUAGAGUGGAUGCUAAAUCAAAUGUAGAUCAAAUCCCUCGAGGCUGUGUGAAGCCGGGAACCUACAUCAAAUGUAGAUCAACAUCAGAAUCCUUGGCUCAUCAUCAAUAGGAAAUAAGGAAGAUUAAAUAUCUAACUUCAUACCUUGUUUGCGUGCAGGUAUACUGAAGGAUGCCUACUCAAGUCACCCAGAAGAUCUGGGUUCGCCACUUGAAUACCUGGAAAUUCCCUUCGGGGAACACGUACAGCAGGAGCAGGAACCUUGAUCGGUACACCCUCCUCCUCGUCCUCCACAUUCGACACUUCAACCCGAAUAGGACGUAUCACCGCCUCCACCAAACGAUGAGGAUGUUUGACAGACCGGCGUUGAGGCUCUUCAGAAGCCCUUCUCCGUACACCAGAAGUGGUCCUGCGGGAACUACUCGGCUGAUCCAGAUCCAUAAUAUCUGGACAAUAAGUCUCCAAAUCACCUCAGAAAGGGUAUAGUAAAUUCUUACCUGGAGCUUUUCAAAAUGCAUUUUAUGAUUACAUGCAUGCAUGCAUUGUUUUAACAUACGUCUACAGUAGAGUUAAAAAUGCAUGACUACUCAAUGCCUACAUUUUGGGAAAAUUUUUCCAUAGCCCCCUUUGUAAAUGGGACUAUCCACAGGCACAUAGGUAUGACUAGGUGGCCAUUCAGUAGCACACCUAUACACAGUCAUAUACAUCCUACAUUCAUUAAUCACAUCACAGUAAAAAAUCCAUAAGUGUAGUCUAAUUACCAGGAUUAUUUUGCUUUUCUACCUUUACUCAUUUGUCCUCAGAUAGGAUAAGAAAUGACAGUAAAAGGUGCCAAUUUGAUUAUUUCAAAAGUCAAAUUUUUUCAUAUCAUUAUGUUCAGAUUGGUUUAAUACUAACAUUUUCUAUGUUGAAUAUUUUUUAUCAAGUCAUAUCAGCAUGCAUAUUCACUACUAUGUGUCUAAAUGCAUUUCAUGUGACAAGUCAUUUUCCAUCGGAUAGAAAUUGGAAAAAAAAUACAUGCAUAUGUUACCAAGACAGUGAAGAACGCUUGUACGGUGGCAGAAUAUGCAGAAAGUUUCCCAAACUCAGCAGAUCUGAAGAAGAGCUCUCAAAUUUCCUUCGCAGCGCAGCUUGAAAAUGACUUAUAAAAGCAACCUUUGAGCUUUACAUAGCCAUGGUUGGCCGCAGGUCCACCUGCAGCUGCUGCAGGUUUACCUGCGGCACUCCUACGUGGGUCCCACACCUCUGUCUCACUCCAGUUAGAGUUGAAAAGGAGGUCUCACAAGCUGAAAAGGCCAAAUCAGGAAUAAAAAAGCUACGCGAUUGAGCAGGAUAGCCUGGAAUCCUGGUUUUGUACGGGUUAGAAUUAAACUCCCGUCAUCUCAUUGGUAUUCGCCUGAAUGCAGGGUAUACUAUACCGAUGAGCUCAGCCUUCACAAAUCAUGCUCGAAAAUACCCCACAAAGGUCUGAUGCUGUCAUUGCAGGGUCACAACCCUAAACAUCCCCGGCGGGGGUUACAACGCCAAACCAUGAAAUGCUAAACCUCCCCGGUGGGGGUUACAAUGCCGAAGUUAUCAACUGAUGAAGUAUCCCUGGUGGGGGUCACAACACACAUCUUUCAAACAUCCACGUAUCCCUGGCGGGGGUCACAAAGCACAUCUUUCAAACAUCCACGUAUCCCCGGCGGGGGUCACAACACACAUCCUUCAAGCAUCCACGUAUCCCCGACGGGGGUUACAGCGCAUUCUCAACCACUGAUACACACAUCAGUGAAGGUCAAGCAACCUUGACGUCAUAUCAGCCGAUGGCAAGUAAACCCAACGAAGCAGCUUAUACAAGUAUCCCCAGUGGGGGUUACAACGCAAUGCGACCAUUGACACAUACAUCAAUGAAGGUCAAGCAACCUUGACAAUGCACCUAGCAGGGAUCUAUCCGGUGAUACACACAUCAAUAAAGGUCAGGCAACCCUGAUGACAAUAGACUGUUGGCAGUAACUCUGACAGAAUGAGGGAAUAUGUUAUACACAUCCUCAAACAGACAAAGCUUUAUCCCCACAGAUCUCUUAUACGCAAGAUGUACCUCUAUGGAAUAUAAGCCAGUGUCUAGGAUUCAAGACUUUGGUGAUAGUCCCAACAUCAACAUCCUUGAAGACUUGGAUCGCAUGUCCAAGCCAUCACUGAUUGUCAUCCCGACAGGAUUACCAGGGAACCGACAAUCAUUUCCAUCAUGCAUCAUACAUUUGCAUCAUGUAUACCUUACUUGCAUUUCAAGUGUUUAUGAUUCUUUAACCAUGCCUUUCAUUACAUGAAUAUGAUAAAGAGGGGCAUCUGUAGACACUCGAAAUUUUCUGCAUGUCUGUUACUGACAUUGCAGGACGACAGAUUCGUCUUUCGGAGAUAACCCUGGAAGACAGCUUAUAUCCAUUUCGAAUACUAUCGAAAAUCAAUCCCGAAACCUGGGACGCACACCGGGAACAUCAUUUCCAACCUCGGAGAUAACUCUGAGUUUUGUCCUUAGCGAUAACCUCCAAAAAUGCUUGUUGCAUGCUAUCAGCUUCAAGCUCAGACCUCCUGCCGAGGCACUCAUACCUCAGACCCAGAGCUAACACUGAGCAGAUAGGCACACUUUCACAAGAUGACAUUGCGGCAUACAAAUAAGUAGUCCAAUCUCAGAUGUAACCUUGAGCAACGUCUGCUUUCAACUUAAACCGGCGAUAGCCCCAGCGAAGAGUCAAACGUCAUCUUGCCCCUUUCAUACCUGCGUGUCGUCUCAACACUUCAUACAUACAUCUAACGAUGUCCCACAAGAACCGAGGAGUUACAAUCCCGAGUGACUAUUACGCGUAACAGUACCUUGGAUAAAAUUUGAAGCUUAAAGACCAUGGGCAUGGACCCCUCUUCCUGACUUCAUACAACCUCUAAUCUAUGUCAUUGCGUAACUCUCAACACAAGCGGUCCAAAGAAGGUCACAUAUACCUCGUUCGGAUGUUCGGAUUAAAGUUCUGCAAGUUCGAGUAGACAUUACAGUGCACGAGUGCACGUACUUCGAGACGACAAUACUCGCGAGGCCCAGAUACACCACGACCAUCCACAGGUAUAACCACGGCUGCCGCAGGUGUACCUGCGGCCAUCAGUCUAUAAAUAUAGACCUUGGGAUUAGCCAUUUGAGGGAGAAGGAUAGAGAAAGGCGAGGAAGCCCUGUCCAAUUUACUCUGUACACCCCCAUAUUGAGUGUUUCCUCAUCUCUAAACAUCAGUUAGCUCACAUAUAGCUAUCUUUUUAUUCAGCAGGAGCUAAGUAUUUAUCCAUAUAGAGUCAUAGAAGUCUACAUUGGCAGCCCACUGUAAGCCUUCUCACAUUCUAUAAAGCCUUCUUCUCAUAUUAGCACACACUUUUAUACACAUUGAGAGUCGUAUAAUGUGCGAUUGCCCGGACUUCUGUCCGUGGUUUUCAUUUCUGUCUGUAUAUAUAUACUUAUAUAUAUGUAUAUAUUUUAUAUAUAGACUAACAUUAUCGAGUUAUGCCUCGAUUGAGCCUAGACUUAUGUUUGGAGCGUUUAUUUGAUUUUAUAUAUAUAUAUACUUAUAUAUAUGUAUAUAUUUUAUAUAUAGACUAACAUUAUCGAGUUAUGCCUCGAUUGAGCCUAGACUUAUGUUUGGAGCGUUUAUUUGAUUUUAUAUAUAUAUAUACUUAUAUAUAUAAUUGUUGUUAGACAUAUCUGAUGAGCCUGGAUUUUACAUCCGAUGCAUUUACUUGCUUAUAUAUAUAUAUAUAUAUAUAUAUAUAUAUUUACAUUUCUGUCAGGCCUGGAGUUUACUCCGUGGCCUUUUAUAGCUUUAUUUACAUUUCCUCCUGCCUGGAGUUUACUUCGUGAUAGUUGAUCGCUUUUACAGCUUUAUUUACAUUUCGUCCCACCUGGAGUUUACUUUGUGGUGGUUGAUCAUGUCUAUAUAUAUAUAUAUAUAUAUAUAUUUACCGCUUUUAUAUAUUUACAUUUACGAUCCCCCAUGGAGUUGCUUCGUGGUGGUUGAUCAAGUCUGUAUAUAUAUUUACAGUUUUUAUAUAUAUAAUUGCUUACUGCUUUCCAUACAAACUGCAGUAUCAUCUGAGCCUAGGAAUCAUGUGAUCACAGAUUCAGUUUACUGAAUCUAGAUUCGGUUCCCAUGAUGGACCUUUUUCAGCUGUGAGCAGCUUGUACAUUAUUUUACAGUGUCUGAAUUUCCUUGGAUGGUUGUCAUGCCCAUGAGGAGUUCGGCACUGCUGUAUAUUAUUUUCUCGAAGAUGAUUCGCAUCUCGAAAAUAAAAGCAAACAAGCCAAACAUUUAAUAAUAAAAUGGAAGUAUCAAAGGCCUCAAUUACUAUUGAACACAGGGUUUGAAAAACCUCUUUUUAUAAAACUUCACUGCUAUAUCUUGUUUAAAACUGAAUUUUUCUACAAAUUCAAACCUUUUGUAUAUAUGUGUGAACGAGGUGUAGCACUACGUCCAAAUAAUUUCACAUUAAUCCACACACACACACAUACACAUUCAUAUAAUAGUUUCUUUGAAAAGUGGCGGUCACCGUGGCAACACGGAUGUUGGGGGGUGCCUAACACCUUCCCUCCGCAUAAUCAAGCCCCCGGACCCAAAUGAAUCUCGGUUUCACAGACCCGUUUAGCAGUGUCACAUCACUGGGUCAAUGUGCAAACCUUUUUUCGGUUACGUUGGUGCAACCAGUUAAAUACACCAACUGGCGACUCUUAAAGUCAAAUCAUCGACAUUAUACAUGUCGGACCUUUUUCACUUGUUUUUUCAAACAAAUCUCACAUUAACAUGAGAACACCAAAGAACAGGUAACAAAAAGGGACACUAAAAAUCCUGACGUCGACAAUAAUCGUGCUAAGUAUACAAAAGACUGUAUGACUUAGACGAUAAAGUAUGAAUCCUGAGGUAUGGCAUUUAGUUUCCAGAAAGCCAUAAGGAAUAAAAAAUUGACUUAACGAACAUUAUACUUUUAAUGGUUCAGAUAAGUUAUGAUGAGGUUAGGUUGUGGUACAAUCGUAACCUUUGAUGGAUGACAUAUGGGAGCUGGGCUAAACAAUUCCUUUAGAGAGCAGAGGUAUAUACAAAACUGGCAACCGAUCUAACUGAUAAGUAGGUUUUAUACAUAUUUAUCCUGUAUCUAUUACUAGAAUUAGUUUCUUAUAUUCAUGUUUCUUAGCUACUUUUCAUGCAUUUUGUGUUCAUUUUGUAGAUUAUAUGUUUGGGAGCUGUGUGAGCUACUAUUUGUAUAAAAAAGCAAAGAAAAUGCAAGGAAAGGCAAUCUGGACAUUGUUUGGGUUUUUAUGUUCAUUUCAUGUUCUUAGCUUGGAACUUAGAUUAUGUUGUAGAGCUUCUUCUUAGCUUUCUGGAACAUCUUGAAUCAUUCCAAUCGGAGUUCGGAUGCAAGAGUUAUGACCUUUGUACCAACGGACGUUGAACUUCACUGUUUUGGGUGGCCAUUUGCAUAGCAGUCACUUCCAUCCCAAUUUAGACCUUCAUCCGUCCAUUAUUUAUCAAUUCUAAAAGAAUUAAAGUUGUAGAGCUCGUCGAGAUCUUCGAUCUGAUAGGUGGCAGGCCUCAUAACUCCUCCACGAUCAAAAGUUAUGGCCGUUCUACCAUAGGACACUGCAGUAGAAAAAGGACCCCCACUGGGGCGGGCUUUUUGUGAAGGAAACCCCCGCCGGGGCAGGGGUACAAGCUAAAAAAUAGUAUGUAUGCCAUCCGGGGCGGGCCUAGAAGUGUAAAAAAGCCAGUCGGGGAGGGGGUACGCGUAGAAAAAGUGAAUUUUGUCAGAAUUUGAGUUCAAGAAGGAUUGGUUCGAGCUGAUUGAUUCAAGGACUUCUAAGAGGACUUAAAGACAUAUAAAGAAGCAUAUAAAAGGAGGAGAAUUGCAAGGAUUAGAGGAAGAUUCCAUUAGAGUAAAUUAGAGUAGAUUAGGACAAAACCCUAGUUCUUAUUAGUUUUGGAGAUGGAAGCAACUUGGAGACCAUUGAAUAUCAAGAGCAGGAGCUUGAGGAAGAUGGAGAUAUGCUGACAACAGAUUUAUUCUUUACUCUACUCUUAAUUUUGUCUUUCAAUGUUUAUUCAAUUGUGGAUUCUUAGUUUUAAUUCAUUAAUCAUGAACUAAAUCUUUUGUUUAAAAUUAUAAUGGAUCGUAUUGCAUAGUUUAUCUUUAGUAUGAUUCAUUAUUAAUUAUUGUGAUUAUUCUUGGAUUAUCUAUUAUGAUUUGUGAGGAAUUGCUUAAUUGCCUAGCUAAUAAUUACCAUGAUAAUCUAUAUGAACUCGAGAGAUGAAGUAUAGAUUUAGAUCUGAUCAUAAUAGCAUGUGAUUGUGUUUUCUGCAUGGCGUUGGAAUUCAUAAUUUAUGUAUAGGAUAGAGAUAUACAUAUACAUCGCAUGUAAUCUAAUAAAGAACUUGUGCUUUAAAUCCUCUUUAAUUGUAAUUCACAUAUAGAUAUAGUGAAUUAGUUAAUUAGGGUGUUCUUCUUAAUUCUAUCAUCUGUGGAUUUAAGUUGAUUUGAGUAUGAUGCAUUGAGAGAUGGUCAUAUUUACUUAUGUGUUCUUGAUUAACAAUUCAGAAUAGAUAGCUUAAUUAAUAAGAAGUGUAUUAAUUUAAAUGAAGCAAUAAGUGAAGUUGUGAUCUUAAAUCUCCAUAAUCUGAUUUUUAGUUAGUGGUAAUUAGAAUUAGUGUAAUUAAAUAAGUUAAUUCAUAAUCUUAAAUUGAUUGUUUAAAUAAAAUUAGUUUGAUUAAGAGUUAGUAUUUGGUAAUUUGUAUUAAUAAUUCCUCGUGGAAACGUAAUAACGGAUGUUCUGUUAAAGAUGGAUGAUUUAUAGCUAAUGCUAUAAAUGAAUGGUACUACGAAGUAGUAUUGGAAGAAGAACUUAGAUUGAGUUGUAAAGGAUAGCAUACGAAUUAAAUAAAAUUCGUAUUAAGUAAAGAGAAAGUUAGAAGUUGUAAGAUUUCAAUUGAGGACUCGUGUCAGCAGCUGAGUUGUAUGAUUCCUUGUAUGAGCGAGGGAUUUGUACUUGGUUUUAGAACCACUUAGCUUCCUGGCCGAUAUACUGGUUAAGUUGAACAAUUCUUUGUAUGGGCGGGGAAUUGUGUGCUUAGCUUUUUAUAUUGAUUAGUGGCUGAGUUUGGUUUGACGACCACUUAGCUUCUAGUAUUGAUAAUCAUUGAAAUGUUUGGUCGCACUAUCCAUAUAUAUAUGACUAGAAGGUGAAUCUUUUCUCAUGUAUAUGUGUGAUAGGUAGAGAAUGAUAAGAUAGGUGCGAGUUCUUAAAACUCAUACUUAUGAAAAGUUGUGACUCAUAGUUAUAUGCUAUGUUUCUGAGCCCUAAGCAUAUGGAUAGUCCUUAAACAUAUAUGGUUGUGGAAAGUUCCUAAACACAUAAAGUGUGGUGAGUUGAUGGACUAUACUAAGGUAUAGGAAUGUUUAGACUGAAAACGAGUUAUUUUCAAUAGACUUAGCAUUGAAGAUGCUAUAGAAGAUUAAGUAUUGUCACAAGUAAGACAAUGAAGGAAGAUGGAGAAAUAGGAUAUUCUAAGUCAUCUAGCUAGGCUAGAUUUCGAAGUUUAUUGAAAUCAUGCUCAUGUGUGCGCAUUUUAAAAAUGAAAGAAUUGGUUCAACUUUUGGAACCAAUGGAUUUUAAAAAGAACUAUUCUUUAUAUGUCUAUGCUAAUUGUUUCGGCUAGACAGAAAUUGAUUUAAAAUAUCAAAAUGAAUUUUAUAUCAUCAGUGCAUUUGAUGCAAUGAUGGUAAAAGGAUGGAGUUAUUAAUACAAUUGAACCUGGUGUUGGAUGUGAUCUUAUGAUCAACAACCCGCUAUGGUUUGAUGUUUAAUGAUGAAGUCAUAAACUAACGAAAUCCUCAACGUAUUGUGAAAAGUACGGUAUCAUGUCGUCAUAAAAUGUUUUGAUGUAUUGCGAAAGAAUUUAAAGAAGUAGUAGAUGUCAAUUGAUUUGACUAGACGAAUGUUACAAGUUAAUGUCCAAUUUAUUGGUAUGGUCUAAGCUAUUUGAUUUGGCUAAGACAAAAGGUAUGUCAUGUCAUAAGAAAAUCGAGCUUUCUUUGAAGAGUUAUGCCGAACUAAAUUGUUUUGGUGAGGAAUCUAAUGAUUAAGUCUGAGGUGAACAUACCCCAAAAUAGGGUUAUACGAUGGGUUGAUCGCCUACGUAUGGAAGAGGUAGUUUGUGUUCUUGGUGAUUCUAAACUGACCGUGAUAGAAGGGUUUACGGUGAAAUACUGUUAAACCUAGUAAGAGUUCAUGGUCAAUUUGACCCCUCAGGAAAAGUAUGAAAUGUUUUAAAGGAAUCUUUAUAUUCCUAUUUAUUCCUUCCACUUCAUGAUUCUUGAUAAGUUAUGAUGGUUAGGGAAUGUGUGAAAGAUAAGAACAUCUUUGAAGAGAAGUUGAGAAGAAGUAAGCUAAAAUUUUGAGGAUGAAAUUCUAUGAAGAAGGGGUGAAUGUGAUGACUCGGGAAUGGGUGUGGCUUUAAAAAUUCCGAGGACAGAAUUUUUAUAAGGAGGGAAGAAUGUGACAACCCGGAAAAUCAGAUUUUCCAAAAUUUAAGUUUAAAGAAUUAGUUAUUAAUAAAAUAAAUUUUUAUUAAUAAUAUUUUGUGCUAUGUGUUUAUUAAUCAUUCUAAAACCUAGGAUGAUUAUAAUAUGGGAGGAUUCUGGCUACGAGCUAGACUGAACGAGUAAGAAUUUUCAAGAUGAAAAUAAAUAUUUUUUGGGAACAAAAUAUUUUUGAGAAAAGACAAAAUAGGCACUAUUUACCUGACAAAAUCCUAAGGUUAGGGUUUGAAUAACCUAAGCCUUUCUGAGAGUUUGGUAUGUCCAAAUGACAUUCCGUCAAAAGAUUUGACGAUAAUAUAUCGUGAAAAGUUAAGUAAGCCGAUAAAAGUUUUUCUCAAAAAAAGUGCAGAAAUCGGACGAAAUAAAAAUGACGAAAAGUAUUGUUAUAUACUUUUCAUUUGUUUAACUACGUUAAGGGAAAACGUGAUGGAAAACGCUUAAUGUUAAAAAGUGUUUUUCAGUUUUUCGGAGAUCCAAAGAAUACGUAAAAGUUAAUCGGUAAAGGAUAGACAAAAUGUCCAAAAAUAUUUGGAUUUCGAGAAUCGUAGUUUUUGAACUGUCGGACGAAUUUCGCAAGACGGAAGCACGAAGCUUCCAGGAGAAGCUUCGUGAAUAGUAAGGAGGUGGAAUAGUAAGGAGGUAUGAAUAGUAACCUUUGGGGCAAAAUGACUAUUUUACCCCUAGCCUUGGUUUUCUAUAAAAGGAAAGCUUAAAUCAUUUGUUGGUAAUUUUGAAAAAUCACCAACACCUGAGAGAGAGAGAGAGAGAGAGAGAGAGAGAAGUCGGAUGGGAGGAAAAAGGAAGAGGAAAAGCUAGCCCGAGAGCAAACUUUGUCCAACGAAAGAAGAUUAAAGGAGAAAGGUAAUCCAAAACCUUAUCUCUUAUAAAUGUUCUUUAAGUUUUAUAUGUUAAAAACAUAACUUAAUAAGAAUAGAAGUAAGAGAUGUUAAGAAUGAUUUCAUAUGGUUGAAAUCAUGAGAAAACAAGAAAUAAGAAUUAGAAGUUUAGUUUAUAAAUUUUUUAAGGAAGUAUAAGUUUCGUAAUGAAUUUGAACGAUCCGAAUGAAUCAUAUGAACGAUUCGGUGAAAUUAGUAAGGAAUGGUGUUUUAUAACACUGAAUUCCAAGAAAAAGUGAAAUGGUAAUCAAAAUAUCGAUUAAAAAUAAAGAACGAACGAAUAACGCGAAGAACACGAAGAACGUUGUUGAUGGACAAAUUUAAAACCAUCGUAUUUAUAACUUGUUAUUGAUGGACAAGUUUAAAACCAUCGCGUAUAAGUUAGUUGCUUAUUGCUUGGUUAGGAAUGAUAGAAACGUUCAUGAAGAAUGGAUUAAACUUAACUAUAACGAAGUUAUGGCAAUAAUUUCAUAAAAGACGAACGAGAAGUAGAAAGUAUAUAAAUGAACCUGAAUGUGUAGGGUUUCAUAAGAAUGUAAGAGAACAUAGAAAACGUGAGUCAUGGACUCAAGAACGAACGAGUUCCGAGUUCGGAUGACCGAAUUACGAACGAACGAAGAACAUUAAUAACAUAAAACAAACGAGAAAUGAAAUUUAAGCCAAUUGAAUGGCAUGUUUACGGAUUCAGAAUAAAUUUCUGUCCAAGGGGAAUUGAAGUACGUAUGAUAAGGAAGAGAAUGGCUUUGGAAUGACCUCAUUCCGAGUUAUAAAGAAGAAGUUAUGAGAUUGUAAAGUAAGCGUCUCAAAUCAGUACAAGACUUAGAAAAAAAUUUGAAGUUCUAGGCCUGGCGCCGCAGCGCCAGUUAAGCCUUGGGAGGCAGCGACACAGUGCCAACCCAGGGAAUCAGCUACUGUUGAGUGGUGCUGCAGCAUGGGGAGAAAGGAAGGGGACCAGCGCUGGUGCAGGGCAAAGCCCAGAGAAGAGCUUUUAACUGCUCAACUCUUGGGGAAAGUGUAAGGGAAGAUAAAGAACAUAUUGUUCAGCUAAAGUAACACAUAAUCAAGUGAUUUAAACCUUUAGUUAAGGUUGAAUGAAAUGAUUAAAUGUGAUUAAAGAUAAAGAAUGUUAAUGCAAAUUACGGAACUGAUAUUCGGGGACCGUAGUCGCGAUAAAACAAAUGUGAGGGAUUGCUAUGAUUGUGAUUCCUUAGACGUUGAGUGACGAGGGUAAUGUAUAACAUUUCUAUGUUAUAAUGUUGUAAUGAGAGAUAUACGUAAAGCAUAUAGAUGCUGUGAACGCAACGCAGUUGCGAUGAAUGAUCGAUCUUAACAUACAACGAAUUGUAUGGCUUCGACAUUAAGAAAGAGUAAUGAACGUGGGGUUCAUGUAUUAGAUAACGAAGGUAGUAAGUAAGAUAUGAUUUAUCAAGAAAGCCGUAAUGAAUGGUAUCAAGAUUAAUGAAAGUCGAAUGUGAGUCGGAUAGAGAAUGUUAGAAUGAAAUAUAAGCGUUCAACACUUUAACCGACGUGAGGGUUAAGUGUACGCGAAUAUUAAACGAAGAGAACCUACAUCCCGUGUAUGGUUUGACCAUAAGAUAAUGAAGAAUGAUGAUUAAAUUUGUGAAUGGUGAAGAACUGAAUUAAAGACAAUGACGUAUAACGUAAAGAAGUCGAGUUAAUGAUUAACUUAGAUGACGUUUCGGGUCGAUGAACCGGAUGUUGUAAGAUAAGAAUAAGGUAAUGUAAAAUGUUUAACGCUAUGAAUGCAUAGUAUUGACAUUGAAUAAUCAUGUUGAGUAUACAAAAGACUGUAUGACUUAGACGAUAAAGUAUGAAUCCAGAGGUAUGGCAUUUAGUUGCCAAAAAGCCAUAAGGAAUAAGAAAUUGAUUUAACGAACCUUAUUGUUUUAAUGGUUCAGAUAAGUUAAGAUGAGGUUAGGUUGUGGUACAAUCGUAACCUUUGAUGGUUGACAUAUGGGAGCUAGGCUAAACAAUUCCUUCAGAAAGCGGAGGUAUAUACGAAACUAGCAACCGAUCUAACUCACUGUGAAAACAGUGUGGAUAAGACGAGAACUUAUUUGUUAGUUGUUUGUGGGAAACCACUCAGAGUACCAUAUGGACUACUAGCAGAGACACGAUGUGUGCUGAGUCCUAGGAGAGUUAUAAGAAGAAUAUAAGAAUGUAAAUCAUCAAAGAUGAUGAUCGUAUGAGUUAAGACAUCUCUGUAUAUCAUGAAGCCAUAAAGCGGUAAAGAAAGUUAUCGCGUAAACUUAGAUUACAAGAACGCGAACCCUAAGAAGUAAAGUUAAGUAAACUAAUGCGUAAACUCAAGUAUAUGACUAAUUGGUGUAUGUGCUAUUUCCUUAUGUGUUAUAUAGGAAUUGCGGUAAAUAGUUCAGCAUAAACUAUAAGUUGUAGCUAUGCGUAAGUCAAGUUUCCUAACUUUAUUCAUAUUUUAAAUGAAUGAUAGUUUCUUAAACUUCUCAGAUGUUGAACUUAAGAAGUUUUAUCUAUGUGCAAAUGUGCGAUAUUUGUAUAAGGUGGUAGAAUGUAUGAGGCCUUGUGCCACAAUUUUAACACUUUGGUGUUUCUAUGAGAUAAACUGUUCUGUGAUUAAACUGUUCAAUAAGAGAAUGUUCUGUUUAUACAUGAACCGUUAUUGUUAAGUCUGAGCUAAUGAUUCUAGCUAGACAGGAUGUGUAUGGAAUAAGGUAGAAGAAUGAAAGUAUUUCAAAGUGAAUGUGACUAAUGUUUUAAAAUGAUAGGAAUCGAGAUUAUUCAUAUUAUUCAAGUUGAUUCAUAACCUUUGUUCGGUUAUUGAAGUCUUAAAAGAAUGUUUAAAUUCUUGAAGUUGCUUGUUCAACUGUUAUGACUUGCUGAGCAAUUGAAUGCUCACACUUGCUUUAAAUAAAAACAUUUUCAGUGAAUGAUGUUAGAAAGAACUUAAGGAUCCCGUAAAGAUCAAGUUGACUGGUAUCCAGAAGAAGUGUCAUUCAGUAGAUGAAUGUGCGUGAAGAUCAAGCCAAGUCUUAUAAUGUAGAAUAGUUUAAUUGAACUAUAGAUUAGUUUAAUGAACUGUUAUGUAUCCUUGGUGGCAGAUAAAAGUCACUCAUGUAAGAUGAAAAGAAUAAUGUAAUUAUCAUUAUUUGUAAUGAACGAGGUUAUAAGGUAUUAGAGCCUGGGAUUUGAGAAUGUAUGUUUUUAUAUUUAACUAUAUAAGGAUGUAUGUUUGGAAGAAGAUGGAAUUGUGACGUAUGGAAUCUGGGUGUGAAAAUAGACCGAGUUUCGGGGCGUGAUAGAUUUAAUCAGAGAUAGUCAAGCUAAUUGACUAUAACUUAGCGCUUGAUGGGAGACACCCCAUUAUUUCUAUCCUUACCUUUUGUUUAAUUCUUUUGAAUCAUGUCUAUUUUGUAUCUCCAUGUUUAGUUUUUUUUUAUAGCAUAUCAAUUGUUGAUGUAAGUUUUGAAGGAGCUGAAUGUGCAUAUUAUGUUGGUUAAGAGUACCAUAUAGAGUAUUUUUUUUUGGGAUAUUCAUUCAUGCAUGUUAAUUAGUUCAUGUUUUUAUCUUGGAGAAUUGAUAUAUCCCAUACUGGUACUUGCUGUAUGUGCAAGUGAAUUGCAGAUUAUCAGUAGCCACUUUAUUCUGGUUAAAGAUUCAGCUCAGUUUAUUUUAUCAGGGUACAGGGCCGCGCGGCCGCGCAUUUUAGUAAGUCAAAACAGCGCGCCCGUGCUGUACUUCUUUACAACUUAGUCAACCGCGCGCCCGCGUCGUGACAGCGGCGCACCCGCGCAGUCACCAGGCAUAAAACCCGCGCGGCCACGCCUGAGACUGGAGUCAGAAAAAAUUUGAAGUUUUUAAAACGUGCCCUACUCAAAUUCUUAUAUCAGUUACAUUCUCAAGCAUGCUUCUCUCCAUUUCUUUUAAAAACUGACGCCUAUCUUCUCUUCUCCCAAACUAUUUUUUUUCAAAUUCAAACUUCGCACCACACUACGCAUUCUACGUGUCAAUUUCCUUCCCACGUUCAACAUCUCAUACAUAUCCUAGUUCAGUUAGUUAGGGUUUCUUCAGAGGGUGGAAAAUAACAAGUUUGGGGGUUAUUGUUAGUAUACAAAGCCUUUUGUCAUCAGUUAGUUAUCAUCUCAAAAGUUUUUCUUCAUCAAUUGUUAUGGGACCAAAAAGAGCGCGCUCUCGCACUCCAAAGUCAUAUUCCUCAAGCAGCCAAAGUGAGGACAUUGUUGACCUCACGAAAUUUGUUAGCAUUGAAGCCCAAAUGGAAUAUUACAGAAUAGUGGCUAAGACAUUUGUGAGGGAGCGUGGUUUUAAGCCUGAGGCACAAGAUGGGCAACUUAAAGAAAUGAUCAGAGAAAAAUGAUGGCUUGGAGUCUGUUCUACACCCAUGCCUGCACCCAUAGGCAUUGUACGUGACUUUUAUGCCAAUGCGAAGGAGACCAUGAGUGGAUUUUCCUAUGUCAGAGGUGUGCAAGUAGACUAUCACCCACAGGCGAUUCGUAGCAUGUUCAAUUUACCCAACCCUCCAACUGGACGUGAAAAUUGGGUCGAGGCUACAAGGUUUGAGACUGACCUCGACAGGGUUAUCACUGACUUAUGCAUACCGGGUACACAGUGGAGAUACAAGCCUGGUACAAAUUAGCCUAGAACUUUCCAGGCUUUAACCCUCAACUGUUAUGCCAAAGCUUGGAAUCUAUUUAUCUGUGCAAAACUUAUGCUAUCAUCCCAUCAGCAUGAGAUUACAACUGAGCGGGUAAUUAUUUUAUGGGGUAUAAUUACUGGAAAAUACAUUGAUGUUGGUCAUCUCCUUAACAAGAACAUGUUACGUUACAUGUGGGGGAGCACUACAGGAAGUAUACCACAUGCCUCAGUUGUUGCUCAUUUAUGUGCUCGAGCAGGAAUCACGUGGGUUAAUGACCAGUUGCAAUACCCAAGUUAGGAUAUCACUCCCGCCACGAUAGCCAAGUUCGAGGAUUGGGCAGGAGGUACCCCUCAUUCAAGGGGCAAAGGCUUCAUCCUUCCACCAGCAUCAUCGAGGCCUUCACCGCAGAACACGCGCACAACUGACGCAGGAACCUCAGCUCAAGCCCUUGAACAGGAUGAUUGUCGUCUCCGAAGGUUGGAGAGAAAGGUCGACGCAAUGUAUGACAAUUUUUCAAUAUUUGCCAAUGGAUUGACGAGGUCCCUAGCCGAGGCUUUUGCGCAGCAGGGAACCAUGCUUGAGUGGCCAUAAUUUGGGACAGCUAUGCCAUUUUCACCGCCAGAUUCACCACCCGAGAAGGGUGGUACAGCUGAUAAUUAGGGGAGUUCCUUAAAACCCUUUACCUUCAUUCAUUGGGGACAAUGAAUAAUUUAAGUUUGGGGGUAUUGGGUGUUUAAUAGUGUAGAGUAUUAAGUUAAUUACAUGUAGUUUAAAUUUGCAUCAUAUUAUGCAUGUUGAGUUUAAUUUUUGCUUGUUUAUGUGUUUAGUUAAUAAUUGCAGAAAAUUUUUGCAUUUUAGUGAUUAGUAUAUGUUUUAAUUAUGUGUUUAGUUGUAUAUCCCAAGUAUCUAGUUUUAUGGAAUUUUAAUUUAUCCAAUGAUGAAUAUGAGUUUAUGGAUUUUGGAAUUUAAUUGAUAACAUGAGCUUGGUUAUAAUAUUCUACAUGAUUUGGUUCAUGCUUGUUGUUUAGAUGUUAUCGGUUAGCACAUAGGUGUUCAUAUCUGCUUGUUGGUAUAAGAAUAACAUGUUUUGCUUGCUAAGUAGAAAAUGUUGUUUCUAAAGAUAGAAUUAUGUAGAAAGUGGACUUAGAUUGUGAAAACACUGAUAAUCAAACUUUGGGAAACAUUGGUAUGCUUGUUAUAUAAAAAAUAAAAAUAAAAAUAAAAAUUAUUAUUGAAACCUUCCUAAGUUGAAUUAUUGAAGCUUGUGAUUGGGCAGGAUGGAGUGUAAAACACACUCACUAAAAAAUAAUAAUAAUAAAUAAACACCACAGGAAAGUGUGAAAAUCUCCCUCGUGAGUAAAAAUAAAGCAGAAUAAACCCAUUGUUGAACCUUAAUUUGUAUUGAUGUGUUGGAGUAGUUUUUGUUUCAUUAGUAUACGUAAUUCUUGAUUUGAACUUCAAUUUUCUGUCUUUAGUAGUAUAAUAUGUGUAAUCUUUGCCUUGGUCAAGCUUAUUUAUGAACACAUCACACACACAGCAUCUUUAUAGUGAGUUUGGAUUAUUUAAUUGUAUAAUAUUAUGUCUAUAGCUUAGUUUGAUAUUUUAUUCUUGAAUCUAGAUAAUUCUCUGAGGCACACUUAAUUGGAAUUCCAUUUUAGCUGGAAAUCUUGGGACUCACUUGCAUCAUAGUGUAGUUUGCAUAGCAUGUAGUUGCAUUGUUCAUUUUAUUUUCGUAUACAUUGCUUAAGGGCAAGCAAUAGUUCAAGUUUGGGGGUAUUUGAUAAGUAGGUUUUAUACCUACUUAUUGGGUGCCAACUCACUGGAAUUAUGCUCAUCUCAAGUAGUUUUUAUUAUGUUUUAUUUGCAUUUUAUGUUUAUUUUGUAGUAUUUGUAGCUGGAACUCCUAUAACAACCGAAGGCAAGGAAAGGCAUGGAAAAGCAAGAAAUGGCAUGGAAUAGCAUUAACAUGGCAUGGUGGAAUUGAGCUAGAAUGAAGAUUGCAUAACUGGACCUGAGCAGGUGAAGAGGAUCAAUGCAUUAGGAAAUGAAGAAAAGAAGAAAUGAAGAAGUAGAAGGAAACAACAACAAUAAAAAGCAGUAGAAGACACAGUGCAGCAGCAGCGCGGCCACGUUGCCUGUAUAGCUACAAAUGGCGUGCCCGCGCCUAAGGCAAGAUAGAGGCAUAUCAGGCAUCGCGCGACCGCGCUUCAACAAGGAAGGACCAUGGCGCACGCGUGCCAAACACUCAGUAGAUAACCUCAUAGUGCGCCCGCACCCGUAUUCCACUACAAUUCCACGUGGCCGCGCGAGUCUUAUUCAGUUAAUUUUGCUGACUUUUUGUAAUUUGAAUUUGAGCGUGUUUUGCUCAACUGAAAUGAUAUGGUUGGCACCAGACAUGGUUUUUCAUUUUUUUCAUCAUUACUGUUCUUAAGUUUUAGCUACGCUAGAUAGGGUUUAAGCAUUUGAUGAUACAUUUAACUCCUCUCUUUAUCUAGAUUAUUCAAUAAUUAUAGUUUACAUUUUCUGGAGAUUUUGGUGAUUUGGAACAAGCUUGGAACAGACUUUGUAACAGAGAUUAUCAGAUUUGCUCUAUCAUUUCUCUUACAUCUAUUGAUUGUAUUUCUUAAUUCCAUGUUUUGCUUCAAUCCCAUAAUGGCUUUUGGUUCAGAAAUGAACUAAAUUCCAUUAUGGGAUUCUAAUGGAUUUUGAUAUGUAGUCUAAAUAUGUGUAUCUAAUUGUGAUGUCGUAAAUUUAUCAUUGGAAUGCCCAUUAUGGUUGUGCUUAAUGUAUGAAUGCUUGAUCACCAUUCACACUAAUUGCUUGUAUAGAUUUGGAAAAUGAAAUAUAAGUAUAGAUUAGACCAUAAUGGCAUGUGUUCGUGAACCGGAUAGACAUAUACCGAUUCACCAUUUGUAGUCAUUAAAAGAGCUUGCACUUAAAUCAUAUUUGCUUUAAAUUCAAAUAGAAAUAUAGUGAGUUUGGUAAUUGUGAUGCUUACAUGAAUUCUAUCAAAUGUGGAUUUUAUGUAAAUUGGUCAUAUUUCAUUGAAAAAUGGUUAUGUUCCACUUUUGUGCUCUUGACUAGCUUUCCAUGAUAAAUAAUUAAACAUGACAUGAGGGCUGCAUUUUAGAUGAAACAUUAAAUGAUAUUAGAAUCUCAUUUCUCUCCAAUUUGAUGCAUUACUUUAGUAAUUAUAAGUUUGUUUCGUUAAUUAAUUUAGAAUUCAAUUUAAUUAUGAGUUGAUCGUUUAAGCAUAUAGAAAUAGUGAUUAAGUUGUUGCAUGAUAAAUUAGAUUUAACACCUUUCUUCGUGGAUCAAUACUUUUCUUACUCUGUACUACUUGUUGACCCAUGUAUACUUGCAUGAGUUAGAGUCCUUUUUCAUAAACCAAAAAGGAGGCAACAACAUGUUUUUUAAUGAAUUAUCAUACUUGCUGAGCUAGUUAUGCUCACUCUUGCUUGAACCAUAUGAAUGAAGCUAAGAUUGAACGACCUAAAGGAUCGAAUAAGGAUAAAGGAAAGGCUAAGGCAGACCACUGAACUGUCUAUGUAAUAGUAUAGAUUUAAUGUUAUAAUUAUUUGAUAUUAUAACAAGAAACAGAUGUAAUGGUUAUACAGAACCUGGGAAAGGGAAUAUUGUUUUGGAAUAUAAAUAAGACAUAUUCACUCUUUUGAGUUAUUUCAAUUGAAUGUAUGUGUGAAUGGUAGUACCGUGUAGCACCAUCUGUCGGGUUAGAAGAUACCCGAAUUUGGGGGCAUCACAGGUUGGUAUCAAAGCAAUAGGUUAUAAAACUUAAGGGGGGGAAAUAGAACCUUAAGUCAUAACCUUAAAAAGAGUUAAAGAAGUAAAAGAUGAAGUUAACCCUAAAAAUGCAUUAUAUGUGAUAUGUGUUUUUAUUAUUCUAAUGAUGUUUUGUAAGACCCCAACUUUUAUGAAUAAAGAAUAUUUUCUCAAAAUAUAUUUUUGAAUAUUAUUGUGUGGAUUUGAUAUAAUGUUAUAGUUGUGGGUAAUAUUUAUAAAUUUUGCAUAGUAAGCAAGUGGUUAUAUAAUAUUUGAUUGGUCGGGGAAUAUUCGUUUUAACAGGGAAUAUUCGUACGUCGGCACAAUCAUUGGUGGACCCCACAACGGAUGUAUUGUCGUAGUUAGAAAAUGACAGAAUUUUCUUUUUAUAAAAAUAAUGGCAAAAGUUUUACUGUUAAAACUGUUAAACUACCCGAUAGUAAAAGUAAAGUAAUACGCGUGGUUGCAUAGUAGCACACGGUAUUUGUUAUUGAUGCUUACGUGAGAAGUCACUCAAUUAUUGCUACAGUAAUUGCUGCAUCAUAUCUCUCACAUUAUUGAUUCAAUUAUUGUCACAGUAUCAUCUGCAUUUUAUGUUAUUAAAUCAAUAAUUGAGACGACAAAGUUAUUCAUAUUAUUAAAUUGCAAUAUUUACAAUGUCUAGAAGUUCUGUCAAGGAGAGGUUUGGUCAUCUAAUUGCACGCCAAUAAGGAGAAAUCCUUAUCGUAAAGUCCCCUCUUUCCUGGGAAUGACCUGGUUGUUAAAUAUUGUGAGUUAUAAUAUUAAUGAUGAAUAAGUUUCUGUUUAUUAAAGAUGAAAUUGAUAGUUCCAUUGUGUUGGAAUUAUUAGUGUUAGUGUAAAUCGACAUUUAUUUCUGUAUUAAUGGAUGUCUGGAAGUUAUACUGACCAGUCGGGGAAUUACCAUGGAUUUCGUUACUGGUCUUCCCAAGGUUUCUCAAGGCAUAGAUGCGAUUUGGGUCAUUGUUGAUAGAUUGACCAAGUCUGCUCAUUUCUUACCGAUACGAGAAACUUAUACACUUGAACGUCUUGCUAGUAUGUACAUAAACAAGAUUGUAAGAUUGUAUGGUAUGUCAAUAUCCAUAGUUUCUGAUCGAGAGCCAAGAUUCACUUCAUGAUUUUGGGUUAGUUUGCAAAAAGCUAUGGGAACGAAUUUACGAUUUAGUUCGGCAUAUCAUCCUCAAACGGAUGGGCAGUCGGAAAGGACUAUUCAAACUCUUAAAGAUUUAUUAAGACUUUGUGUCCUUGACUUCAAGGGAAGUUGGGACAAGUUCUUACCAUUGGUGGAGUUUUCCUACAACAACAGUUAUCAAGCAAGUAUUGGCAUGGCUCCAUUUGAGGCGUUGUAUGGAAGAAAGUGUCGUUCUCCAGUAUGCUGGGAUGAGGUGGGUGAAGCAACGUUGUUGGGACCGGAGUUGGUACGUAUGACUACGGAAAAGAUUCAAACGAUCCGACAACGUAUAAAAACCUCACAAGAUCGACAAAAGAGUUAUGCUGAUCUUCAUCGAAAGGACGUGGAAUUCAAUAUUGGAGAUCAUGUGUUGUUACGUGUUGCUCCAUGGAAAGGAGUUACGAGAUUUGGAAAGAGAGGAAAGCUCAAUCCUCGAUUCAUUGGCCCAUUUUUAAUCCUCGAUCGAGUAGGAACUGUGGCCUAUAGACUCGCCUUACCGCCAAGUAUGUCUCGUGUUCAUAACGUUUUUCACAUAUCUAUGUUACGUAAAUAUGUGAAAGACCCGAACCACAUUAUUGAAUUAGAACCAGACGAGAUAGAGGAAGAUUUAACGUAUGAAGAGUUACCUGUUAAAAUCUUGGAUAAGAAGGAUCAUAUUCUACGCUCCAAGGUUAUACCUCAAGUCAAAGUUUUGUGGAGAAACCACGAUGUGGAAGAAAUGACCUGGGAGUUAGAAUCUGAGAUGAAGUCAAGAUAUCCUCACCUCUUCGAUAUACCAGGUACGUACCCUAAUUUCGAGGACGAAAUUUCAUAAGAAGGGGAGGUUGUAAGACCCCAACUUUUAUGAAUAAAGAAUAAUUUUCUCGAAAUAUAUUUUUGAAUAUUAUUGUGUGGAUUUGAUAUAAUGUUAUAGUUGUGGGUAAUAUUUACAAAUUUUGCAAAGUAAGCAAGUGGUUAUAUAAUAUUCGAUUGGUCGGGGAAUAUUCAUUUUAACAGGGAAUAUUCGUAUGACGGCACAAUCAUUGGUGGACCCCACAACGGAUGUAUUGUCAUAGUUAGAAAACGACAAAAUUAUGUUUUUAUAAAAAUAACGGCGAAAGUUUUACCUUUAAAACUGUUGAACUACCCGGUAGUAAAGGUACAGUAAUUCGUGUGGUUGCAUAGUAGCACACGGUAUUGGUUAUUUAUGCUUACGUGAGAAGUCACUCAAUUAUUGCUACAGUAAUUGCUGCAUCAUAUCUCUCAUAUUAUUGAUUCAAUUAUUGUCACAGUAUCAUCUACAUUUUUUGUUAUUAAAUCAAUAAUUGAGACGACAAAGUUAUUCAUAUUAUUAAAUUGUAAUAUUUACAAUGUCUAGAAGUUCUGUCAAGGAGAGGUUUGGUCAUCUAAUUGAGCGCCAAUAAGGAGAAAUUCUUAUCGGAAAGCCCCCUCUUUCCUUGGAACGACCUGGUUAUUAAAUAUUGUGAGUUAUAAUAUUAAUGAUGAAUAAGUUUCUAUUGAUUAAAGAUGAAAUUGAUAGUUCCAUUGUGUUGAAAUCGACAUUUAUUUCGGUAUUAAUAGAUGUCUGGAAGUUAUACUGACCAGUCGGGUAAUUAAUCGGAUAAAUGAGCAAUUAAUUGCUAUUAAUUCACAUGAUUAUAACUAUUUGUUCACAUAUGUGUACUAUUAAUUCACAUUCUUGUUACUAUUAGGGGAGUUGAUGCAAGAUUAAUAAUACUUGCAUGACUAAGUUAAAAAUAGAGGUAUAGAUGGAGGUACUAUACUGUAGUUCGUAUUUUCACAUGUCUAGAACUAUUGAUUCACAUGAUUUACUAUUGAUUCACAUGAUUUACUAUUAGGGGAGGUGGUGCAAGUUUGAUAAUACUUGCAGGACUAAAUUAAAAAUAAAGGAAAAGAGGAAGGUAUUAUACUGUAAUAUUCUGAGCCCCAAAAUGUGCAAUUAUCGAAACUAUAUUUUCCUAUAAAUAGAAGCUCAUUUCUUCAUUAUUCUUCACCAAUUCACUCAAGCUAUAGAGCAAUUAUUAUAGAGAGAAAUUAUAGAGAGAAAGAAGAAGAGAAGUCUGCUACCUCUUUACUCCAGUAUCCAGUUUCUUUCUAAGGUAGGGGGUAUUAUUUCUUUUGUGUUCUUAAAGAGAGCAAUUGUUAUUCCAUCCUUUAUUAUUCUGUUGGAAUAACCUGUAUUUGUGGACUACCGUAUACAUGGUGAAUUCUUCUAUAAUUCCAUUCUUUAUUAUUUUGUUGGAAUAUCAGGUCUGUGCGUUUACGCAUGACCUGGUUCCACUAUUUAUUAUUCUGUUGGAAUAACUUGUCUGUGUGGUCUAUCGCAUGCAUGGUGAAUUCUUCUGUUAUUCCAUUCUUUAUUAUUUUGUUGGAAUAUCAUGUCUGUGCGUUUACGCAUGACCUGGUUCCAUUAUUUAUUAUUCUGUUGGAAUAUCCUGUCUGUGCGUUUACGCAUGACCUGGUUCCAUUAUUUAUUAUUCUGUUGGAAUAACCUGUCUGUGCGGUCUAUUGCAUGCCUAGUGAAUUCUUUUGUUAUUCCAUUCUUUACUAUACUCAGUUGGUUAAAGUUUUGGAUUUUAUACUCCAUGAAAUUAGUGGAAUAUCCUUGAUAUUUGCGCUUCAUCCAAUAUCUUUUCAUGGAAAUAUUCUUCUGAGCAUUCUUGAAUUUUACUCUAUAAAGAAGUAUCAUGUUGACAAUUUGGACAUUAUUGAUUUCUGGAUAAGUUAGAUUAUAAAUCUUUAAAAAUUUAUUCUUGAACUUGUUUUAUUGAAUUCCUUAUAUCAUUGUCAUCAUCCUCAUGUUUAUAUUCUGUUGAAAGUCAUCUGUGGCCUGUAGUGCAUAGAUGGACUUGGUAUGAUUAUGAUCAGGGAUCAUUCGGUAUAAUCAUGACCGUAAUGUUACAAAUGAUGUGGUAAAAGUCCUCAUUGGCCCGUAGUGCAUUGAUGGACAGUUGUUGGCAUGAUUAUGACCAUUAAUGAAUACACAAAUAUCCUUGGCCCGUAGUGCAUGGAUAAUUUGUGGUCGUGAUACUAAACAAUAUCCUUGGCCACAGUGCAGGGGUAAUUUGAUGAUGUGAAUUAUUUAUUAAUCUGAGUCUCAGCGAUAAAUGUGAUGAAAAACCUUUUAAAUCAUAGAAGAUAGUAGAUUUUAUUCUCUACUUGACUCUUCUAAUGGAUUGUUUAUUCCACUGCAGUUAAACUUGAUGUUUGUUAUAUUAUAUUAGUUUAACACUGUUGUAGGCUAACGAUAAUUUAUUCUGCAUUAUAUUAGUCAUAAUAUUUCUUACUGAGCUAGUUGAGCUCACUCUUUUUCUUUCAUUGUUCUCUUCAGGAAAUGAGAACGUAGCCGGGACUAGUCGGGGAACGGAGUGACGGUCUAGAUGAUAGCAUUAGUAGUCCUCACUAUUCUGUUAAAUAAUGUGAUAAUAAAUAUAAUGAGGACUCCAUUGAGUGUGGAUAUUGUCUAGAUGACAAUAUUCUUAUUAAAACUCUUAGAUUAUGUUUUGUCGUAUUUUACAUGACUGUUGUAUAAUUAAGUUGUAUUUGAAUUUUGUACCAUGUAUUUGGUGACUCAAGAUGGGUGAUGUAUACCUAUUUUUGGGGUAUCACAGUUGGUAUCAAAGUUUAGGGAUAUGAUCCCUGGCUGAGAUGUGAGAUAAGAACUAGGAGGGGAGAGACGGGGAAUUUUUUCGUUAGUAUGACCUACCUAAGUUUAUUUGGUAUUUAAAUUGGUCGGUCAGAGUAUAGGGGUAAUAUGUGAUAUGUUAAUUAACCCUUGUGUUCUGGCAGUAUUUGAAAAUGACAUCCGAGAAUGUUGAGAAUAGCAAUGGAGCACAGGAGACCAUUGAGUCACCACAGAUCAAUAAUCAGGAUAAUGUGCAUCAGGAAGGCGACAAUCCUCAUGCAAACAAGAACACUGACCAAAUGAUGAACGAUGGAAUGUUCAGAGGCUUUAUGCAAUUCAUGAAACAUCAGGCGAGAGCGGCUCCUGUCCAAAAUGCAGGUGCAAACACUGGCAACUCUCGGACAGUCACCGCUAAGCAGUUCAAGGAACUGGGACCACCGGAGUUUUUUGGAGAGCCAAAACCACUUAAGGCAGAGACGUGGAUAAAGCAGAUUUACAAGAUAUUUGAUGUCUUGGGAUGCUUGGAGGAGCAAAAGUUUCCCUUUGCCACCUUCAUGUUACGAGCAGAGGCAGAUUACUGGUGGGAAUCUAUAAAGCAUACUCAACCUGCCGCACUGAAGAUAACUUGGGAGAAGUUCCAAGAAUUGUUCAAUGACAAGUACUUUCCCGAAAGUAUUCGUCACAUGAAAGAGGUAGAGUUCAUCAAGAUGAAGCAAAACAACAUGACUGUGUUACAGUACGAAGCCAAGUUUGCCGAGUUAUCUUGGUUUGCGUCCCAUUUGGUUGAUAAUGAGGAUAGAAUGACGCGAAUGUUUCUAAGAGGUUUGAAACCCAAGAUACGUCAAUAUCUUAUCUCUCAUAAACUGUGUUUGUAUUCAGAUGUUGUUAAUAGGGCUGAGUUAUUGGAGCGCGAUAAUGAGUCAACCCAACCAAAAGAGAGCAGCCGGUAAAAUGAUAAUACCAGUGAUAGAAAUCAUCGAAGCGGUGACAAUAAUCGUGGAGGGAAUCAACAUGCCAGAAAUGGUAACCACUUCGGUGGUAAUCAUGGCCAAAACAAUAAGAAUGGACAUUUCAAGAAGAGGAGAUUCAACAAUGAUGGAAAGACGUCAGCACCAUCACCCGUUGUUAAGGAAGAAGAAUGACCACCUAUCAUAUGCUUCAAAUGUGGAGGGGAGGGACACAUCAGACCAAACUGCACGAUGCCGUCCAAAGCGUGUUACAAUUGUGGAAGAGAAGGUCACCUAGCCCGAUUUUGUCAUUCACCGAGGACAAGUCCAACUGGGAGGGAGGCACCAAAGGCCGUCCCAGAAAAGUCAAAGCUGGUAGUGCAAGGGAGAGCGUUUGUCAUGACCUCCCAAAAAGCAAGGAACCCAAACGAGGUCAUCACGGGUAAGCUUAUCAUAAACUCUAGCGAAGUCUAUACCUUAUUUGAUACCAGUUCUACCCAUUCUUUUAUUUCUCCUAAUUGCGCUCAACGUUUAAAUUUGACUCCGAAGAAAUUAGACUUUGACUUAUCUGUUGAAACUCCGUUGGGAUAAACCUUCAUUACAUCCACUAUUUAUAAGUCUUGUUUGGUUCAAAUCGGUACCCUCACAUUACUUGUCGAUCUUAUUUCAUUGAAAAUACUUGCAUUUGACGUAAUUCUAGGGAUUGAUUGGUUAACUACUCAUCAUGCAAAAAUUGAUUAUUUUCGUAAGGUUGUUAGCUUUCAUAUUCCUAACCAACCUAUUAUGUGAAUUCAAGCAACCAAACCAUUAAAAUCAAUCACUGUCAUCUCAAGCCAUAAAGCUAUUCGUUUAUUAAAAAAUGGAUGUCAAGCUUUCUUAGCUCAUGUUAUGGAUUUAAACAAAAAUACGUCAAUUUUGAAUAAUAUUUCUAUUAUUAAUGAAUUUCCUGACGUAUUCCCUGAAGAACUUUCUGGCCUACCCCAGAGCGAGAAAUUGAAUUUUGUAUCAACCUUGAACCUGGUACAAAACCCCUUUCCAAAGCCUCAUAUCGAAUGGCUCCUAUUGAACUUCAGGAGUUAAAGACCCAAUUACAGGAAUUGUUAGACAUUGGUUUCAUUCGUCCUAGUACGUCUCCUUGGGAUGCUCCUAUUCUAUUCGUGAAAAGAAGGAUGGAAAUAUGCGACUUUGUAUUAAUUAUCGGGAGUUAAAUCAUGUCACCAUCAAAAAUAGGUACCCAUUGCCUCGUAUUGAUGACCUAUUUAACUAGUUACAAGGAGCCAAAUUCUUUUCAAAGAUUGAUCCUUGUUCCGGAUAUCAUCAGUUGCGGAUAUCAUCAGUUGAAGAUUAAAACUGAUGACAUUCCAAAGACUGCUUUCAGAACUCGGUACGGGCAUUAUGAAUUCCUAGUCAUGUCUUUUGGAUUGACUAAUGCUCCUGCUGCCUUCAUGGACAUGAUGAACCGAGUAUUCAAGGAAUAUUUGGAUCACUUUGUGGUCAUCUUUAUUGAUGACAUCCUCAUAUACUCCAAAAGCCGUGAAGACCAUGAGCAACACUUGAGGCUGAUACUUCAAAAGCUUCGCGAAAACAAGCUUUAUGCCAAGUUGAAGAAAUGCGAGUUCUGGCAUGAGGAAGUUGCAUUCCUUGGGCACGUGAUAUCAAAUCAUGGAAUAUCUAUUGACCCAGCAAAGAUUGAAGCAAUUCAAAGUUGGGAGCAACUAAAAUCAGUAACCGAAGUACGUAGCUUUCUUGGCUUAGCGGGUUAUUAUUAGAGAUUCGUGGAAGGAUUUUCUCGAAUCGCUACUCCAUUAACUCAGCUGACUCGAAAAGAUACAAAGUUCGGUUGGAGCGAGGAAUAUGAGAAGAGUUUUCAAGAACUCAAGAGAAGACUCAUUUCAGCACCUGUUCUGACAAUACCAUCUGGCUCGGAGGGAUUUGUCAUCUACAGUGAUGCUUCAGGCAAAGGGUUAGGAUGUGUUCUCAUGCAACAUGGGAAAGUCAUAGCCUAUGCCUCACGACAACUCAAAGAAUAUGAGAGGAAUUAUCCUACUCAUGAUCUAGAGUUGGCAGCAGUCGUUUUUGCGCUUAAGAUUUGGAGGCAUUACCUGUAUGGAGAGAAGGUGGAGAUCUAUACGGAUCAUAAAAGCCUCAAAUAUUUCUUCACUCAAAAGGAACUCAACAUGAGGCAACGAUGAUGGCUUGAGUUGUUGAAAGAUUAUGAUCAUACCAUCCUGGAAAAGCGAACGUAGUAGCUGACGCAUUGAGUAAAAGAUCAUAUGUGGGCACGAGUGCAAUAUUGUCAACACAAAGGCCCAUUGUGUAUGACUUAGAAAGGAUGGAAAUACAGUUAAAGACUUCAGGGACCCAUGUGAUGAUGGCGAAUAUAUGAGUGGAACCGACUUUAAUCGAUAAAGUUAAAGCUGCUCAAGCUAUAGACCUAAAGCUGAUGCGUAUGAGGAAGAAAACGCAAGAAGGUGCUAUUCCAGAAGCAAGAAUCGAUGAAGAAGGAAUACUUCGAGUCAACUCCAGACUUUGUGUUCUUAACGAUUCUGACUUGAAGUAUAAAAUCAUGAUGGAGGCGCACAACGCAUCGUUUGCAAUCCAUCCUGGGAGUACCAAAAUGUAUCGUGAUCUUCGACAUACAUUUUGGUGGAGCAAUAUGAAGAUAGAGAUAGCGGGGUUUAUCUCAAAGUGUCUAACUUGUCAACGAGUCAAGGCGGAGCAUCAAGUGCCAAAAGGUCCAUUGUAACCACUUGAAAUUCUAGAAUGGAAGUGGGAGCACAUUACCAUGGAUUUCGUUACUAGUCUUCCCAAGGUUUCUCAAGGCAUAGAUGCGAUUUGGGUCAUUGUUGAUAGAUUGACCAAGUCUGCUCAUUUCUUACCGAUACGCGAAACUUAUACACUUGAACGUCUUGCUAGUAUGUACAUAAACAAGAUUGUAAGAUUGUAUGGUAUGUCAAUAUCCAUAGUUUCUGAUCGAGACCCAAGAUUCACUUCAUGAUUUUGGGUUAGUUUGCAAAAAGCUAUGGGAACGAAUUUACGAUUUAGUUCGGCAUAUCAUCCUCAAAUGGAUGGGCAGUCGGAAAGGACUAUUCAAACUCUUAAAGAUUUAUUAAGACUUUGUGUCCUUGACUUCAAGGGAAGUUGGGACAAGUUCUUACCAUUGGUGGAGUUUUCCUACAACAAUAGUUAUCAAGCAAGUAUUGGCAUGGCUCCAUUUGAGGCGUUGUAUNNNNNNNNNNNNNNNNNNNNNNNNNNNNNNNNNNNNNNNNNNNNNNNNNNNNNNNNNNNNNNNNNNNNNNNNNNNNNNNNNNNNNNNNNNNNNNNNNNNNNNNNNNNNNNNNNNNNNNNNNNNNNNNNNNNNNNNNNNNNNNNNNNNNNNNNNNNNNNNNNNNNNNNNNNNNNNNNNNNNNNNNNNNNNNNNNNNNNNNNNNNNNNNNNNNNNNNNNNNNNNNNNNNNNNNNNNNNNNNNNNNNNNNNNNNNNNNNNNNNNNNNNNNNNNNNNNNNNNNNNNNNNNNNNNNNNNNNNNNNNNNNNNNNNNNNNNNNNNNNNNNNNNNNNNNNNNNNNNNNNNNNNNNNNNNNNNNNNNNNNNNNNNNNNNNNNNNNNNNNNNNNNNNNNNNNNNNNNNNNNNNNNNNNNNNNNNNNNNNNNNNNNNNNNNNNNNNNNNNNNNNNNNNNNNNNNNNAUUUUCUCGAAAUAUAUUUUUGAAUAUUAUGGUGUGGAUUUGAUAUAAUGUUAUAGUUGUGGGUAAUAUUUACAAAUUUUGCAAAGUAAGCAAGUGGUUAUAUAAUAUUCGAUUGGUCGGGGAAUAUUCAUUUUAACAGGGAAUAUUCGUAUGACGGCACAAUCAUUGGUGGACCCCACAACGGAUGUAUUGUCGUAGUUAGAAAACGACAAAAUUAUGUUUUUAUAAAAAUAACGACGAAAGUUUUACCUUUAAAACUGUUGACCUACCCGGUAGUAAAGGUACAGUAAUUCGUGUGGUUGCAUAGUAGCACACGGUAUUGGUUAUUGAUGCUUACGUGAGAAGUCACUCAAUUAUUGCUACAGUAAUUGCUGCAUCAUAUCUCUCCUAUUAUUGAUUCAAUUAUUGUCACAGUAUCAUCUACAUUUUAUGUUAUUAAAUCAAUAAUUGAGACGACAAAGUUAUUCAUAUUAUUAAAUUGUAAUAUUUACAAUGUCUAGAAGUUCUGUCAAGGAGAGGUUUGGUCAUCUAAUUGAGCGCCAAUAAGGAGAAAUUCUUAUCGGAAAGCCCCCUCUUUCCUAGGAACGACCUGGUUGUUAAAUAUUGUGAGUUAUAAUAUUAAUGAUGAAUAAGUUUCUGUUUAUUAAAGAUGAAAUUGAUAGUUCCAUUGUGUUGGAAUUAUUAGUGUUAGUGGAAAUCGACAUUUAUUUCGGUAUUAAUGGAUGUCUGGAAGUUAUACUGACCAGUCGGGGAAUUAAUCGGAUAAAUGAGCAAUUAAUUGCUAUUAAUUCUCAUGAUUAUAACUAUUUGUUCACAUGUGUGUAUUAUUGAUUCACAUUCUUGUUACUAUUAGGGGAGUUGAUGUAAGAUUGAUAAUACUUGCAUGACUAAGUUAAAAAUAGAGGUAUAGAUGGAGGUACUAUACUGUAAUUCGUAUUUUCACAUGUCUAGAACUAUUGAUUCACAUGAUUUACUAUUGAUUCACAUGAUUUACUAUUAGGGGAGGUGGUGCAAGUUUGAUAAUACUUGCAGGACUAAAUUAAAAAUAAAGAAAAAGAGGAAGGUAUUAUACUGUAAUAUUCUGAGUCCCAAAAUGUGCAAUUAUCAAAACUAUAUUUUCCUAUAAAUAGAAGCUCAUUUCUUCAUUAUUAUUCACCAAUUCAUUCAAGCUAUAGAGUAAUUAUUAUAGAGAGAAAUUAUAGAGAGAAAGAAGAAGAGAAGUCUGCUACCUCUCUACUCCAGUAUCCAGUUUCUUUCUAAGGUAAGGAGUAUUAUUUCUUUCGUGUUCUUGAAGAGAGCUAUUGUUAUUCCAUCCUUUAUUAUUCUAUUGGAAUAACUUGUAUCCGUGGACUACCGUAUACAUGGUGAAUUCUUCUAUUAUUCCAUUCUAUAUUAUUCUGUUGGAAUAUCAUGUCUGUGCGUUUACGCAUGACUUGGUUCCAUUAUUUAUUAUUCUGUUGGAAUAACCUGUCUGUGCAGUCUAUCGCAUGUAUGGUGAAUUCUUCUGUUAUUCCAUUCUUUAUUAUUAUGUUGGAAUAUCUUGUCUAUGCGUUUACGCAUGACCUGGUUCCAUUAUUUAUUAUUCUGUUGGAAUAACCUGUCUAUGCAGUCUAUCGCAUGCCUGGUGAAUUCUUUUGUUAUUCCAUUCUUUAUUAUACUCAGUUGGUUAAAGUUUUGGCUUUUAUACUCCAUGAAAAAUUAGUGGAAUAUCCUUGAUAUUUGUGCUUCAUCCAGUAUCUUUUCAUGGAAAUAUUCUUCUGAGCAUUCUUGAAUUUUACUCUACAAAAAAGUAUCAUGUUGACAAUUUGGACAUUAUUGAUUUCUGGAUAAGUUAGAUUAUAAAUCUUUAAAAAUUUAUUCUUGAACUUGUUUUAUUGAAUUCCUUAUAUCAUUGUCAUCAUCCUCAUGUUUAUAUUCUGUUGAAAGUCAUCAGUGGCCUGUAGUGCAUAGAUGGACUUGGUAUGAUUAUGACCAGGGAUCAUUCGGUAUAAUCAUGACCGUAAUGUUACAAAUGAUGUGUUAAAAGUCCUCAUUGGCCCAUAGUGCAUUGAUGGACAGUUGUUGGCAUGAUCAUGACCAUUAAUGAAUACACAAAUAUCCUUGGCCAGUAGUGCAUGGAUAAUUUGUUGUCGUGAUACUAAAGAAUGUCCUUGGCCGUAGUGCAGGGGUGAUUCGAUGAUGUGGAUUAUUUAUUAAGCUGAGUCUCAGCGAUAAAUGUGAUGAAAAACCUUUUAAAUCAUAGAAGAUAGUAGAUUUUAUUCUCUACUUGACUCUUCAAAUGGAUUGCUUAUUCCGCUGCAGUUAAACUUGAUGUUUGUUAUAUUAUAUCAGUUUAACACUGUUGUAGGCUAACGAUAGUUUAUUCUGCAUUAUCUUAGUCAUAAUAUUUCUUACUGGGCUAGUUGACCUCACCCUUUUGCUUUCAUUGUUCUCUUCAGGAAAUGAGAACGUAGCCGGGACUAGUCAGGGAACGGAGUAACGGUCCAGAUGAUAGCAUUAGUAGUCCUCACUAUUCUGUUAAAUAGUGUGACAAUAAAUGUAAUGAGGACUCUAUUGAGUGUGGAUAUUGUCUAGAUGACAAUAUUCUUAUUAAAACUCUUAGAUUAUGUUUUGUCAUAUUUUACACGACUGUUGUAUAAUUAAGUUGUAUUUGAAUUUUGUACCAUGUAUUUGGCGACUCAAGAUGGGUGAUGUAUACCUAUUUUGGGGGCGUCACGUGUUUACUAAUCAAACUAAUUUGUUUUAUUGUAGAUGUCCAGAAAUAACAUUAUGUAUAGGGAUAUACAUGUCGUUAAUGAAGCGUCGGUGAAUCAAGUAGAGAUUUUACCGAACCCUGUAGCUGAAGAGCCGGAAGUGGUGGGUGUUGAGUCUGGAGACUCGAAAAACCUAGACCUCGUGUCUAUGUUUGAUGGCAUGUCAGAAGAGGAGGUGGAGGUGGUGUCAUUUAACAACAUAUCACCUGCAGAAGAGAUGACUCCGAGGGAGUCAAUGAAAUUAUUGUUCAUGACUGUAUUGGAUAGAAACAUCCAGUAUGGGAAGGAGGUGAAGGAAUUGAAGGAGGAGCUCCAGGAUAUCUUGGAGGAUAAGAAGAGUAUAGAGUCUAUGUGGGAGGAAGAACAUGAUGAGAAGGUGUUAGCCAAGAACAAGGUCCAUGAGCUUAAACACGAGGUCUUUGAGCUCAGGAAGGAGCUAAAGACCAAGAAGCAGAAGGUUAGCAGAAUGUCCUAUAUACGUAGGAGUUUGCAUGGGGAUUUUCAGCUGCAAGUGGCUGAGUAUCCUGUGGAGGCAGGGCAGACUCGGCAUACUAUUAGCCGAGAUAUUAUAGCCAGUCUUGCAUAUGCGAACUAUGAGAAUGCCAUAAGGCAGAUGUAAUCUAGCUAAUAGUUAGAGUAGAAUAGAUAUGUAAAUAUGUUGUAUCUUUGUAGUGACGUAAAACCCUCUUUUGUAUAACAAAGGGUAGUCUUUUGUAAAUCCCAAUUUUUGGAAAGCAAUGGCAGGAAAGUAAUGUAAUCAAUUUAGGUUGUGUAACGUUGAACGAUGUAGUAUUAUACUACAAGGAAGAACGAAUCAAUAUAAGUUUUCUUUUAUUGAAACAUGUUGUGCAAUGAGUAUGAGUUAUUGUUUAAUAAUAAAUAAUAACUAAUUAACAAGAAAUAAAUAAUAAUGAAGUGCUAUGUAUUUUAACAGAAAAAUGCCUCCAAGAAGAAGACAAAGAAAUCAAGGAGCGAAUGUGAAUCAACCGGAAGGGGGACCGGUUAACCCGUUGCAGUAGUUCGUUAAUUUAUUAAUGGCUGCCUUUAACCAGAAUAGGGUGAAUGUACCCAUAAAUCCUGCAGUAGUACGGGCUACUACGUUUAAGGAUUUUAAGAGUGUAGGUCCGCCAGAGUUCAAAGGAACUACGGACCCUAUAGAAGCCCAAAUGUGGGUAAAAGAAAUAGAGAAGGCAUUUGUUAUUGCAAAUGUCGAUGAAGGGCAAAAGGUUGCUUUUUCUACCUAUAUGAUGAAGGGAGAGGCCAAUUUUUUGUGGGAGGCAAACAAAGCUAGGGCGGAGAUAGAUAACUUAACAUGGACAUGGUUCAAGGAGAUUUUCUUCGAGAACUACUUUCCCACGAGUAUGCAGGGGAGGAUGGAGAUGAGGUUUUUGGAGUUGAAACAAGGGGAGAUGACUGUUCCCCGAUAUGCUUCCGAGUUCAAUGAACUGGCGAGGUUUGCUCCACACCUAGUGGACACGGAGGUGAGGAAGGAUAGGAGAUUCGAGCAGGGUUUGAAACCUUAGCUCUAUAGCCGGAUAUCAGUCUUCCAAAGUACUUCUUUUUAAACCAUUCUAGAGAAGGCGAUAAUCACCGAGGGUGGGAAUGAGGCUUUAAGCCAGUACCACAGGGAGAAGAAAAAUAAGAAUAAAGUAGAUGGGGAGUAAAAAUCGAGGGAGCUAGUGGUAGUGGCAAUGGCCAGAAGAGAAAGGGUUUUAACUUUGGGAAUACCAGAGUGAAGCAAGGAGAUCCUAAGAAGAGGAUGGAGGCAUACAAGAAUUGUGGGAAGACUCAUUUAGGAGUCUGUCUCAAGGGGAAGUCGGUGUGUUACAAUUGUGGAUAGGAGGGGCAUAUUUCGCUUAAUUGUCCAAGUCCAAAGAAGAACUAUGGAUACUUUGUAUGUGGAUCAACUGACCACAUAGCGAAGAACUUCCCAAAGAAGGGGACGGACGGGUAUAAGAGCACUAAUAGUGGUAAGCUAGCUAUUAGUCGUCUAGCUCAGACGGGUAGGCCGAUGGCCCGCACCUUUAACAUGAUGGUCCAAGAUGCAAUUGCAUCAGGGGAUGUAGUUGCAGGUAUUAUCCCGAUCAAUGAUAUAAAUGCUUACAUGUUGUUUGAUUCGGGUGCUACUUGUUCAUUUAUAGCAUGUGAUUUUGCUAAAUGGUUAGAAUUACUUCCAGAAAGAUUGCAUGUACCUUUGAAUAUCAAGGUAGCAAAUGAAGAAAUAAUUCCUGUUGAAAACAUUCAUAAGAGUUGUUGUGUAGAUAUACGAGGUUGUAAAUUAUCGAUAGAUUUGAUACCUAUAAAGUUGGAAGAAUUCGAUGUAAUUCUCGGGAUGGAUUGGUUGUUUAACCAUGGUGCAAUUAUAGAUUGCCAAAAGAAAUGUGUAAAUAUUAGAACGUUAAGACAGCCUCAUGUAGUGUUUUAUGAUAAUAAAUUGUCGGGACGUUCAUGUUGUCUUACCAUGACACAAACUAGGAAAUUGUUGAGGAAGGGAUGUGUAGGUUAUUUGUGUCAUGUUGUUGAUACCCAGAGAGUGGGAGCAACAAUGGAACAAAUACUUAUAGUCAAAGAAUUCAUGGAUGUAUUUCCAAGUGAAUUACCAGGUCUUCCGCCAGAUAGGGAGAUCGAAUUCGUAAUAGAUAUUGUGCCAGGAGCGGUACCAGUUUCAAGGGCACCAUAUCGUAUGGCGCUCGUAGAGAUAAAGGAGCUGAUGGUUUAAUUACAAGAACUAUUGGACAGAAAGUACAUUCAACCGAGUGUUUCACUGUGGGGAGAACUGGUACUAUUUGUAAAGAAAAAAGACGGAUCGUUAAGACUUUAUAUCGACUAUCGAGAGUUGAACAAGUUAAUGAUAAAGAAUAAAUACCCAUUGUCCAGGAUCGAUGAUCUUUUUGAUCAGUUGAAAGGGGCAAAGUAUUUUUCUAAGAAAGAUUUACGGAUGGGGUAUCAUCAAUUAAAGGUUAGGAAGGAGGAUGUACCUAAGACGGCAUUUAGGACUCGUUACGGCCAUUACGAGUUUCUGGUGAUGUCAUUUGGGUUGACAAAUGCACCAGUUGCAUUUAUAGAUAUGAUGAACAGAGUGUUCAAACAAUAUAUAGACAAGUUCAUCAUAGUGUUUAUCGAUGAUAUUCUAGUCUAUUCUAAGACGCUAGGAGAUCACGCUGAACACCUAAGAAUAGUGUUGGAGACACUAAGGAAUGAGAAGUUAUAUGCAAAAUUUACUAAGUGUGAAUUUUGGCUAGAAUGGGUAUAGUUUUUAGGACAUGUUAUCGAUCAGGAUGGGAUUUCAGUAGAUCCAGUGAAGGUGGAAGCAGUGAUUAAUUGGGAACAGCCAAAAAUACCGACUGAGGUGCGGAGUUUCCUCGGGUUAGUGAGAUACUAUCGAAGAUUUAUCCAAGAUUUUUCUAAGAUAGCUACUCCAUUGACUAAUUUAACAAGGAAGAUAAUGAAGUACAUAUGGACUGAGAAGUGUGAAGACAGUUUUUAAGAACUGAAGAAAAGGUUGAGUGAAGCACCUGUAUUGUCAUUACCCGAUGAUACAGGAAAUUUUGUAGUUUAUAGCAAUGCUUAGCAUAAAGGACUUAGUUGCGUGCUCGUGAAGCAUGGAAAGGUCAUUGCGUAUGCAUCACGACAGUUAAAGGAUUAUGAGAAAGUUUAUCCUACUCAUGAUUUGGAAAUGGCCGCGGUAGUGUUUGCCUUAAAGAUAUGGAGACAUUAUCUUUAUAGAGAGAAAUUUGAGAUAUGCACGGACCAUAAGAGUCUAAAAUAUAUCUUCACACAAAAGGAUUUAAAUAUGAGACAAAGGAGAUAGCUGGAGUUGAUAAAGGAUUAUAACUGCGAUAUCUUGUAUCACCCCAAAAAAGCCAAUGUAGUGGUCGACGCCUUAAGUAGGAAGAGUCGGGAAAAGUUGUCUAUGUUAACGGCUCAAACUGAGUUAAUAACAGAGAUGGCUAGGAUGGAGCUAGAGGUGAAGUUACCGAGUGAAUCGGGACACAGAUUGUUUGUAACGCCCCAGAAAAUUUGGAUUUUUGAUAAUUAAAUUUUUAUUUUUAUUAUGUGGAUUAAAUGAAUUUAAUUAAUUAUAUAUGGGAGUAAGCUAAUUGAAGGUCGUCCUAUGACCUAGACAUAUCGGAACGUCGUAGUAUUUUGGCUACGUGGUAGAAUUAAAGUGUUUGAAUUUUCAAGAUGAAAAUAAAAACUUUCCAAAAAAAUUUCCGAAAAACACUAUUCACGCAUUUCUGCUCGAGAAUUAUUUUUGAACUUUCGAGAAAUACGUAAUGAUAGAAUAUCGAGGUGAGAUAGAAUAUCCAAUAAUAUUUCAGUUAUGGAAAAUACAGUUUUUUCGCCUGCGGCCUUAAAACCUAACGAUUAGGAAAAGUGAGUUCCGAGAAGAAAAUGUAAUACGUAUAAUGAAUUAAAGCGUUGAUCGUAUAAUACGUAGGUAUUGUACGAGGUAAUGAAUACGAGUAUAAUACGAGGUAUUAUACGAGUAUGAAUGAAUGAUGCUAUGUCAUAUAUGAAUAAGUAUACGAAGUGGAAUACGAGAAUUAUACGUAGAUUAUACGUUAUAAGGUUUUAAGCCUAUGUAAUGGACUUGUAGGAUUGUGUAGGAAAUUAUAAUGUCCAACUGGGAUAAUAAUAAAGCCUAAUACAAAAUAAUGUUAAAGCCCAAUUACUUGUAAUGUUAAUUCCAAUGUAAAUUAUUGAACAAGCCCAAGUGUUUGUUUAAUUGUAAGCUCAAUGUAUAAGAUAAGUUAAUUAAGAUAAUUAAAUGCAAAGCCCAACGUAAGAUCCAAAGGUUAAAGCUUGAUCCAUUGGAGCAACCCAUGGGUGAUCCAAAGUAAUGAGCAAGUAACUUAAUGGCUAAGUGUUGUGAUGGCCAAUUAAUUAAUGUGAUAAACAAGUAAAGUGCUUAUGUGUGAUGAGCAAGUAAUGGAUAAUCUAGGUGACUAGCAAGUAUACUUAAUGGCUAAGUAAGUAUGAUGAUCAAGUAGACUUAAUGGCCAAGUUUACUUAAUAGCUAGGUAAUGAAUAGUAAGGAGGUGAUUAAGGAGGUGGAGUGGCUUUAUGACCAUUAUACCCUAACUUAGGAAGUCCUAUAAAUAGCAAGCUUGGUUUUCAUUUUGUUGGUUGUUCAUUUCAUCUAAGAAGUUGAGAGCUUAUUUGUUAGAGAGAAUAAGUGAGAAUAAGCUAGAAAAGCUAGAAAGCUAGUCUUUCAUAGUUCAAGAAGCAAGAAGAAGAUCAAAGAUUACACAAGUGAUAUUAAAGGGUAAGAAAUCUUAAACCAUGAAUCUCUUUCUCUUCAAUUGAUAGAGAGAUGGGUAGUGGUAGAACAUGUAUGCUAAGUAAUGAUAAGAAUGAUUAAUUAAUGGACUUGAGCCGUAUAAGUCAUGAUUAAGCUAUUCGUAAUCAUAUAAACUAUGAACUAGAGAAGAACUUGUAAGAACUUGUAAUAUGUUUACAAUAAUGAAAUUUAUAUGAUUAGAAGAUGAGUGAAUGAUGGUUAAAAGAUUUAGACCAUGUUAAGUCAAGUAAAGUAAAAUCAUAAGUAGUUUAUGCUUUUAUAAGUUAUAGACUCAUGAAGAUAAGUAAUAACUUAUCAUGUAAAUAAGUUAAUGUAAUAUAUAUAUAUAUAUAUAUAUAUAUAUAUAUAUAUAUAUCAAGAUGUUAGUAUGAUGGAUUGAAUCCUUUCAAAGCAAUGAUCAAAUGUUAGUAAUAAGGUUUUGUCGAAAUUCACACGAUUGGACGAUAAUCGUCGAAUUCGUGAAAUUCUUGGAAUGGAAGUUGAAUUUUGAUAUUGAGCUUAGAAACAUUAGUUUUCAAUGGAGUCAAGUCAUAUUUCGCAUUAUAGAGUUGUGGACUCAAAAAUGACCGAAUUCCGACUUAGAACGAAGAAACGAGCGUUGAACGUUCACGAACGUUUAUCAUUUUCGUUAAAAAAGAACUAAUAGGUGAAUUUUUAGCAAACAAAGUCAAAUAGAUAAAAUUCUUGCAUGAACACAUAGGGUAUGUAAUUUGUGAAUCGUAAGCUUUUGAACGAGCCAAUUCGGACUAAUAACGAAGAAGUUAUGAGUCCGGGAGUUUCACAAAAAAUUUUAAAAGCUGUAAAUUUUCUAAGGCACAGAGUUGGCGCCGCGGCGCCAACCCAAGGCAAAAUGGUGGCGCUGCAGCGUCAUAACAGUGUCAGAGCAUACUGCUAACUCGUACCGCGGCAUGAGAAGGAGAGUUAUGUGUGGCGCCGCGAUGCCAGUCCUAGAGUUUCGACAGACAAGAAUGUUUACAAGUAUAGAAUGAAAGAUAUCUCAUUAGCAAUGAACUAAGGUAUAAAUAUAACAUUGAUUAAGGCAUUGUUAGACACAUAAUGUAUGGUGAUUAAAGGUUAUUAAUCAAUUGAAGAUGAACGUAAUGAGAACAACAUAAUGUGCUAAGCGGGCUGUAGAAAUUUGUUGACCAAGUUGAUUAUGAAUCCAAUGGUUUGCAAUACCAGUAUGGGUCAUGUAAUUACUUAAUGAACAUGAUAAGACCUUUCCUAAAUCACUGUUAUAGUGAUGACUUUAGGAAUUUAAUGUUGUUUAAUGAGUAGUUAAAUGACGAUCGUAAAGUAUAAGGAACAUGAAUUGUAUUCAAUAAUGAUAAUGACUAUAACGUUGAGAGUUAUAACUAAAUGUUGUUAAAUAUUACGUGAACGUAAACGGAAUGCAAUAAAGUGUAUUUAACAAAUGACGAUCGAGUUUCGAAUAACGUAGGAAUGUUAGUAAGCCGUGAGGAAGGAUGAUUAACUCGAAAUGAGUUCUAUUAAUGAAAUAAAUCCACGUAAGACAUAGAAGAGAAAGAAGUUGGUAAGAAUAAUAUAAAAUAUAAUGGCAAGCCGGAACCAAUAGUAACAAAUCUAAUAUAUGAUUAGAUUGAGAAGAAGGGUAAGAUUCAUUAGGAACCAUGUAUGUUCAUUCAUGACCUAAUGUGGUAUGUUAUGUGGUUAUGUAUUGUAGAGACCGUAAAGACUGAAAGGAAAAGUUAUUUUUACUGUAGCAGACGCUGAAGGCAAGUUUUUCUUAAACGCUUGUCUAACCUUUGUGUUAGCCAAGUUUUCUGUGAUUCAUGUUAUAAGAUGCAUGAAAUGUUUUACUAAAGGGUCGAUGCCAGUUUUACCUCGGCUAGACUAAUCUUGAAGAGUUGAUUGAUUUAUUUACAAGUUUUUCAAUAUAGAAUUGUUAACGCUAUCCUACGCCAAUUGUUUGUUACGGAUUCAAGGUAAGCCUGAGUAUGAAUAAACAAAUGUAUUUUUCAUCGAUUAUUCAAUGGGCACGUGAGGUUGCCAAAAACUUAAACGUACAUACGUUUAACAAGAUGUAGUGUUGAUCAACAUAGAGUACUAUGUUCUGAUCACCCAGAAGUGCUCAUAAGAUAUGCCGGACUUACGGACUUAGUGUCGGGUUAUCCUUUUCAAAGAAAUUAUGAAAUGUUCAUGGUCUUGGACCAGAAUUAAUGUUUUACUAAAUAUUGUUAUUGUAAAACAUUUUGAAAGAAAAGAAAUGUUAUUUUAAGUUAUUGAUAGUACUUCAUAACUAUUAUCCAGUUAUUGAAGAUAUUCGAUUCCUAUGUUUCAAGCAUGUUGUUUAAAAGAAAUCAUUGUACUUGUUGAGCUUGUUAUGCUCACUCUUGCUUGAACCAUAUGAAUGCAAAUAGGACUAAACGAACCGAGGGAUCUGACAAGGAUAAAGGCAAGACGAAGCUAAACAAUUAGUUUACCUUGUAAUAAACUAGUAAGUUGUAUAUAUUAUAGAAUGAUGAACAAAGAAUGUAAUGGUUUUAGAACCUGGGAAUGGGAUGUAACAUUAUUAAUGUAAUAAGAAUGUCGUUGAUACACACAUUUUGAUGUCAUUUCAAUAGAAUGAAUGUACAGUUAUGAGUACCGUGUAGCACCAUCUGUCGGGUUGGAAGAGACCCGGAUUUGGGUGUGUCACAUUGUUUACUAUGGAGAUUCGAUCUACUAUUGUCGAAAGAGUUAAGGAGGUACAACUCAGAACUGAUGAGUGUGACCAGAUGAAGAAGCGGCUAGCAAAGGAAAAAGCUAUAAAUAUAGUCUUGAUAACGAAGGAUUAUUAAGAUUUGAAGGAAGAAUUUGGGUUCCGAAUUAGACAGAAUUAAAGGAGGAAGUUGUGACGCCCCCAAAAUAGGUAUACAUCACCCAUUCUGAGUCGCCAAACACAUGGUACAGAAAUAACUACAACUUUUAUUAUUACAAUUAUCGUGCAAAAUAUGACAACACACAUGCUGUGAGUUUAAAUAUAAAUAUUGUCUUCUAGACAAUAUCCACACCCAAAUAAGUCCUCAUUACAUUUAUUGAUACACUAUUUUACAAAAAUAGUGAGGACUGUUAAAACAACUAUCUAGGACCAUCACUCUUUACUGCGACUGGUUCUUGCUACAUUCUCACCUCCUGAGAAGAAAAAUAGAACAAAAAGGAAAAGGAUGAGCUCAACUAGCCCAAUAAAGAAUAUUAUGACUAAGAUAAAGAACAACAAUUUAUCGUUAGCCUUCAACAAAUCAGAUAAAUAUAAUGGACAACCAGUUUUAGAUCAAUAUUCGCAGCGGAAAUAACAAUUCAUUAGUAGAGUUAAGUAGAGAAUGAAAUCUACUAUCAUCUAUGAAUUUAAAAGUCCAUCAUCAAUAUUUUAUCCCUGUAACAUCAAUCAAUAUACAUCUUGCAUCAAUUAUUCAUCUUUGCACUACGGGCUAAAGAUAUUCAUUUGUAUUACCAGUUGGUCAUGUUCAUCUCAAUAACUGUUCAUCUUUGCACUACGGGCCAAAGAUAUUCAUCAAGUAAUCAUUCAUCUUUGCACUACGAGCCAAAGAUAUUCAUCAAGUAUCACCAUUAAAGACUGAGGAUGAUGAAAAAUAUUUUAGAGAACGAAUUUAGUGAGAUAGAAGAACAAAAGAUUAGGAAUUCGUACUUUAGAUGAACCAAGUUCAAAAACGCUCCAUAAUAAACCAUAGUGAAGAUAAAAACAUGGAUUCAAUUUCAAGAAUAAGGGUCAUAACAGAUAACUUGAAAGGAAGAAAAAAAACAAAUUCUGUGAACAGUAACCGUGAACAGUAACCGUGAACAGUACCCGGUCAUGAAAAGUUUCAAAUUUGAUUAAAAGUUCAGACCAAUAUUCCUAUGAAAUUAUAUUAGAUGAGGCGAAAUUUCUAAUCAUUUCAGGAAUUAUAGAAGCAAUACUUACCAUAGUAAGUUCAAAUUUAGGAAUACGAGAUGAAAUAAUAUCGCUUACAUAAUAUGGAGUAUGAAAGAAAAUAAUAUUUCUCACGAGUAUUGCAAUAAAAUAAUAUCCUUUACCUUGGUAGAAACUGGAUUUGACUGGAAUAACGGAUAUUAUUCUGAGAAAAUCUUGCAGAAAAACUUCGCUCAAAAUAUUCUUAUACUCAAAAAAAUACUCACAAUACUAUAGAAUAAGAAUUUCUGAAUUUAGAAAAGGUGUGAUGAGGAAGGAGGGUUACCCCCCUAUUUAUACUGAAAUUCGGACGAAGGAAAAUACCUAAUUUCUUUCCUGCCUAACCUUUUGCCUAACUUUUCUCAUUUUUUCCAUAAAGGUGGGGGCCACCCUUUGAAAUAUGGCUUUGCAGGAAGAGUUUGUAAGGAAAUGCUCAACUUGCAGGCCCACACUUGGAAUAAGGAUUGUAGGAAAGAGUUGCCCAUCAACUUAGAAAACCACUUUGCAGGAAGAAAAAUUACACACUAUCUUUGAAGAAAAAGGACAAGUGCUCCUGUAUUACAUUUGAAAAUCAAAGAUUGCAGGCAACUUUUCUCACCCACCAUUUCCACCAACCAUUUCCAUGUUACAAACAAAGUAUGCAAAAUCAUCUUGUUUACUUCCAUUUCUAAUUAACCACAUGAUUAUAUAUAUAUAAUAAUAAUAUUAUUAUUAUUUAAACAAUUAUAAUAUAUUAUAAAAAUAUAUUUGCAUAAAUAAUUUAUCAGAGAAAAUAAUUGCCAACCUUCAACAAAUAAUUCCUGCAUAAUUCCUUCAAUUAUAUCUACAUAAAAAAAAAUUCCUUAUCAUAUAAAUCAAUAAUUAAUUAUUCACAAUAACAUUACAGAAUCACAAUUAUGAUAACCAGGCAGUUCCCAGGAAAGAGGGGGCUUUCCGAUAAGGAUUUCUCCUUAUUGGCGCGCAAUUAGAUGACCUAACCUCUCAUUAACAGAACUUUCUAGUCAUUGCCAAUAAUGCUAUCUAAUAAUAUUAUUCAAAUAAUAUGAAUUAUUGAUCUGAUAAUGAGAAAUACUGUGCAGAGAUAAUUAUUGAAACAAUAAUAAUAUCAACGCAACAAUUAUUGAAUCAAUAAAAUAAAAUAUUGAAUAGUAACUACUGUAACAAUUAUUGGGUAGUGCCUUCUUAUGUAAGAAUCAAUAAUUCAACAAUACUGUGCAAUACCGUGUGCUACUGUGCAACUACGCGUGUUACUGUAUUUUAACCACCAGGUAAUCCAACAGUGUUAACGGUAACGAUUACGCCGCUAUUUAUAAAAACUCAAAUUUGUCGUUUUCUUCAACCGACCAUUAUUCUGUUAUGGGGCCCACAAAUGACUGCGCCGUCAUACGGAUAUUCCUGACAAAAAGAAUAUUCCACGACCAAACGAAUAUUCCUUGACAAUAAUGAUUAUUUUAUAACCACUUGUUUAUUUUGCAAAAUUUGCACAUUUCACCCAUAACCAAAGUAUUAUAUCAAAUUAUCACCUUAUUAUUUCAAGAUAAUAAAUAGAGAAAAUUCAAUUUUAUUUAUAAUAAGUUGGGGUCUUACAGAAGUUUUACAAGAAGCUCAUAGUUCGAGGUACUCGAUUCAUCCUAGUAGUACUAAGAUGUAUCAAGACCUUCGAUAGAGUUUUUGUGGCCAAAUAUGAAGAGAGAGAUAGCAGAAUACGUAAGUAGGUGCUUAACUUGUCAGAAAGUUAAGGCUAAACAUCAACGACCAAGUGGGUUGUUACAAUCAUUGGAGAUUUCAGAGUGGAAGUGGGAGCAUAUCACGAUGGACUUUGUGGUGGGACUUCCGAUUACACAGAAAGGGUAUGUCGUUAUUUGGGUAAUAGUGGACCGAUUGACGAAGUCGGCUAACUUUUUGCCAAUAAGGGUCAAGUAUAACUUAGAUCAGUUAGCUAAACUUUAUGUUAAGGAAAUUAUUUCCAGACAUGGAGUACCAGUUUCGAUAGUGUCAGAUCGUGACUCACGAUUCACAUCGAACUUUUAGAGAAGUCUACAAGAACAGUUGGGAACGCAGCUGAAGUUAAGUACAGUGUAUCAUCCAUAAACCGAUGGACAGAGCUAAAGGAUAAUUCAGACGCUAGAAGAUAUGUUGAGAUCUUGUGUCAUGGAUUUCAAUGGUAGUUGGGAUGAUCACCUACCAUUAGUAGAGUUUACGUAUAACAACAGUUAUCAUGCGAGCAUAGGCAUGCAACCUUAUGAAGCUUUGUACGGAAGGAAGUGCAGAACACCAUUGUGUUGGGAUGAAGUGGGAGAACGCCACAUGCUAGGACCUGAAUCGGUGCAGCAAACAGUGAAUAUAAUCAAGGUGAUACGAAUGCGUCUAGUAGCAGCUCAAGAAAGACAGAAAAAAUUUGCGGAUUUGCAUCGAGUAAACCGAGAGUUUGAAGUAGGCUCGUAUGUAUUUCUAAAGGUAUCUCCCUGGAAAGGAAAGAUAUGCUUUGGAAAGAAGGAAAAGUUAAGUCCAAAGUUUAUAGGUCCUUUUGAGGUAUUAAAAAGGUUAGGAGAGGUAGCUUACAUGAUAGCAUUACCUCCAGACUUAGAACGAAUACAUAAUGUAUUUCAUGUAUCUGUGUUACGUCCUUAUAAGUCAGAUUAUAAGCAUGUAAUAGAGUAUGAGGCUAUUCAUAUUGAGAAGGACUUAACGUAUGAAGAGAUGCCAAUUCAAAUCAUUGAUAGAAAAGUACAAGUUCUGAGGAACAAAGUUAUACCUUCAGUAAAGGUGUUAUGGAAGAACCACGAUGCCGAAGAAGCAACGUGGGAACUUAAAGAAAAGAUGAGGAAGAAUUAUCCUCAUUUGUUUGUUUAAUAUUUUAAGCUAGAUUCUGGGGACAGAAUCCUUAUAAGGAGGGGUGAAUGUAACGACCGAGAAAAUCGGAUUAUUUGUAAAAUAAUUUUAUUUAAUUAAAUAAUGAAUAAAAUUAUAUUAUAAUGAGUAAGCAAGAUGAAUGUUAUUCUAUAACCUAAAGAUGUUGUAAUAUCGUAGUAUUUUGGCUACGUGGUAAAAUUAAAGUGUUUGAAUUUCCAAGACGAAAAUAAAGGUUUUUCUGAGAAAUUUUCUGAAAAACACUAUUUAUCAAUAUCUGCUCGGGAAUUAUUUUUGAACUUCUGAUAAAUACAUAACGAUAGAAUUACAAGGAGGGAUGGAUUAUGUAAUAAUAAUUCAAGUAUGACAAAUGCAGUUUUUCGCUUGCGUACUAAGUUUGAGAAUGUUAGGGAAAGUAAAGCGUUAAUGAAUAAACGAUGAUCGUAUGAUACAUAAGUAUUAUACAAGGUAAUGAAUAUGAGUAUGAUACGAGGUAUUAUACGAGUAUGUAUGAAUGAUGGUAUAUCGUAUAUGAUGAUUGAGUAUACGAAUUAGCGUACGAGAAGAAUACAUAAACAAUACAUUAUAAGCUUUAGGCCAAUGGUAUUGGACUUGUAGGAUUUGUGUAACAAUUGUACAAGCCCAAAUGAAAUAAUGUUAAAGCCCAACGUUUGGUAAUGCAAGCCCAAAGGUUAAGUUAAAGUUAUUAAAACUUAAGCCCAAACUAAGAACCGGAUCUGUGGAUCGCACCGAUGGGUUACCGUAUAAGAAAAACCCAUGUGGGCCUCAUAGGUGAGUCAUGGUUGACCAUGUGUGGUGGCCAAUGAUAAGUGGGUUUUAUACCCACGAAUCGGUUCCUAAUUCAAACUUAAUCGGUGUUAAUUCAUUAAUAUUAUAUUCGUUUUUACUUGUUUAGCUUUGUUUUGUGAUUAGGAUUGGUGGAGUGGCAUUUGGAUAAAAAGGGAGGACUUAUGGUGCAAUGUGGCUAGAAAUUGGGCAAGUUUGGAGCGAUACAAGAUCAGCUAACAGAAGUCAUGCCCGCCGGGGCGGGCCUUUUUAUACCUUACACCCCCGCCGGGGUAGGGGGUCUUGAACUCAGAAGUCAGUAUACAUGCCCGCCAGGGCGGGCUAUUUUCAAAGCAACACCCUCACCGGGGCGGGGGUCUGAGGCAAAACAGUUGUUUAUUUAAUUUCAAAUACUGCAAGAACGUAAGUUUAAGUAAUUGGAAUGGCUUGGGACUCAUAUUGGUGUGGAAUUUCAAUCAGAAUACAUGUCUUAGAGAUAUAUCUAACAUCAAAUAAAAAGAUUGGGAGAGAUUAUAGAACACAAGGUAAUUAACAGAGAUAGAAGACAGAUUUUAGAGCAAGCAUUGGAGUGAAGAUAAUUGAAGGAUUUUCAUAUCAAUUGCGAAUUGGGUCUAAAGAAAAGGGUGGUUCUGGAUUUAUUCUUUUCUUUUAGUUUUCUAAUUGUAAUUGGAAGGAUGAUAUCUUUAAUUUAUUUAGUUUCUAUAUCAUUUAUGAUGAACUAAAUCACUUUUUAGGCUUAUGACGGAUCUUUAAGUGGAACGAUGAUUAUGUAAACUUUGAUUUUCAGUUUAAUAAUCUAUUCCUCGGUUUAUCUAUAUUAAUUUAUGCUUGAAUUUAUGAAUUGCCUGAUCAACAAUUCUUUAUGGACUUGUAUGGAUUCGAGAGAGGAAGUACGAGUCUAGACUUAGUUAAUAUAGCAUGUGUUCUUUAAUUUUGUGAAUGAGAAGAAUCUUGAUGAAUGUUAGGGUAGAGAUAUGCUUAACAUCUCAUGUAAUCGAAUAGAGAAUUUGAACUUAAACCUUCUUUGAUGAUAAUUCACAUAGAGAUAUAGUGAGUUAGUUAAUUAAGGUGUUUAACUUAGUUCUAUCUGAAUUGUGGAUUUAAGUAAAUAUGGUGUUAGUGCAUCGAGAGGUGGCUAAUUCUACUAUCGUGUUCUUGAUUAAUAAACUGGGAUAGUGAUGUAAACUGGAAUAAAGUGUAAUAAUCAUAGUAAAGCUUAGGGUGAAGUUGUAAGCCUAAUUCUCCAAUACUUGUUUACAAAUUCAGUUUUUGAGCUUUGUGAUUGUUUUGUGAUCUUGGUAUUUUUAAUAAUUUUAGUUUUUAUAAUUUUAAUCAUUAAAUUGGAUAGUUUAAUAAAAUUGGGAUUAAUAGGAAACUGGUAAUUGUGAGGUUGAAAUUUAUACUAAUUUCUCUGUGGGAACGAUACUCUACUUACUAUUAUAUUACUUGUUGAUCACGUAUACGUGCGUGAUUGUGCGUAAUUAGAUUUUACAAAACAACCAAGCAAAGGAUAAGGUGAGUGGUGGCCAAGUAAGGAAUAGUAAGGAGGUGGAUUAAGGAGGUGGAAGGGCCUAAAUGACUAUUCUACCCUAACCUUGUAAAUCCUAUAAAUAGGAAGCUUGCUUGUUUAAUUAUUGCUUGUUUAAUUUCCACCAACAUCUUAUAUUUAGAGAGAAAAGUGAGAAAAGCUAGAACUUUGCUAUAUCAAGAAGGAAGAAGAAGAACUAAGCUAAAGAACUUUAAGGGUAAGCAUCCUAAACCAUGAUUCUCCCUCUCUUCAUUUGAUAGAGAAGUGAGUAGUGGUAGAGCAUGUUGGUUAAGGAGUGAUAAGGGUGGUUAUUAAUGGAUGAAACCUUAAUAAACCAUGUGUAAGUGGAAUCAUAAGUAUAAAAUUUAUAAACCAUUGCAAAACAUUAAAAAAUUGUAAUAUUGUUGUUGAUGGACAAGUUUAAAACCAUCAUUUGUAGACUUAGAUAGUAUAUGUUGUGAUAAUGGAAUGAAACCAUUUGGAAUGGUGUAAAAAUCUUAAGUAAUUAAGUUAUGGGUAAAUUUACGAGAUUAGACGAUAAUCGUCGAAAUCGUGAAAUUCUCGGAAUAGAAGUCAAAAGUUAAUAUUGAACUCAAAAAUGUUGGUUUUCGAUGGAGAAUAGUCUAAGUUUGCAUUUUAGAAUUGCGAACUCAAAAAUGGUCAAAUUCUGACUUAGAACGAAGAAACGAGCUAUGAACGUUCACGAACGUUUAUUGUUUUCGUAAUAACGGACUUAAACAAUGAAUUCUGUGUUAAUGAAUUCGAAAAUGUGAAAUUCUUAUAUGAACACUUAGUUCAUGUGAUUUAUGAGCUAAUGGCUUUUGAACAAGCCAAUUCAGACUUAAAAUGAGCAAAUUAUGAGUCCAGGAAGUUCACUAAACAAGAAAUCUUUUAAAACUAUCUGAGGCACAGGGUCGGCGCUGCAGCGCGGCCCAAGGCUUUAAAGCUGGCGUUGCAAUGCCAGGCCAAGGCCAAUAACCUACUGGAGAGUUAUGCCGCAGCGCGGCCAUUUAUACUAGGGAUGGAACCGCAGCGCCAGGUCCAGGUAAAAGUCACUGCUGACUCACGUCGCAGCGCGAGUCCAAGAAAGAAAGCUGGUGCCGCAGCGCCAACACUAGGGAAAAGAUAGUAAAGAAUGCUCAUGAACACAAAAGAAAUAUCAGAUGAUUGAUGGUGAAUUAUAUACUUAAUACACCUAAAGUAACAUCAUUAAAGAUGUUAAUAACCUUAAGAAUUACAACUAAAGGUUAACAAAAGAUUACUUAAACGUAAACACAAUGUAAUACGGUAAACUGUAAUGAACGUUAAAUAAUCUAAUGAAACGAUUAGAUUGAGAAGAAGGGUAAGAUACGUUAGGAACCAUACAUGAUUGGUUAUGACAUAAUGUGUUAUGUUAUGUGAUUAUUCAUUGUAGAAUCCUUAAAGACUCAAAAGGAAAAGUAUUUAAUCUAUAAAAGACGCUGAAGGCAAGUGUUUAAACCCUUGUCUAUGUUCAUUGUGGACAAGCUUUAUGAUUCAUGUCUCUUACGCAUGAGUUAAUGUGUGAUGAGGUCAAAGCCAAUUCCUUUGGAUAGACUUAAUGUAUUCAUUGGAUUUCUUAUAAUCUAUCGAAAUGUUAUCAAAGUUGUUAUCUUUUGCCAAACUAUUUUGGAAUGGAUUUCAAAGAAAGACUGAGUAUGAAUAAACAAACGUUUUGUCGUCAAACGACAGGCACGUGAGGUUGCCAAAACUUAAACAUAAAUACGUUUACAGAAGAAGUGUUGUACAACAUAGAGUACUAUAGGCUGAUCACCUAGACAUGCUCGUAAGUAAUACCGGACUUGCGGACUUAGUGUCGGGUUGUCCUUUAUAAAGAAAUAACGAAAUGCUCUAGGUCUUGGACCCAAAAUUGAUGUUUAAUUAACGUGGUUCAUUGUGAAAUGUUUUAAAAGAAAAGAAGUGUUAUUUUAAUUUAUCUAUAGUACUUCAUAACUAUUGCUUCAGUUAUAGAAGAUAUACGAUUUGUAUGAUUCAAGCAUGUUGUUUAAUGAAUUGUCAUACUUGCUGAGCUAGUUAUGCUCACUCUUGCUCGAACCAUAUGAAUGCAACUAAGAUUGAAUGACCUGAAGGAUCGAAUAAAGAUAAAGGAAAUGCUAAGGCAAACCACUGAACUGUCUAUGUAAUAGUAUAGGUUUAAUGUUAUAAUUAUUUGAUAUUAUGACAAGAAACAUAUUUAAUGGUUAUACAGAACCUGGGAAAGGGAAUAUAGUUUUGGAAUAUAAAUAAGACAUAUUCUCUCUUUUGAGUUAUUUAAAUUGAAUGUAUGUGUGAAUGGUAGUACCGGGUAGCACCAUUUGUCGGGUUGGAAGAUACCCGAAUUUGGGAGCGUCACAUUUGUCCCAAAAAUAUUGUCUUGAAUUUAAGCUUCUAAUUUGGCAAUCUUUCGAUCAAAGAUAAUAAACCCUUCAUUUAAUGUUCUUCAUGCACAUAAAUAAUUAUAUACAUACAUAUUCGGAUAUAUAUAUAUAUAUAUGCAAUUUUGUUUUAAAAAUUAUUUUUCCCCUUUUUGUGAAUAAACUUUUGAAAAAUAGUAGGAGAUUUCUUUGCCUUAGGAAAUGUUACUAUAUGAACUAACACUUGAUAUUUAAAUUAUCAAGGCCAAUAAAAUUAAUUCAAUAAGAUUAAAAAAUAUUUUAGGUCAACGAAAAUAAAAUAAUUAAAACAAUUAUAAUAUAAAUCCUAUAGAAAAGAUUCUACCCUUUUAAUUAAUAUAUUUACUAAUUAUUGUUAUCAUCAAAAUAAACCCAAAGUUAGACACCCAACAAUCUUCCCCAUUUUGAUGAUGACAAACAACUAAAAAUAUUUUUUAUAAAAGCUCCUCCUCAGUUUAUGCAAUCAUUUAAAAAAUAUUAUUUUUUUAAAAAACUAACAUGAAACAGUAUAUAAUAGUUUUUGAAAAACUAACAUGCAACAGUAUAUAACAAUUCAUGUACAUAGUAUGUGAUAGCAUGAAAAAAAAUGUUAUUUUUCUUCUCCCCCUUUGUCAUCAUAAAAAAUGGGGGGGAAAGAAUAGUAUAGAGUACUUUUCAGAACCUGCAAAAAGAGAGAUUAGAAUCUGAAAAAAAAAAUCUUUUAAAGAUUUAGUUGCCUAUUUGUCUUUUGAUCAAAUGAUAAGAAGCUUGCAUGAUUUGAAUCUGUGUGGUUGCUUCUGAUUGGUCCAAAUUAGUAUACACGAAUGAAAUUAUUUACCAUUAGAUGUAUAGAAAUUCAAAUGACCAUUCUAGAUUAAAUCUAUUAUAUAUAUAUAUAUAUAUAUAUAUAUAUAUAUAUAUUAAAUAUUAAAUAUUAAAUAUUAAAUAUAAAAAUAUAAUAAUAUUAUAUAUAUAUAUAUAUUAUAUAUAUAAGUUAUUAAAGAGAAUAGAUUUAGAUAUUAAAUAUUAAAUAUAAGUAAUAAAAACUUAUAAAUAUUAAACUCUAUUUAUAAUAAUAUUUUUAGAAAAAUAUAUUUAUAAAUAUACAUAUUUGUAAAAUUUUACACAUUUAAAUAUUUCUACUAUGUUAAAAGUCAAAUUUAAUCAAUAAUUUUUAAAACACAUAUUUUAAUGCAUAAAUAUUUAUGAGGAAACUGACAUGUGUUACUUGAUUAUGAUGUCCUGCAUAGUCAGAAUCUUUCUUACCUUGUUUGAUUUGCAAUUCUAGGAAGAAGUUUAAUACUCCCUUUAUGCUCAAUUCAAAAUCCUUACUCAAACUUUCAGAGAAAUCAUUUCACAAAGCAAUAUCAAUAGACCCAGCAAUGAUGUCGUCAGUUAUUUUUACUAGAGUCAACUCCAAGACAUACCUACAACAUUUAUUAAUUUCACAAACUGGUACCAUUUUGUAUAAGGAAUAUUUGUGUUUUCCUUUAUAAAAAUAGGUACAGGAUAAUCAAUCUUAGUAGAUACAAGCAUUUUAUGAGUAUCAGGUCUAUAAGAUGCAUGAUUUACUCUACUUUUAUAUACUAAAAUUUUUUGAUGACAAUUUCUAUAGUAUCUUUCAUUAUAAAGAUCUUUUCUUGUAUUUUCAACAAUAAUUGGUGUAGUGUAAGUUCCUUUUGGAACCCAAAUCAUUUUUCCUUUAUAAUUACCAUUUUGAGCAUUGCAUAUGUGAAUGGAAUGACCAUUUCUGUUAUAGUAAGAAAAUUUACUUUUAAUAUGAUAGAGGCCUUUGUAGACACUCGAAAUUUAUUUUUCCUGUUACUAACAAUGUAAGAGGGUAAAAGCGUCUUUUUCACACUCUAGAGAUAACCUUGGAGGACCACAACAUCAAAUAUAAUCACGGAGACAUCACCGUGGAACAUCAAAUCAACCUUGAAGAUCAACCCUAAGGAAAAGAAAAGUUGGUAGCAAUUAAACCCUAGAGACAACCCUAAAAUACAGCCAACAGCCUCGUCAACCUUAGAGACAAACCCCGAAAGGGAAAAAUGGUCAUUUUGAUAAUUCAACUUCAAAAAACUUAAUAAAGAUGCAAAUAGGAUCACAAAGAGCCAUUGCAGCACUUCUGAGCAUAAACUACGUAAAACAGCUCAACGGACUGCCUGCGAAGACCCGAAGAUGCCAUUUCAGUCAUGGACCCAUCUUCUCGAAUUCAUAAAAAGGCAAGCCCUAUGUCAUUACUUAGCUCUUGGAGAGAGCUUUCCAGAAUAGUAUGGAACAUCUCCAUCGAAUUCCCGGAUUGAAAGUUAUGAAGGUUCAAACAAACGAUGUACGGGACCCACGGGGUCGGGUCCACCUGGGUCAGCCACUAGUAGAUCCGUGGCUAUUACCCAUUUUAGCUCUUAACCCGUCCUACAGUGUUCCAAACUUUGAUAUUCUUCUUUGUAAACACUUGUAUACAUAUAUCUAUAUAAUAAAACAGAACCCAUUUUGAAUCUUUCAUUUGACAAAGCACAAGAACGAUUCAGAUUCAUUCUAACUUAAUUCUUCCAACUUAAUCUAAAGGCUCAUAUUUCUUCCCGUCCAAAUCAAAUUCACUCAUACAUCAUACUCUCUCUCAUGUUCACACACAAAAUCUUUCUCUCUCCUCUCUUCUUCACACACACAAACAAAUAAUAACCCCAGGAGGGGCAAAAUGGUCAUUUUGCCAACUCAACUUCACUUCAAAUCAAAUACAAUCAUUUCGACCCAAAUUACUUCAAUAGAAGUCCCACAAGACUCAUCUCUUAACUUCGGAGUGCAAACUACGCGAAACAGCUCACCGGAUUGCCUGACGGAAACCUAGGAAUGCUAUUUCGGUCAUGGACCUAUCUUCCUGGAAUCAAAGAGGGCAAAUCCCAUAUCAUUGAGUAACUCUCGACACAAGCAAUCUGAAGGAGUACAGAUAUACUUCGUUUGGAUGCUUGGAUUGAAGUUCUGCAAGUUCGAGCGGACAUUACAGUACACGAGUGUACGUACUUCGAGACGAUAGGACCCGUGAGGCCCGAAUACACCACUACCAGCCGCAGGUGUACCAGAGGCUGCCGCAGGUACACCUGUGGCCAUUCGUCUAUAAAUAUGGGGCUUGGGGUCAGCCAUUUGGGAGAGAAAAUAGCGAGGGAACCCUGUCCAAUUGGCUUUGUACACCCCCAUAUUGAGUGUUUGCUCUUUUUAAACACCUAUUAGCCCACAUAUAGUUAUAUAUUUACCCGCAAAAGCUGAGUGUUUGUCCACAUAGAGUCAUAGAAGUCUACUUUGGCAGCCCACUGUAAGCCCUCUUACAUUCUAUAAAGUUUUUUUUCUCAUAUUAUCACACACUGUUGUACACGUUGAGAGUCGUGUGAGUGUGUUUGCCCGGACUUCGGUCUGUGGUUUUCAUUUCUGUCUGUAUAUAUAUACUUAUAUAUAUAUAUAUAUAUUGUUGUCAGACAUAUCUGAUGAGCCUGGAUUUUACAUCCGGUGCAUUUAUUCGCUUUUAUAUAUAUAUACAUAUAUAUAUAUAAUUGUUGUCGGACAUAUCCGAUGAGCCCGAAUUUACAUCUGGUGCGUUUACUGCUUUUAUAUAUAUAUUUGUACAUAUAUAUAUAUAUAUUUAUAUUUCUGUCGGGCCUGGAGUUUACUUCGUUGCCUUUUACAGCUUUAUUUACAUUCCGUCCUGCUUGGAGUUUACUUCGUGGCAGUUGAUCGCUUUUACAGCUUUAUUUACAUUUCGUCCCGCCUGGAGUUUACUUCGUGGCGGUUGAUCAUGUUCAUAUAUAUAUUUACAGCUUUUAUAUAACUCUUACUGUUUUCCAUACAAAUUGCAGUAUCAUGUGAGCCUAGGAAUCAUGUGAUCACAGAUUCAGUCUACUGAAUCUAGAUUCGGUUCCCAUGAUGGACAUUUUCUGUCUAUAAGCAACUUGUACAUUAUUUUACAGUGUCUGAGUUUCCUUGGAUGGCUAUCAUGCCCAUAAGGAGUUCGGCACUGCUGUAUAUUAUUUUCUCGAGGAUGCUUCGCAUCUCGAAAAUAAAAGCAAACAAGCCGGACAUUUAAUAAUAAAAUGAAAGUAAGAAAAGGUCUCAAUUCCUAUUGAGCACAGGGUUUGAAAAACCUCUUUUUACAAAACUUCAUUGCUAAAUAUUGGUUAAAACUGAAUUUUCAUAUAAAAUUCAAACCUUGUGUAUAUAAGUGCGAACGAGGCCUCGCACUACUUUCAAAUAAAUUGCACAUUGAUCCACACACACACACACACACAUUCAUAUAAUAAUUUCUUUGAAGAGUGGCGGUCACCGUGGUAACACGGAUGUCGGGGGGUGCCUAACACCUUCCCUCCGCAUAAUCAAGCCCUCGAACCCUUAAUGAAUCUCGGUUUCACAGACCCGUUUAGCAGUGUCAAAUCACUGGGUCAAUGUGCAAACCUUUUCGGUUUUGUUGGUGCAACCAGUUAAAUACACCAACUGGCGACUCUUAAAGUCAAUCGUCGACAUUAUACAUGUCGGACCUUUUUCACUUGUUUUUUCAAACAAAUCUCACAUUAACAUGAGAACACCAAAGAGCAAGUAACGAAAAGGGACAAUCAAAAAUCCCAACGUCGACAGGUGGCGACUCUGCUGGGGAUUCCAGUAUUACAAGCUUUUCAAAAUUGUUAUAUGCUUGUGUGUGAAUGUUGCAUUUACAUUUCUGAUGAGUGUGUACGAAUGCAUUUUACUUACUGCACUGCUAAAUAUCUAUCUGUGAUAUUAGUGCUUGGCACAUGUCAUCAUUUUGCAUAAACGGUGAGACACGUUGUAUGUGAAUGUAUGUUGUGUGGUCCCUCCACCAGGAGGCUAUCCUGUCGGUGUUUGAUUACUAGACUCGUGGGAAGAAUAAUUCCCCGGGGCUCAGGAAAGGUACCACUCAGAUUCGCUCCAGUUGAACGACCGAAUUAACUUCCCGUCAAGUAGAUUGCGAUGAUCUGGGAACCUUCAUGCUGAAAAGCCGCGAGAGUAACCUAAGAUAGGUCAGCCUCUGAUAAACCAAACGUGAAGGGAAGUCUCUUCAUACUUUCCCAUUUAAUUACUUGUAAUUUCAAUUACUUGUCAAUCUCAAUGUAAAGGAAAAUAUGAAGAAUAUGUGUAAAUGCAUAUUAAGGCUUUACAUGCUAUUAAAUGACACCCAUUUUGCAGGAUAAUAUUCCUAAAAUGGACACGUUAUGAUAGCAUGUAAAAUUUUUAUACAUUUCCCUAAGACUAAACUACAUAAGUUUUUGUAGGGAAGCAAUUGAUCAUAUUUCUCAUUCAAAGUCCAAAAGGGCAUUAAGCCCACAGUCAGAUAUGGAUAAAAUUGCCCAGCCUGAUCCUACUCCUGUCUCUCGCGAGGAGUUCGAAAGAUUAAGCUAUCAAAUGACAGAGUUGGCUGUUAUGCUCAAAGAACUACACCAACUACUCAAGGUAUACAAAUACCCAUCCACACAGAAUCCCCUGCACAUGAAGGAACCCAGGGCCAAACAAUGCCUACUCAAUCCGAGUCAUUCAUACCAGGGGGCAGUCAGGGUAUUGGCAAAAAGAUGGAAACCCAGAUACCUAAACCUCAUUCCAAUAAAGAGAUCACAAAUCUCAGGGAUGAUCGAGAAACUGGGGAUCUAAGAAAGAAAGUCCAACAAAUGGAGGAGACCAUCCGGUCAAUCAAAGGGACUGGAAAUUAUGGGAGUGUCGCCUAUUCAGAUCUCUGCAUAUUCCCAGGGGCUCGAUAUCCUACCAAAUUCAAAGUCCAAGAGUUUGAAAAGUACAAUGGGGUAGGCGAUCCCUAUACGCAUCUGAAAGUGUACAUUGGCGAACUAGGGUCUUAUGCUGAAGAUGAAAGCCUCAUAAUGCAACUUUUUCAAACGAGUCUCACCGGAGAGGCUAAAGCCUGGUAUGCCCGACUUGACAAUGCCAAAAUCCACAACUGGGAAUAAUUGGCCCACGCCUUUCUAAAUCAGUACAGUUUUCAGUUACAAAUGGCGCCGGAUCGAUACCAAGUGACUAAAGUCAAAAAGUAAAGUACUGAAUCUUUCCGAGAAUAUGCCCAAAGGUGGAGACAUCUAGCAGUGCAAGUCAUUCCAUCAAUGACAGAAGCUGAGAUGGUAAUGAUGUUUAUUGAUAUCCAAGAAGCUCCGUACUACGAGAGGAUUCUAGCAGGCAUAGGAAAGCCAUUCUCGGAAAUGAUCAAACACGGUGAAAUGGUAGAGAUGGGCCUGAAGGCAGGCAAGAUUAAAGACUUCACUUCCUUGGAAGCAGUCACCAAGAAUAUACAGACUGGCAAGUAUGCGAGCGAUCCCAAGGGGGUACCCGAUAAAGGCAGUGAAGAUGUAUCCCUUGUUGUACAGGGGCAAUCUAGUAGACCAACCUACAGUCCACCCAUUUGGAAAAAACGAGACAAUCUGUCAUUUCAAUAACAGGCUACAUUUAACCAAUUCUAGAACAGGAAAAGAAAAUUUGAGAGAACAAAAAAUCAGGUGUUCACUCCACUAGGCGAUUCUCUUGAAAAUGUUUUGGCGAUAUUGAUGGAUCAUAAGCAAAUUACCGAACUGGCUCCACCUCUGGAACCAGGGAGCAAAAUAUAUAAUCCAAGCCAGAGAUGUGCUUACCACUCAGGGUCUUCAGGACACGAUACGGAAGAUUGUUGGUCCUUAAAGCAUAAAAUUCAAAAUUUGAUCGAAAGUGGCAGUAUUGUGGUCCAGCAACCUGAUCAACAAAACGCCAACACCAACCUUCCGUUGCAGCAUGAUACGGAAGAAGUAAACAUGAUCAGGUCAGGAAGCGUUGAAAUAUAUCCAAUUCGUAAGUGCAUACAAAGGAUAGAGGACUACCCCCAAAGGCACAGAGCAGAUGUCCUAAAAUGGGAAAACUCGGAGGAGGGUAUGAUAGUAAUGCAAAAGUUAGAGACAAUCCAGAAUCAAGUAAAUCUGCUAGCUAAGCUGAUAGUGCGCCAACAUCAGGAUACGAGGCAUUUCUACACUCAACUAUCAGAAGGCCAAGAAAAGGGGGAUGAUAAAAUUGCUAUCAAACCUCGCCAACAGAAAAAUUGCUUGGGGGAAUGCGAACUCUCAAAGAAGAAAGAUCAAACAACCUCCACAAGAGUCCGAAAAUUCACCCCUCUAAGCAAAUCCAAUGAAGAAAUGCUACACUUUCUGAUAAGCGAAGGAAGGAUUACUGAGUUGCUGCCUCCUUUAAAUCCCAAGAUAAAGAGCUAUGAUUCCACCAAGAUAUGUCUCUACCAUUCUAAUUCACUUGGACAUAUGACUGAGGAAUGCUAGGCUUUGCGACAUAAAUCCAGGAUCUCAUUGAAAAUGGAGAACUGGAGAUAGAAAUUCCCAUGACCAAUAAAGGCCAAAAGGCAAUAAAAAGCUUAAGAUGUCCACUCGAGACAGGUAGUUCAAAUAAGGUGAAGGCUAUGAGCGAUAAUCCUGGCAGAACACAAGAUGGAGCGAUCCUAAUGCAGGAAAUGAUAGAAGAGACAAGGGAAUUCCCGAAGGAUAUUCUUCGACCAACAUCAAACGUCUUCUGGUCCAAAGAUAUCAACCACGUUCCUGAUUUUAUCACCUUGGAUGAUGCGGAGGAAAUACUGAUCCUUUCCAAGGAAGAAAAAGCAAAAAAGCAAAAUUCCUUGUAAGAAAUGCAACGAUAGUUCGAGGCAGAUUUCAUGAUUAAAUCCUCUCAAGCCUAGGAAAAGCGUGAAGGAACAGAUAAAGGAGAAGGUGGUGAGGUUGUCGGGGAAACCAACCCAUCAAAGAAUCAAGAUUUCAUACCUUUUUGUGAUGGGUCCAACUCAAGAAUCCUUGAAGAAUGUAUUGAACCUGGAAGCGAUCAAGUUAUGGCCAUAAGUGAAGACAUUCAAAACCAAGAAGUAACCUCUGUCGCGAGCCUUGAAUGCAACACAGCCACUGACGACUGGACUAUCAGGCCUCAACUAACCAAAAAGAUGUAGAUCCAGGGGAUAAAUUUGCGAGUUCCAGAAGAUGUUGGGACGGUAUCACUUCCUUCGUAGUAUGCUUUUUAUUUUCCAUGCAUGUAUAGAAAAAAAGAAAAAAAAACACAAAGAAAAAAAAAGAGAAAAAAAAAUCAAAAAAUCAAAUCAUUCAGAUUUCAACUCAUCAAGCCUGAACUAUGAAAGACCUGAUCUCCCUUCAUCAAUGGGAGUACGUAGGCAGCCAUUUAUGGUGCGGUCAAACCAAACAAACACUUCUCAAACCAAACAUUUCCCAAACCAAACACUUCUCAAACAAACACUUCUCAAACAGACGCUUCUCAAACAAACACUUGUCAAACCGUUUAUCUUAUCAAGUAGGAACUACGCAUACCUGAUCUCCCACACUCAUGGGAGUAUGUAGGCAACCACCAGUGGUGCGGUCUGACCCUCAACAGAAAUGUCCAAAUCCAAACAUCGAUCCCAAGAAUGACCCUCCAAGUCAGCGACCUAUGUGGAGAAGACCCAACAACACUGCAGAGUCAUUCCAUCAAAUCUGACACAAAUCCCAAAAAGGAAGAAACAGCGAUAUGCCAAGACAACCAGAGCAAGGACCUUCAAAGAUUCGACACCCUUAAUCACGAGUCUUCAUCAAAUCAGAAGAAAAUCAAGAUCGAUUGCAAUAACAAGUCAGGAAUAAUGAUUGAAGGCAUCAAAACCCAAGUCCUAUACUUGUUCACCAUCUGGUACAGAAGAAAAGUCUCUUGCAAUCUCAGCAUCUUAUCAGUCCAUCUGUCAAAGCGACUAUCCCAGACAACAAGUAAGGCUGGGGCAAUUUCAAAAUCAAUGACAACCCGAUAUUGCCACCACUACAACAAGACUUGGGCAAUCUCAGAAACAACAACAACUCAAUGCUGGGGCAUUUAUCAAACAUCCUAAAGAGGAAAAUGCCUCGGUCAACACCAUCAGCAUGGUUCAUCAUCAUCAAAGCUUCCCUCACAUUAGCUCAUUAGCGAUUUGGAUAUUAUUCACUUGCGAGUUCAUCAACAAAGAUAGUUUCUCGUAUGAAUCCCCGACAUCAGUAUGCGAAAGGACUGGGGCCUUUUUCGAUUCCAGGAAAGUGAAAAGGAUUUUAAGGCGGGAUCAAACCUGUCAUCAAAAGAAGGAAAACUCCUGAAAAGAAUCAUGGCGACAUUAGCUUGCCCCUACGAAAGAAGGGGAAAAUUCUCAAAAAGUUCUUAACUCAAGGCCAACAGCAAAGGGUUUGGCGAAUGAAAUCUACACCAUUAAACAUGUUAAUUUGCGCCAAAUCCUCAUAAGUUGAGGCCUCUACACUAAAGUUCAAAGUUCGAUAGAGAAAGUACAAACUGCAUCCCCCCAGGGAUAUCAGCGGCAUUCAGAUCAUCAGUUCAGCCGGGUUGCGAAUCAAAUGUUCAAAGAAAUGGGGCACAAGCACUCAACAGCGAAAGGAAACUACAAAUCGCCUCAAAAAGGGUCAGGCACUACAUCAACGUACAUCUCUAUCCAGCGUAACAUAAGGCAAAAUCUAGCGAAGCAAACCUUUGAAUAUUACUUCAGCCAAGGUAUCGAGAGAUCCGAUAUUCAAAACCAUUAUCUUCAAAUUUAGCGCGACAUCAAGACAGUUCAGUGAUAAAAGUUUUAAAUACCACCAUUCGAGUGAGAACCGAAACAAUUGGGCGAUGUCAACUACCAGCAGGGUAGUAUCUAUUAUCAAACUACCAUCAGGGUAGGCACCAUUGUAAACUACCAGCGUAUGCAUCAGCGACAUCUCAAUUUCUCUUCAUCAAACAGGCAUUAGCGACACCGAUAAAAAGCCAAGCCGUUGUAGUCAACACCAGCAUAGGCAUCAACAAUCCCCGGUAAAGGUAAAGCGAUUUGCGAAAACAUUUUUA
rnacentral:lncRNA from 1 species